AAGAAUGGGAGGGCAGACAUAAGCUGGUUAUAAACAGAUUCAAUUUAUUUAUCUAUUCAGAUUUGUACAGGACAAAUCAAACUACACAUCGAUGUCAUCACAGCCAGUAGACAACCGAUAGUAGCUGAUGUCUUAGACAAAAUGGGGAAAAAAACUCCUGAGCUUUUGAAGUAUAUAAGAAACAUGCUCGCAGAUACAAGGAAGAUGGUGACACUCACCGAACAUGGCAGACUCACAACACACGAGCAUCAAAACAGAAUAUAACAACAACCCUACCAGCAGAGUACAGAACAAGACCACACCACAAAAUCAGACUAACACCAAGAGAUCAAGAAGAUAGCGCCACGAUCAGAUGGCCACCUCCUGUCUUCCAAGACAUUUUUGUUCUCCUUGAGCAGCUUGAUGCAACACGGCCUUGAUUAGUCGACCCCCAUAGGCAUUUGAUUCCAAACCCUCCACAAAAUCCAGGUUACACAUCCCAAACCCAACACCAUGAUUAAUCACCAGGUUCCCCUCCCUGGUGAAACCAACUCAUAGAAGAAAGUUCAAUGGAAACCCAAACAAAUAUUUCUUUUAAGCUAGACCACAAAUCAAGAUCUGUGAUUAGCAUUCUCCUUCACUUCACGGAAAGAAAAUUAAUCAUUUCCUGGCCGGUGUCUAUAUGCCAACUUGAACUGCUAUCGGAAUGCCGUCUUUUAGUGCUAUGGGGCAAGCCCACAAGAUCUUAUUUGGGAGGCAAUUUGGCCUUCCGAACAUCCAUGUUCCUGGAAUGAACCAGACCACCAAAAGUAAAUUCUUCUGCAUAGAGGAUUAGAUCAUGUUUUAGGAAGCCCCGACAAAUACCAUACACCAGUUGAAUUUCCUGCAAUUCGAGCAAAUCCCACUACUGAACUUCAACCUUUCCCAAACACCUUAGUUUCCAGUAACCUCAGUGUCAGUAGCAACCGAUGUAUUCUUCUACAGUAAAGCCAUCGUACAGAUGCUGAUAUCCACGGUGCUUUGUCCCCUCGAGAUGUCCUGCAGAAUGUGUCAGGAGAGCACAAAUACCACAGAUUAGAGUUACUAAUAGGAAUCAUAUCUAUUUGAACCAUGUUAUAGUUAUCCGAAUGCUCCAACCACAAACUUUAAGAUAAGUUUUCAAAAUGACCGCAUGUAUUUUUGCAAAAUCAAUUUAACCAAAUUCUUUCCUAAUUAUGUAUGGUACUUACUCUUCAUGGAAGAAUUAUGUGCUACAAGAAAUAUCAAAGCCACGAAAAAUGUUUUUGUUGGAAUUAAACCAAAGAAAAGUAUGUGUAGCUAGUACUAUGUCGGAAACAAAUCUAACAACUAUUUCGGACCCAAAAUAUAGGCCGGUUUACAACUUUCUAUGCACUUUGCCUAAACACUUCCCUGAAACCCCAACCCAAUUACUCUCAUGAAUACGCUAUCUUGAUACCAGUACAGCCCAGGGAGAUGGUCAUUUCAGCUUAUUUCCCUUAACUCUUGUGGCUGUAGGUUGUCAAUUGCCUCCCAGGGAGCCUUGGGUGCUACCAGAUGUGGAGCUUUCUUGGUCGUCGUCAUCAGCCUCGAUGAAGAAGAGUCGCGCACACCGCUGACCCUGAACAUAAAUCUCAUCACAGUUGAAGAAAAGGCCUUGGCUGCGACGUUCUUCUAACUCAGCUGGAGUGAAGCGCCAAACCUGCCGUGGCGGGGUUGGCUCUGGAAUGGUCGACAACAGAAUAAGUGGUAGUGGCGCUGGCGGGGAAGGUAUUGUAGCUGCGUUGGCCGCGGGAAGAUUGGAGGGGCACAAGGGCCCUGUAGGACCAGAGGGCUGGUGUGAUGGCAUUGUUGUCGAGAAAUGCUUCUGCUCAUAGGCCUUGGCGAAGGAGAUGGCAGUAUGUUGGUAAGAUGGCCACCGAAGCUCGACGUCAAUGUGAAGACCAUCAGGCAGCCCUGCUGUGUACAGAAGCCGUUGUUGGGACGGUGUUAAUGGCUCAUUGUUGUGGCACAUGAGCAAUAGAAACCUGCUGGUGUAGUCGGCAACCAAGGAAGUGAACGGCAGACGUGCCAACUCACCCGAAGGAUUGGCGCGAAGUGACGGCCCAAACUAAACAUGGGAAGCUUCCUUGAACUGCUCCCAUGUUGGCAUGCCAAAGUCGCCCUCGAGAUGUAAGUACCAGAACUGAGUGUCAUUGGUGAGGUGGUAGGCUGCAGCUCAGACCUUGUCAGCCUCCUGCUCGCACCUAUUUAGCGAACCAAGAGGAUUGACCGAACCAGCAUAUGUCGCGAAGCCGAGCUUGUGGAAGCAAGGCACGCCUGAACCAGAACCUAAUCCGAGGUGAUUGUUAAGUAGGGGCAGAAGGGAGGUGAUGGGCGAGGUGGGUCCAUAGAUGGGUUGUGGAGGGGGGUGCAGCCAUAACGUCACGAAAUCGGUUGGCAGGUGGAGGCAUGAAGGCGGUAGAGGCGGCGGCGGCGAUGGCCACGCUGGAGAAGGGGGCACCGGAGGUGCUGCUGGCGAGGGGAAGCACCAGGUCGCUAGGGUGGAGGGCCGGGGGCCCAGAGGUGGCGUCAUGGGCAGCUGUUGCAGUCAUGUUAUCUGAAGGUGGGGGCAGGGCCGGCAGCCGUUGCUCGAGUGUCGUCAAGCGCUGCACCAGCCCGUCGAGGAGCACCUGGUCCUCCCCUCGUUGGAGCGUGAAGGUCUCCAAUUGCUUCGUGGUGAUCUUCAUCUGCCCCACAGCCUCGAUUUCUUUGCCCGCCAUCGAGAUGGAUCUCAUACCAAAUUGGAGGAAUCUACUAUGACCUAACCCUAAUUACUCAAAAGUAGAUAAAAGUAAACGAAAAUAUUCUUCUCUGCUUUAUUGAAAGGGGUCGGCCCCUUUAUAUAAUAGACAAGACUUGACCAACAAGUCGGUAACUCUAUUCAAGCUCUAACACGGUCUCAAAAACUGACUCGACUCUUUCCUAACAAAGAUGCUUAAUCAACUAAGACACUAAUUAAGGGGUAAGACUCCACGUUUGAUGGGCUGGUCCACAUAACAUGCAUAAUUGGGAUCUCAAAAAGAAACAUGCAUAACUGCCAUAUAGGCGCUAUGGCAGUAAUCUACGACAAGUGAUGUUGUUGCGAACCUUAAAACAACUAGUGCAAAAAAUCAGUCUUCAGAACAGCUAGUUUAUUGCACAAGAAACAAUCAUGAUUGCAUUCCCUGGUUUGACUUGCUUUACAAGAAGGAUGGCAAAGCAUAUCAACAACAUAAAGUAACUAUCGACUGCUAAAAACACAAAGGAAGUUUGCAGUAGCAACCUUACUACCUCAUAUGCUUGGUGGAGACAAUAAUGGCGGGAAGCCUCGAUACAGGUGAGCAUGCAUCAUUUUGUUCUUUGACACAUACAUCCUCUCAAGCAGGAAUGUCUUGAGUUCCAAUGCAAAAUACUCUAUAUCCGGUCUCUGCUGUGAAGAGCUUCCAAACCAGGGCCAAUCUAGUGAAAUCCCUCUUAGGAGUAAGUACUCCUCAUCCGCACCUAUGAUGCACCAGUGAUAAUUGGGCAACGGAUGGUUUAUCGUGCUGUGCUGCCACUCUUUGGUGCCUUUACUUUUGUUUCGCCAAACCUUACAGUAGAAGUCUAACGUGCGCAUACCAAUAUUUAACAACCCAAUCAUACCUUCUCCUGCUUCCACAAUGGCGAGCCUUCCCCCAUGACUGUUGGGCGGGAGAUCUAUAAUGGUGAAUUUCAUCUCACGUGUGUCAAGCAUGAGCAGUUUGUCCAUCCAUUCUAACACCCAACAGAAACAACCGUGUGCAUAAUGGCGCCGAUGUAGUCCACAGCGUGCAUACAAUGCAUCCACAACUUCAUUGGACAAAGCGCCCAAACCAUGGUGUUGAAUACUAACCCAUUUACCAGUGUGUGAAGAGAAGAUGAAGACAGCAAUCUUGUUUUCGCACAGCACCUUGCAGAUCACUUUGAACGACGAUUCAUCCUCCCGCACGUCGUCACUGGCCGGAGCAAAGAAGGGCUCGAAAUCUAACAUGCCGCAGUGCUGGACGGAGUCCGCUAGGUCUUCAGGGACGGGUGGGAUCUGGAUGUAGCGCCGGGACAGGGGAUCACAGACCACGAGAUCCACGAAGGUGUUGGAGGUGGCGUCUAUGAAGUCGCCACGACCUUCGGAGACUGAGACGGCGGAGAAGAGAACGCGGCCGUCGCGGACGUCACGGGGGCUCCAGCAGGCGGGGUUGGGGAGGAAGCUGAAGGCGAAGUCGGCAGCCUGCGCGAGGGCGUUGGCGGCCGGGGCGGAGGGGUGCGGAGACUGGGCGGCGUAGAAGUCAGCACGGAGGAAGCCGAGCACGGGGACCUUGUGGAGGGAGCGGUAGCGGCGCGCGAAGGAGCGGGGAGCGACGACGUGGCGAAAUGAGGUGCAGGAGGUGGAGGCGCGGGCGAGGUCGGCCGCGGUGGAGAGGCGGAGGAGGAUCUCCUCCAGGAUAUCGUUUGGGAGGGAGACCUGGAGCUGUGGAGGCGACGGAGGGGCGUCGGAGUUCGGGGCCGACGGAGGGUCGUCGGCGUCGGGGGGCGGCGGAGUAGGUAAUUGUGAGGCCAUGAUGUGGUGGGGGAGCGAGCGGCCGACGGUGGGUUGUGGAGCUCUGUCUGUAACCCAGCUCAGGUUCCCCGGCGACUGUCUCUCGGGUGUCGUUUUGCUUUAUAAAAAAAGAAAAAUCCUCCUUAUUUAUUUAUUUAUUUUGAUAAACGAGAAUUCCUCCCUAUUUGGUUCCAAUUAAAAUUCUGCUUCACUAUUUGAUCUAAUAAUUAUUUUCCAUGUUUGGCACUACCUCUAAAUUUUAUGUCUUAUUUGGUUCUAAUUAAAAUUAUGCUUCGGUAUUUGACCUAAUAAAUAUCUUCCAUAUUUGACCUUGCCUCUAAAUUUUAUCUCUUUCUCGCAACUUCCAUCCAUUUAGUCAUUAUAAGUGAUACUUAAAAAGACACAUUUACCCCUCAGACCACUUUUGAGACAUGGUUGAAUAUAUUGGAAAAAAGAGAAGAACAUAAGUAUUCAACACAAUUUCUCUUAAAUCUCCCACCUCCCAUCUAUCUCAUGCAGUAGCACAUUGGCAUCGACGGUGUAGGUGGUGAGCGGGCACCAGCAACAACUGCGAGAAGGAGGCGGGCGGCAAGAAGCGCUGGGCAACAACACUAGUUGGUGCUACCCUUCUUCGAUGUUGCGCUUAUUCGUACCAACGCCAAUCCAUGAACCAUCCCUCCGUGUGCAAUGUCAUCUCCAUGCGACGUUGUCCCCUUGAGCGUAUGGGCUACCACCACAUGGUGCACCAUGCUCAACAUGGAGCCGUGUUUCACCGUGUCAUGCCAUGCCACGCUCAACUAACCUAAUCACCCAUCGCCGCCUCACACCAUCCAUCGUGGCAUUGUUUUGCGCGCACCCUGAGCAUAGUGCUUCGCUGACGCCAACGUUAACCGUACUGGGCACCACCGUCAGCCAGGGGUAGAUUAUGUGUGUCGUCGUCAUUGAAGUUUCAAGUCAAGGUUGAAGCUGCACAAAGGAUGUGUCGACAUAGACAUCAAUCACAACAAACAGAUAGGUUGCAUUUGCGAGGAGGGCAGGCGGAGAAGUGACGUCGAUGACGAGAAGGGUGGGUGUUGGCGAAACAAAGGGUGGGUGAAGAGGUGGGAGUCUAGCUUGGACCGGUGCCAUCGACCAUGAGGCGAAACGCUCAUCAGUGUCGACCAGGUGGAAGGAGGAAGGCGGGAGGUUGUCGGGUUGGAGGAGGAGAGGGGCCCCCUUGCUUAUGUGCUCCUAUGGCGAAGACAAGUGUAAGGGGGCAUGGGAAGAGGAGGGAUUUGGGCCCAAUGGCUUGUUCAACCUUUUUUCAUUGUUGUACAAUCAAGGGUAGUUUCAUCAAUGCAAAAAGGGACGUGUCUUUGAUGGAAUAGGCGAAGUGUCACAAAAGGCAUAAAAUGUAGAGGUGGUGUUUAAUAAAGAAGAAAAUUAUUUAGGGCAAAAUAGGAAAGAAAAGUUCUAAUUAGGACCAAACAAGGAACUCUCAGAAACAAGCUGAUCAACGUCGAACGCCUCCACACGGGACCCUUGCCAUCGACGAUUUUCUCACUGCUGGCGACCGCCUCCACCGCUACCUGAUGUGCGCAAGCCUCUUGGAGCCUUUUGUGCCCUCCAUUUCCUUUGUCAUGCCCUGCAUCGCCCUCGGUGAGUAAGCCCAAGCGCCUAGUCGGAGUCACGAGGUGGGUGAUGACAUGUGGGACUUACCUACCAUCCUGCCAGUCCUCUCUCUCUCUCUCUCUCUUAGUGAUGGUUGGGCCCCAGCCAUCAAGUUUAAACGCCCCAAUACACGAGCAUGCCGUUUCGGCUAAAGGCGGCUUAUGUUGUUAUGCCUUCGACAUGGCCCUUUGUCACAGCGUUGUGCACCUGGGUUGAGCCCACCUGAGCUCAUCAGCAUUUUUCUGUUAAAUGCCGCUCUGAGCGUGCAUUUGUUAACUGGGUCGGAUCUAUUCGGCCUGGUGUGCACAACAAUGUUUAUAUUUUUCUAAAUUACAGCGAACUUUGAAAAUUCAUAUUUAAAUAUCCACAACCCCAAAUCAAUUGAUUCCCGUUUCUAAAUUUAAGACCAUUCUAGAGACAUGGGUUCCAAAAAUAAUUGAGCACUUUGGUUGUACUACUUAUUUGGGUGGCUUGUUUCUGCUUUAUUCUUAUGUCUCUGAUGUUAGAUAAUGAUUUUCUUGAGAGAUUCGAAGAAGGAGCAGAAGACUUUGAAGAAUUUGCUGAGCUAGCCAAGCAACCUACUUCGAUCAUGUUGAACCCAUAUUUGCAUUACACACUUAGCAAUAUAAUUGUUUAAAAAUGCUAUGGUUGGUUUAGAAAAUAGAUAUUGCAUAUGUGCUUAUUGUUAACAUCCCCUUUGACAUUGGUAAUAUGUCAGGACCCUGAUCCUAAGUCACACCGAUCUAGCAUGUAACACAUCAUAUCACUUUGCAACUUCACGCACGGUAUCCCCACGGGUGCCACCUUACCUGAUCCGGGACCGUUUGCGCCUUUUGACUCACGUAUAUCGUAGUGUCACUAGCAUCCAUAUGAUAGAGAACCCGGGCCGGCAUGAGUAGUCAUAAACCCAAGGUGGCACUCUUACAGGGACAGACAUACAUGACCCAGCAACGAACGUGUUGGUCAUCAAUGUAUGAACCCAAGUCGUAGCAAGCUACAAGGACUUAAAGAAACAAUGUGUGACAUUUCCCCGAAGGGACAGACACAGGAACGAAGAAGGACACAUGCCGUCCAGCCUAAGUGUUCCGGAGCAGUAGCAAGCUACCAUGGCUCAGUGGAAGCACUAGGAGACAUUUCCCGGUAAGAGAGGUGAAGGAAAUAUGCCCUAGAGGCAAUAAUAAAGUUAUUAUUUAUUUCCUUAUUUCAUGAUAAAUGUUUAUUAUUCAUGCUAGAAUUAUAUUAACCGGAAACAUAAUACAUGUGUGAAUACAUAGACAAACAGAGUGUCACUAGUAUGCCUCUACUUGACUAGCUCGUUAAUCGAAGAUGGUUGAGUUUCCUAGCCAUGGACAUGAGUUAUCAUUUGAUUAACGGGAUCACAUCAUUAGGAGAAUGAUGUGAUUGACUUGACCCAUUCCGUUAGCUUAGCACUUGAUCGUUUAGUAUGUUGCUAUUGCUUUCUUCAUGACUUAUACAUGUACCUAUGACUAUGAGAUUAUGCAACUUCCGUUUAUCGGAGGAACACUUUGUGUGCUACCAAACGUCACGACGUAAUUCGGUGAUUAUAAAGGUGCUCUACAGGUGUCUCCAAAGGUACUUGUUGGGUUGGCGUAUUUCGAGAUUAGGAUUUGUCACUCCGAUUGUUGGAGAGGUAUCUCGGGGCCCACUCGGUAAUGCACAUCACUAUAAGCCUUGCAAGCAUUGUAACUAAUGAGUUAGUUAUGGGAUGAUGUAUUAUGGAACGAGUAAAGAGACUUGCCAGUAACGAGAUUGAACUAGGUAUUGAGAUACCGAUGAUCGAAUCUCGGGCAAGUAACAUAUCGAUGACAAAGGGAACAAUGUAUGUUGUUAUGCGGUUUGACCGAUAAAGAUCUUCGUAGAAUAUGUGGGAGCCAAUAUGAGCAUCCAGGUUCCGCUAUUGGUUAUUGGCCAGAGACGUGUCUCGUUCAUGUCUACAUAGUUCUCAAACCCGUAGGGUCCGCACACUUAAAGUUCGAUGACGGUUAUAUUAUGAGUUUAUGUGUUUUGAUGUACCGAAGGUAGUUCGGAGUCCUGGAUGAGAUCGGGGACAUGACGAGGAGUCUCUAAAUGGUCGAGACAUAAAGAUCGAUAUAUUGGACGACUAUAUUCGGACAUCGGAAAGGUUCCGAGUGGUUCGGGUAUUUUUCGGAGUACUAAGGAGUUAUGGGAAUACGGGGGAAGAAGUAUAUGGGCCUUAUUGGGCUUUAGGGGAGAGAGAGAGAGGCAGGCCACGCGCCCCCCAAUGACUAGUCCGAAUUGGACUAGGGGGAGGGGCAGCGCCCCCUCCUUCCUUCUCUUCCCUCUUCCCCUUCCUUGUCUCCUACUCCUACUACUUGUUGUCUCCUACUCCUACUACUUGGAAGGGGAGGAAUCCUACUCCCGAUGGGAGUAGGACUCCUCCAGGGCGCGCCAUAGGGGUCGACCCUAUCCCCCUCCUCCACUCCUUUAUAUACGUGGCCAGGGGCACCCCAUAGGGAUAACAAUUGAUCUCUUGGAUCUCUUAGCCAUGUGCGGUGCCCCCUCCAUCAUAGUCCACCUCGAUAAUAUCAUAGCGGUGCUUAGGCGAAGCCCUGCGUUGGUAGAACAUCAUCAUCGUCACCACGCCGUCGUGCUGAUGGAACUCUCCCUCAAAGAUCGGUUGGAUCAGAGUUCGAGGGACGUCAUCGAGUUGAACAUGUGCUGAACUCAGAGGUGUUGUACGUUCGGUACUUAAUCGGUCGGAACAUGAAGACGUACGACUACAUCAACCGUGUUGUGCAAACGCUUCCACUUUCGGUCUACGAGGGUACGUGGACAACACUCUCCCCUCUCGUUGCUAUGCAUCACCAUGAUCCUGUGUGUGCGUAGGAUUUUUUUUUUGAAAUUAAUACGUUCCCCAACAGUGGCAUCCGAGCCCGGUUUAUGCGUUGAUGUUAUAUGCACGAGUAGAACACAAGUGAGUUGUGGGUGAUAUAAGUCAUACUGCUUACCAGCAUGUCAUACUUUGGUUUAGCGGUAUUGUUGGAUGAAGCGGCCCGGACCGACGUUACGCGUACGCUUACGCGAGACUGGUUCUACCGACGUGAUUUGCACAUAGGUGGCUGGCGGGUGUCAGUUUCUCCAACUUUAGUUGAACCGAGUGUGGCUACGUCCGGUCCUUGAGAAGGUUAAAACAUCACUAACUUGACGAACUAUCGUUGUGGUUUUGGUGCGUAGGUAAGAACGGUUCUUGCUCAGCCCGUAGCAGCCACGUAAAACUUGCAACAACAAAGUAGAGGACGUCUAACUUGUUUUUGCAGGGCAUGUCGUGAUGUGAUAUGGUCAAGGCAUGAUGCUAUAUUUUAUUGUAUGAGAUGAUCAUGUUUUGUAACCGAGUUAUCGACAACUAGCAGGAGCCAUAUGGGUGUCGCUUUAUUGUAUGCAAUGCAAUCGCCCUGUAAUGCUUUACUUUAUCACUAAGCGAUAGCAAUAGUCAUAGAAGAAUAAGUUGGCGAGACAACAACGAUGCUACGAUGGGGAUCAAAGUGUUGCGCCGGUGACAAUGGUGAUCAUGACGGUGCUUCGGAGAUGAAGAUCACAAGCACAAGAUGAUGAUGGCCAUAUCGUAUCACUUAUAUUGAUUGCAUGUGAUGUUUAUCUUUUAUGCAUCUUAUCUUGCUUUGAUUGACGGCAGCAUUAUAAGAUGAUCUCUCACUAAAUUAUCAAGGUAUAAGUGUUCUCCCUGAGUAUGCACCCUUGCAAAAGUUUUUCGUGCUGAGACACCACGUGAUGAUCGGGUGUGAUAGGCUCUACGUUCAAAUACAACGGGUGCAAAACAGUUGCACACGCGGAAUACUCAGGUUAAACUUGACGAGCCUAGCAUAUGCAGAUAUGGCCUCGGAACACUGAGACCGAAAGGUCAAGCGUGAAUCAUAUAGUAGAUAUGAUCAACAUAGUGAUGUUCAUCAUUGAAACUACUCCAUCUCACGUGAUCAUCGGACAUGGUUUGGUUGAUUUGGAUCACAUGAUCACUUAGAGGAUUAGAGAGAUGUCUAUCUAAGUGGGAGUUCUUAAGUAAUAUGAUUAAUUGAACUUAAAUUUAUCAUGAACUUAGUACCUGAUAGUUUUUUGCUUGUCUAUGUUGAUUAUAGAUAGAUGGCUCGUGCUGUUGUUUCGUUAAAUUUCAAUGCCUUCCUUGAGAAAGCAAAGUUGAAAGAUGAUGGUAGCAAUUAUACGGACUGGGUCCGUAACUUGAGGAUUAUCCUCAUUGCUACACAGAAGAAUUAUGUCCUUGAUGCACCGCUAGGUGACAGACCUAUUGCAGGAGCAGAUGCAAACAUUAUGAACAUUUGGCUAGCUCAAUAUGAUGACUACUUGAUAGUUUAGUGCACCAUGCUUAACAGCUUAGAAUCGGGGCUUCAAAGAUGUUUUGAACACCAUGGAGCAUAUAUGAUGUUCCAAGAGUUGAAAUUGGUAUUUCAUAAUCAUGCCCGUGUCGAGAGGUAUGAGACCUCUGACAGUACUUUGCCUACAAGAUGGAGGAGAAUAGCUCAACCAGUGAGCAUGUGCUCAGAUUGUCUGAGUACUACAAUUGCUUGAAUCAAGUGGGAGUUAAUCUUCUAGAUAAGAGAGUAAUUGACAAAGUUCUCAAGUCACUAUCACCGAGAUACUAGAACUUAGUGAUGAACUAUAAUAUGCAAGGGAUGACAAAAGUAAUUCCCAAGCUCUUCGUGAUGCUGAAAUCGACGAAGGUAGAAAUCAAGAAAAGCAUCAAGUGUUGAUGGUUGACAAAGACCACUAGUUUCAAGAAAAGGGCAAAGGGAAGAAGGGGAACUUCAAAAAGAACGGCAAGCAAGUUGCUGCUCAAGCGAAGAAGCCCAAGUCUGGACCUAAGCCUGAGACUGAGUGCUUCUACUGCAAAGGGACUGGUCACUAGAAGCAGAACUGCCCCAAGUAUUUGGCGGAUAAGAAGGAUGGCGAGGUGAACAAAGGUAUAUUGGAUAUACAUGUUAUUGAUGUGCACUUUACUAGUGUUUAUAGCAACCCCUCGGUAUUUGAUACUAGUUCAGCUGCUAAGAGUAGUAACUUGAAACAGGAGUUGCAGAAUGAACAGAGACUAGUUAAGGGUGAAGUGAUGAUGUGUGUUGGAAGUAGUUCCAAGAAUGAUAUGAUCAUCAUCGCACACUCCCUAUACUUUCGGGAUUAGUGUUGAACCUAAAUAAAUGUUAUUUGGUGUUUGCGUUGAGCAAGAAUAUGAUUUGAUCAUGUUUAUUGCAAUACGGUUAUUCAUUUAAGUUAGAUAAUAAUUGUUAUUCUGUUUACAUGAAUAAAACCUUCUAUGGUUAUACACCCAAUAAAAUGGUUUGUUGGAUCUCAAUCGUAGUGAUACACAUAUUCAUAAUAUUGAAGCCACAUAUUCAUAAUAUUGAAGCCAAAAGAUGCAAAGUUAAUAACGAUAGUGCAACUUAUUUGUGGCACUGCCGUUUAGGUCAUAUUGGUGUAAAGCGCAUGAAGAAAAUCCAUGCUGAUGGGAUUUUGGAAUCACUUGAUUAAUGAAUCAGUAGAUGCUUGCGAACCAUGCCUCAUGGGCAAAGAUGACUAAGACUCCGUUCUCUAGAGCAAUGGAGCGAGCAACUGACUUAUUGGAUAUAAUACAUACUGAUGUAUGAGGUCCGAUGAGUGUUGAGGCUCGCGACGGGUAUCGUUAUUUUCUGACCUUCACAGAAGAUUUGAGCAGAUAUGGGUAUAUCUACUUGAAGAAACAUAAGUCUGAAACAUUUGAAAAGUUCAAAGAAUUUCAGAGUGAAGUGGAAAAUCAUCGUAACAAGAAAAUAAAGUUUCUAUGAUCUGAUCAUGGAGGAGAAUAUUUGAGUUGCGAGUUUGGUCUUCAUUUGAAACAAUGCGGAAUAGUUUUGCAACUCACGCCACCCGGAACACCACAGCGUAAUGGUGUGUCCGAACAUCGUAACCGUACUUUAUUAGAUAUGGUGCAACCUAUGAUGUCUCUUACCAAUUUACCACUAUCGUUUUGGGGUUAUGCAUUAGAGACAGAUGCAUUCACGUUAAAUAGGGCACCAUCUAAAUCCGUUGAGACGACACCAUAUGAACUGUGGUUUGGCAAGAAAUCAAAGUUGUCAUUUCUUAAAGUUUGGGGUUGCGAUGCUUAUGUGAAAAAGUUUCAUCCUGAUAAGCUGAAACCCAAAUCGGAAAACUGCGUCUUCAUAGGAUACCCAAAAGUUACUAUUGGGUACACCUUCUAUCACAGAUCCGAAGGCAAGAUAUUUGUUGCUAAAAAUGGAUCCUUUCUAGAGAAGGAGUUUCUCUCGAAAGAAGUGAGUGGGAGGAAAGUAGAACUUGAUAAGGUAAUUGUACCUUCUCCCGAAUUGGAAAGUAGUUCAUCACUGAAAUCAGUUCCAGUGAUGCUUACACCAAUUAGUGAGGAAGUUAAUGAUGAUGAUCAUGAAAACUUCGGAUCAAGUUACUACGAACCUCGUAGGUCAACCAGAGUAUGUUCCGCACCAGAGUGGUACGGUAAUCCUAUUCUAGAGUUCAUGUUACUUGACCAUGACAGACCUACGGACUAUGAGGAAGCGAUGAUGAGCCCAGAUUCUGCGAAAUGGCUUGAGGCAAUGAAAUCUGAGAUGGGAUCCAUGUAUGAGAACAAAGUGUGGACUUUGGUUGGCUUGCCCGAUGAUCGGCAAGCCAUAGAAAAUAAAUGGAUCUUCAAGAGGAAGACAGACACUGAUAGUAGUGUUACUAUCUACAAAGCUAGACUUGUCGAAAAAGGUUUUUGACAAAGUUCAAUGUGUUGACUAUGAUGAGAUUUUCUCACUCAUAGCGAUGCUUAAGUCUGUCCAAAUUAUGUUAGCAAAUUGUCGCAUUUUAUGAAAUCUGGCAAAUGGAUAAACAAAACUGCAUUCCUUAAAUGAUUUAUUACAGAAAGAGUUGUAUAUGAUGCAACCAGAAGGUUUUGACAAUCCUAAAGGUGCUAACAAAAUAUGCAUGUUCCAGCGAUCCAUCUAUGGACUGGUGCAAGCAUCUCGGAGUUGGAAUAUACGCUUUGAUAAGUUGAUCAAAGCAUAUAGUUUUAUACAGACUUGUGAUGAAGCCUGUAUUUACAAGAAAGUGAGUGGGAGCACUACAAUAUUUCUGAUAAGUAUAUGUGAAUGACAUAUUGUUGAUCAGAAAUAAUGUAGAAUUAUUCUGCAAAGCAUAAAGGAGUGUUUGAAAGGAGUUUUUCAAAGAAAGACAUCGGUGAAGCUACUUACAUAUUGAGCAUCAAGAUCUAUAGAGAUAGAUCAAGACGCUUGAUAAGUUUUUUCAAUGAGUACAUACCUUGACAAGAUUUUGAAGUAGCUCAAAAUGGAACAGUCAAAGAAAGUGUUCUUGCCUGUGUUACAAGGUGUGAAAUUGAGUAAGACUCAAAGCCCGACCACGGCAAAAGAUAGAAAGAGAAUGAAAGUCAUUCCCUAUGCCUCAGCCAUAGGUUCUAUAAAGUAUGCCAAGCUGUGUACCAGAUCUAUUGUAUACCCUACACUGUUUUUGGCAAGGGAGUACAAUAGUGAUCUAGGAGUAGAUCACUGGACAACAGUUAAAAUUAUCCUUAGUGGAAUAAGGAUGUGUUUCUCGACUAUGGAUGUGACAAAAGGUUCGUCGUAAAGAGUUACGUCGAUUCAAGCUUUGACACCGAUCUGGAUGACUCUAAGUCUCGAUCUAGAUACAUAUUGAAAGUGGGAGCAAUUAUCUAGAGUAGCUCCAUGCAGAGGAUUGUUGACACAGAAAUUUGCAAAAUACAUACAGAUCUGAAUAUGGCAGACCCGUUGACUAAACUUCUCUCACAAGCAAAACAUGAUCACACCUUAGUACUCUUUGGGUGUUAAUCACAUAGCGAUGUGAACUAGAUUAUUGACUCUAGUAACCCUUUGGGUGUUGAUCACAUGACGAAGUGAACUAUGGGUGUUAAUCACAUGGUGACGUAAACUAUUGAUGUUAAAUCACAUGGCGAUGUGAUCUAGAUUAUUGACUCUAGUGCAAGUGGGAGACUGAAGGAAAUAUGCCCUAGAGGCAAUAAUAAAUUUAUUACUUAUUUCCUUAUUUCAUGAUAAAUGUUUAUUAUUCAUGCUAGAAUUGUAUUAACCGGAAAUAUAAUACAUGUGUGAAUACAUAGACAAACAGAGUGUCACUAGUAUGCCUCUACUUGACUAGCUCAUUAAUCAAAGAUGGUUGAGUUUCCUAGCCAUGGACAUGAGUUGUCAUUUGAUUAAUGGGAUCACAUCAUUAGGAGAAUGAUGUGAUUGACUUGACCCAUUCUGUUAGCUUAGCACUUGAUCAUUUAGUAUGUUGUUAUUGCUUUCUUCAUGACUUAUACAUGUUCCUAUGACUAUGAGAUUAUGCAACUCCCGUUUACCGGAGGAACACUUUGUGUGCUACCAAACGUCACAACGUAACUAGGUGAUUAUAAAGGUGCUCUAUAGAUGUCUCCAAAGGUACUUGUUGGGUUGGCGUAUUUCGAGAUUAGGAUUUGUCACUCCGAUUGUCGGAGAGGUAUCUCGGGGCCCACUCGGUAAUGCACAUCACUAUAAGCCUUGCAAGCAUUGUAAAUAAUGAGUUAGUUACGGGAUGAUGUAGUACGGAACGAGUAAAGAGACUUGCCAGUAAUGAGAUUGAACUAGGUAUUGAGAUAUCGACGAUCGAAUCUCGGGCAAGUAACAUACCGAUGACAAGGGGAACAACGUAUGUUGUUAUGCGGUUUGACCGAUAAAGAUCUUCAUAAAAUAUGUGGGAGCCAAUAUGAGCAUCCAGGUUAUGCUAUUGGUUAUUGGUCGGAGACGUGUCUCGGUCGUGUCUACAUAGUUCUCGAACCCAUAGGGUCCGCAAGCUUAAAGUUCGAUGACGGUUAUAUUAUGAGUUUAUGUGUUUUGAUGUACCGAAGGUAGUUUGGAGUCCCGGAUGAGAUCGGGGGCAUGACGAGGAGUCUCGAAAUGGUCAAGACGUAAAGAUCGAUAUAUUGGACGACUAUAUUCGGACAUCAGAAAUGUUUCAAGUGGUUCGGGUAUUUUUUGGAGUACAGGGAGUUACGGGAAUACGGGGGAAAAAGUAUAUGGACUUAUUGGGCUUUAGGGGAGAGAGACAGGCAGGCCGCGCGCCCCCAAUGACAAGUCCGAAUUGGACUAGGGGGAGGGGCGGCGCCCCCUCCUUCCUUCUCUUCCCUCUUCCCCUUCCUUGUCUCCUACUCCUAUGAAACAUCCCAAAUUUUCAAUUUGGAAUGUUAUACAUUAGAUCAUAAUUGCAUAUCAUAUUUUAUUUGCUUUUGGUUUUGAUCCUAGAAAUUCUACGCAACUCAAGGAUCCACGGAGAGAGAGUUGGGGAUUUCGUUAUUUUCAUAUUUGAGUUUUCUCAAAUUUUGAGAAUAGGAUCAUUUGAUUUUAUUUAUUUUAUCAUCAAUUAUUUCUAUUACAAAAAUAUGAGAGAGGGAAUAAAAUGACUUUCCCAAAAUAAAGAAAUAUUGAGGAUUUAAUAAUAAAAUCAAAUAAGAUUUUAUUACGGAGUUUUUCGCUAUUUUAUUUGAAUUUAGGAAAAAUGUGCGUUUUUCAAAAUUGCAUUUAGGCCCCAAAUAAAUGUUCACCUUGUGCGGCUUGAUUUUAGAAGCCCGGGAAAAUUUAUUUCGGGAUUUUUGGAGUCUGUUUAGUAUUUCUUUUUAUUUUUUUCUUCCGCGCGUAAUUCUUAAAAAAACGAACCGACCUAACGGGCCGUGUCCGACUAAGACUCCGGCCCGACUAGGCUAUAUAAGCCGGGGGGAGGCCCAGCCGAAGCCAGCGCCCUAGUCCCGAAAACCCUAGCCGCCAGCGCCCGCCGCCGCCGCCCGCCGCCGCCUGACGCCGCACGCCGCCGCACGUCGCCCGAGGUCCGCCGCCGGCUCAAUUUCUAUGCCGGUUUUUUUAUUUUUUUCAAAAAACCGUUAGGUUUUUCCGUCGGUUUUUUUAGUUUCGGUUUUCUUUAAAUAGAUCGGUUUUUCCGGUUUAUUUAAUUCAGCGAGCGUUCGUCGUUUUUUUUCUUUUUCUUGGAUUAAAUCCGUGAUUUUUCUGAUCGCGAUUCCUGAUCCGAUUUUCAUUUUAGUUAGUAUAACUUUUCACUCGUUUAUCAGAAUCAGGUGAUUCAAGCGCCUGGAGUUUCGUCUCGAAACCCUCUAUCUGUUUAACCAACUUAAACAAGUUUUUGCUACUGUAAAAAUUGCCCUAGAUUCAGAUUAGUAGAACGAAGUUGUUUUCUUUCGCCAUUUGACUUUCGUUGCUUCGUUCGAUUUGAUUCUUUUUGCAAACCGGAGUUCUUAAGUUGAACCUUCUGGUUAGAUCUCUUAUUCGAGUUUUACCUGUGCAUUAGAUGAGUACUUAUUGUAUGCUUGUUUGUUUGUCUAUGAUAGAAUACUCGGAAUGCGCCGCUUGUUACUUCGAAUCGCUAGGUUUCCCGGAUCAUCAGCAAGGCAAGUAACACUUUGAUCAUACCUUUUCUACUACCCAGUUUUACUGCAUUACAUCAAUCCACACACAUUGCAUGAUUAGGAUCUAAUUAAAUUGUGGGAUGGGAAGUAGUUGAGGUAGUACCUAUUACCUGUUUAUUAUCAAACCUUUGGGAGUUAUUUCUACGUUUGCCUUUUAUGCCAUGCUAAGCUAGUAGACGUGGAUUGGGUGAGUGAUAUCCAUGAUAGAUGUGAGUUUGUUAAUUAAUGGUUUAUCUAAGGUGACAACUUAAACACACAUCUGGGUGGAUUGAGGCACCUGGGUAUUCCAGGACUUGCCUGUUUUCUUUUGGACCGCCACCUAGGCUCAAAGGGAUCAUGAGACUAUUCAUACUAGAAACUUCCGUGUGCAGCCACAAGCUAUUAUGGGCUCUAGCAUAGUUGACUAGGUCGUGCGAACUCUUACAGUGGUACACUAGCAGAUGUAGGGGAUGUAGGCGGUACGGUCUACCCGAUCGUAAGGUGCGAGCGCUUCUGAAAGACUAUGUCUCGGUCAUCCGUCUUCUCAAACACCAUGUAGUGCGAGAAACCAAACGGAGGCGAUCGAGUCUUGUGGGGAAAAGUGCGCAAACCUCUGCAGAGUGUAACAAACUAAUCAUGGUUAGCCGUGUCCCCAGUUAUGGACAUCUUGAGUAUCUAAUACCUGGAUUAUCAUGUGAAUCUCAACAUGUUACUCUAAAUUAUUAUUUUUGGGUUUGUUUAAUGAUGAAGUUUAAUUGGGAUUCAGAAUGCUGUCAACCAUUCUUAAUGUUUAACAACCACCAUGAUAGUAAUUGAAUUUAUUCCUUUGAAGUAGGGAAAAAUUGGCUUUACGCAAAACUGUAACCAUAGAGCUUUCCACCAGCCACAUAUGCAUAUAGUAUAGCUGUUUCAUUCCAUUAUUCUCUAUGUGUUACAUUGCCAGCAUAUUCCAUGUGCUGACCCGUUUCAGGCUGCAACGUUAAUGUUGCAGACUUUUUAGACGAUGAUUAAGGAGUUUUUAGGUCGUGGUUCUAUACUCAGUGAUGCCAUUGGAGUUGAUGGACUCACUUAUCUUCCAAGCCUUCCGCUGUUAUCGUUAUUAGAUGGCCUUAAGCCAUAUUUACUAUAAUAAGUUCUCUAUGGAGACACUCUAUGUAAUAAGUGUGUGAUUGCUACUCUGUUAUAAAUCCUCCGAGUACUGUGUGCUGUCAGCAUUACUGAUCCAGGGAUGACACCGGAGCAUAGAGAUCAGACUAUUUGAGGUCUGGUCGCUACAGAGAUGGUAUCAGAGCACACGCUGACUGUAGGACACGACCACUAAGCUAAAGACCUAGAUCACUAUUCACUCUCUUCUCCUCUGACUCCUCAUCUUUUCUACUCUUUUAGGAUGGCGGAUGCAAGGAACAAGUUCACGCAACCGGAUGAAGAUACACCCUUUGGACGUCACCUGAAGGAAGUCACUAGAUACCUGAACAUAGGAGUACCAAGCUUCACCGGAACCUACAACGCCACUUUACCUGAAGAAGAGCGCUGGAUGAUUCAAGUUCAAGUUCCAGGAAGGACGUUCAUGCUAGUCACAGAGCCCAUAGAGUUUUCUUUUGAUGCACCAACUUGGAGUCUAGGAAAGAGCAUGGCAGCUCACAUCGCCAUGGGACGCAUUGGAGAAGUCUACCCCAAUGAUCUCAAGGAUACUAUCUACCAGAUUUGUGGGCGCCGAGAUGAGCACUGGGAGAUGAUCAGCACCAGAAAGGAUGGAUCAAUUGCAGCUUUUAUCCAGGAGUUAAACUAGCACAUUCAACGACAGGAGAAUCAGAUGUGCGCCGACAUGAUAGAUCUGAAGAAGGCUAAGACAAGAAUCAAGGAACUGAAGGAAGAACUCAAGGCUACACGUGAAGAUUAUGAAGAGGAAAUUGAAGUAUUGGUGGAUAAGAAUGCCGACCUAACUAAGAAGCUAGCAGUAUUUAUGGGAGACCCUACACCAGUAGAUAUAGACGAAGAACCCAAGGAGAUUAGCCCGGAAGACUACAUCAUCAUCGAUGACACAGACUCGUACCCAGAUGACAGCGAUGAUGACUAUGUUGAUGAAGCUGGAGCAGAUAUCAUGGAUUCAGCAACCGAAGAAUAUUUCUAGUAGACCACCUCAUCAGUAGUAGUAGUCCACCAUGUAAGUAUAGUAGUCCGAGCACUUUUGCGAUAGUUAGAUCAAUUGUAUGCCCUUGUUUGAUUGAAUGAAGUGAAUUGUUUGCUUUUUCCUCAUGUGCAUAUGAGUAGUGUUUUCUCUUUAGACCCCCUCUAUUCUUACAUCUCAUCUUUUCUAAACCCUCAGAUGCCUCCGAGACGUGACCCCAGAUUUACCUUUCCACCGGAGCUCACCCAGUUGAUCCAGCAGCAGAACAUAUUGAUGCAGUUGCUAGUCUAGAAUCAGAAUCAGGGAACAACAACAACAACCCACCACCACCACCACCACCUGUUGACCACUUAGCCCAUUUUCUUAGGCUGAAUCCACCGGUGUUUUCCAGUAGCACCGAGCCAAUAGUAGCAGAUGAUUGGCUCCGCAAGACAGCUAGAGAGUUGACCACAGUAGGAUGCACGGAUGCGGAGAAGGUGAAGUUUGCCGCGCAUCAGCUUGAAGGACCCGCAUCAUCAUGGUGGGAGAAUUUCACAGCCACUUUCCUUGUCGACACUGUCACAUGGGACCAAUUUCAGCAGACUUUUCGUACUGCCCAUGUUUCAGCAGGAGCUAUGGCCAUGAAGAAGCGUGAGUUUCGCAACUUGCACCAAGGAGGACGGACAGUUGGCCAGUAUGUGGAGGACUUUAGUAAGUUAGCACGUUAUGCCCCAGAUGAAGUUGCUACGGAUGCGGCUAAGCAGGAGAAGUUUCUGGAAGGACUGAAUGAUGAAUUGAGCAUGCAGUUGAUGGUAGCAACCUUCAACAACUACCAGGAGUUGGUAGAUCGUGCACUUAUGAUUGAAGGGAAGCAGCAGCAAAUUGAGAAUCGCAAGAGGAAGUAUGGACAAGGGAAGAACAAUUCAGGAGCUCCGCAGAAGCCACGUUUUACCCCUAGACCGGGAGGACAUUUUCAGCAUACCCAUGGAGGAGGUAGCUCGCACAAUCACAAUGGCACCAGGAAUGGUAAUGGGAAUGGAGGAAGCAAUGGCCAGAAUCGCACCAACCCAUCAACCCCAGCCAAGAAGGACCUGAGCCAAGUCACUUGCUUUAAGUGUUCAAAGACCGGACAUUAUGCCAAUGAAUGUCCUGAAUUACAAAAUGGAAAUGGCAAUGGAAGCUCUGGGAAGAAGCCGAACCCUUUCAACAGGGGACAGGUGAACCACGUUAACGUGGAGGAGGUUGAAGCUCAGCCUGAUGCAGUAAUAGGUAAGUUUUUGGUUAAGUCAUUUACUGCACUCGUUCUUUUUGAUACUGGAGCAUCGCAUUCAUACAUCUCAAGGGGAUUUGUGGAUAAGUAUAACCUGUCAACCCAAGCCCUUAGGUCACCCAUGUUAGUAACCUCGCCUGGAGCAGAGUAUAUGGCUAGUCGAUGGUGUGAUCAGUUACCAUUAAGGAUUGGUAACUAUGUUUUUCCCUCAGACCUAAUAGUAUUGGAAUCCCAAGGAUUGGAUGUGAUACUAGGCAUGGAUUGGUUAUCAAAGUAUGAAGGGAAUAUUGAAUGUGCUAGUAAGUCAAUUUUGCUUACCACACCAGAAGGGAGGAGGAUCAAGUAUGUAUCCCGACAUGUGCCAAAGAGGACUCAAGUAAAUUGCUUAAUAGGAGUUGUGCAGGAGGAUGUACUAAUAGUGAAGGAUUUCCCUAAUGUAUUUCUAGAAGAGUUGCCCGACAUGCCACCGAAUAGAGAUAUUGAGUUUUUGAUUGAGCUAUUGCCAGGCACAGGGCCAAUAUCAAAGAGACCAUACAGGAUGCCCGCAAAGGAUUUGGUGGAAAUUAAGAAGCAGAUUAAGGAGUUACUGGAUAAAGGAUAUAUUCGCCCAAGUUCUUUGCCUUGGGGAUCGCCAGUACUUCUAGUGAAGAAGAAGGAUGGAUCGUUAAGGAUGGUUGUCGAUUAUCGAGGAUUGAAUGAAGUAACGAUCAAGAACAAGUACCCAUUACCAAUGAUUAAUGAUCUGUUUGAUCGAUUGCAAGGAGCUAAGGUAUUUUCCAAGAUCGAUCUGCGAUCAGGAUACCACCAGUUGAAGAUUCGAGAACAGGAUAUACCUAAGACAACUUUUACCACCAGGUAUGGGCUGUACGAGUAUACCGUUAUGUCAUUUGGUCUGACUAACGCACCUGCAUAUUUUAUGAACAUGAUGAACAAAGUGUUUAUGGAGUUCUUGGAUAAGUUUGUCGUAGUGUUCAUUGAUGAUAUCCUAGUCUACUCGAAGAAUGAAGAGGAGCAUAAGGAGCAUUUGCGUUUGGUACUGGGAAAGCUCAGAGAACAUCAAUUAUAUGCCAAGUUCAGCAAAUGUGAGUUUUGGUUGAAGGAAGUUGGAUUUCUCGGACACGUUAUAUCUGGAGAAGGUAUAGAAAUUGAUCCCACUAAAGUAGAUACCGUGACCAAGUGGGAAGCACCAACCACAGUGGGAGAGAUCCGGAGUUUUCUUGGACUCGCAGGAUACUACCGGAGAUUCAUUGAGAAUUUCUCAAAGAUUGCGAAGCCUAUGACUGAGUUGUUGAAGAAAUAUACCAAGUUCAUAUGGACGGAGGAAUGUGAGGCUAGUUUCCAGGAGUUGAAGAAACGUUUGGUUACCUCACCAGUGUUGAUUUUGCCAGACCAGACCAAAGAUUAUGAGGUGUAUUGCGACGCUUCACGUCGAGGACUCGGAGCAGUGCUUAUGCAGGAAGGGAGAGUUGUUUCAUAUGCCUCAAGACAACUGAAGCCUCAUGAGUUGAAUUAUGCUACGCAUGAUUUGGAGUUAGCAGCCGUAGUGCAUGCAUUGAAAACAUGGAGACAUUUUCUGAUUGGAAAUCAUUGUGAGGUGUACACGGAUCAUAAGAGUUUGAAGUACAUUUUCACGCAGAAGGAGUUAAACCUCAGACAAAGGAGAUGGUUGGAGCUCAUUAAGGAUUACGAUAUGAAAUUGCAUUAUCACCCCGGAAAGGCUAAUGUAGUAGCUGACACAUUAAGCCGUAAGAGCCACGUCAAUACAUUAAUGACGGGAGGAAUACCAAGGGAGUUAGCAGAAAAUCUUCGUGAACUAUGUUUGGAAAUAGUUCCGAAAGGCUAUGUAGCAGCAUUGGAGAUUCAGUCUACAUUGAUGGAUAAAAUCAGAGAAGCUCAGAAGACUGACAAGGAGAUUGCCUCUAUUAAGGAGAAACUUAGCAAAGGAAAGGCUAAAGGAUUUCGCGAGGAUGAGCACGACACCCUAUGGUUUGAAGACCGUGUUUACGUGCCCAAUGACCCGGUGAUCAGGAAGUUGAUACUGCAAGAGGCACAUGAUUCACCAUAUUCGAUUCACCCAGGAAAUACCAAGAUGUAUUUGGAUUUGAAGGAUAUUUUCUGGUGGACCGGAAUGAAGAAGGAUAUUGCGGAGUAUGUAGCAGUUUGUGAUGUAUGUCAGAGAGUAAAGGCAGAGCAUCAGAAGCCAGCAGGACCGUUACAACCAUUGCCGAUACCCGAAUGGAAGUGGGAUAAGUUAGGCAUGGAUUUUAUCACGGGAUUGCCCAGAACUCGUUCAGGCUAUGACUCGAUUUGGGUUGUAGUCGAUCGGUUGACGAAAGUAGCUCAUUUCAUCCCGGUAAAGACCACCUACACCAGUGCUAAGUUGGCAAAGAUAUACAUGACCAGGAUCGUAUGUCUGCAUGGAGUUCCGAGGAGUAUCGUAUCAGAUAGAGGAACCCAAUUUACCUCAAAGUUCUGGAAACAGUUGCACGAAACUUUGGGAACCAGGCUAGAAUUCAGUACAACUUUUCAUCCACAGACAGAUGGAUAGACCGAGAGAGUUAAUCAGAUUUUGGAGGAUAUGCUGAGAGCUUGUGCGCUGGAUUACGGAUCUAGUUGGGACGACAAUUUGCCAUAUGCAGAAUUUUCUUACAACAACAGCUAUCAAUCUAGUUUAAAGAUGGCCCCUUUCGAAGCCUUGUACGGAAGGAGGUGCAGGACACCGUUGUCAUGGGACAAAGUUGGAGACCGCCAGUUGUUUGGACCUGAUUUGAUUAAAGAGUCUGAACAGAAGGUGAAGUUGAUUCACGAUAGGCUCAAGGUAGCUCAGUCCAGACAAAAGAGUUAUGCAGAUUCAAAUCGCAAGGAGACAGUUUACGAAGUUGGAGAUAGAGCUUAUCUUCGAGUAUCACCACAUCGGGGAACAAAGCGUUUUGGAGUUAAAGAAAAGUUAGCGCCACGAUUUGUAGGACCAUACCAAGUUUUGGAUCGUUUGGGAGAAGUGGCCUACAAGUUGAAUUGCCCGAAGGAUUGUCAGGAGUUCAUGAUGUGUUCGAUGUUUCUCAGUUGAAGAAGUGCCACGCGGAGAUGGCUGACAUACCCCUGAGAGAUACAGUGCCAUUGGAAACUAUUCAGUUGGAUAACAAUUUGACCUAUGAGGAGAAACCAGUUAAGAUUCUUGAGUUUGUCAGUCGAGUCACUCGCAGCAAGGUUAACAAGUUUUGCAAAGUUUAGUGGAGCCACCACACGGAGGAUGAAGCCACCUGGGAACGAGAGGAAGAUUUGCUCAAGGACCACCCUCAUCUAUUUUCUAGCCAACCCGAAUCUCGAGGGCGAGAUUCAUCUUAAGGGGGGUAGGUUUGUAACAUCCCAAAUUUUCAAUUUGGAAUGUUAUACAUUAGAUCAUAAUUGCAUAUCAUAUUUUAUUUGCUUUUGGUUUUGAUCCUAGAAAUUCUACGCAACUCAAGGACCCACGGAGAGAGAGUUGGGGAUUUCGUUAUUUUCACAUUUGAGUUUUCUCAAAUUUUGAGAAUAGGAUCAUUUGAUUUUAUUUAUUUUAUCAUCAAUUAUUUCUAUUACAAAAAUAUGAGAGAGGGAAUAAAAUGACUUUCCCAAAAUAAAGAAAUAUUGAGGAUUUAAUAAUAAAAUCAAAUAAGAUUUUAUUCCGGAGUUUUUCGCUAUUUUAUUUGAAUUUAGGAAAAAUGUGUGUUUUUCAAAAUUGCAUUUAGGCCCCAAAUAAAUGUUCACCUUGUGCGGCUUGAUUUUAGAAGCCCAGGAAAAUUUAUUUUGAGAUUUUUGGAGUCCGUUUAGUUUUUAUUUUUAUUUUUUCUUCCGCGCGUAAUUAUUUAAAAAAAACGAACCGACCUAACGGGCCGUGUCCGACUAGGACUCCGGCCCAACUAGGCUAUAUAAGCCGGGGGGAGGCCCAGCCGAAGCCAGCGCCCUAGCCCCGAAAACCUUAGCCGCCAGCGCCNNNNNNNNNNNNNNNNNNNNNNNNNNNNNNNNNNNNNNNNNNNNNNNNNNNNNNNNNNNNNNNNNNNNNNNNNNNNNNNNNNNNNNNNNNNNNNNNNNNNNNNNNNNNNNNNNNNNNNNNNNNNNNNNNNNNNNNNNNNNNNNNNNNNNNNNNNNNNNNNNNNNNNNNNNNNNNNNNNNNNNNNNNNNNNNNNNNNNNNNNNNNNNNNNNNNNNNNNNNNNNNNNNNNNNNNNNNNNNNNNNNNNNNNNNNNNNNNNNNNNNNNNNNNNNNNNNNNNNNNNNNNNNNNNNNNNNNNNNNNNNNNNNNNNNNNNNNNNNNNNNNNNNNNNNNNNNNNNNNNNNNNNNNNNNNNNNNNNNNNNNNNNNNNNNNNNNNNNNNNNNNNNNNNNNNNNNNNNNNNNNNNNNNNNNNNNNNNNNNNNNCGCCGCCGCCGCCGCACCCCGCCCGAGGUUCGCCGCCGCCUCGAUUUCCGCGCCGUUUUUUUAUUUUUUUUCAAAAAACCGUUCAGUUUUCUUUAAAUAGAUCGGUUUUUCCGGUUUAUUUAAUUCAGUGAGCGUUCGUCGUUUUUUUCUUUUUCUCGGAUUAAAUCCGCGAUUUUUCUGAUCGCGAUUCCUGAUCCGAUUUUCGUUUUAGUAUAACUUUUCGCUCGUUUAUCAGAAUCAGGCGAUUCAAGCGCCUGGAGUUUCGUCUCGAAACCCUCUAUCCGUUUAACCAACUUAAACAAGUUUUUGCUACUGUAAAAAUUGCCCUAGAUUCAGAUUAGUAGAACGAAGUUGUUUUCUUUCGCCGUUUGACUUUCGUUGCUUCGUUCGAUAUUAUUCUUUUUGCAAACCGGAGUUCUUAAGUUGAACCUUCUGGUUAGAUCUCUUAUUCGAGUUUUACCUGUGCAUUAGAUGAGUACUUAUUGUAUGCUUGUUUGUUUGUCUAUGAUAGAAUACCCGGAGUGCGCCGCUUGUUACUUCGAAUCGCUAGGUUUCCCGGAUCAUCAGCAAGGCAAGUAACACUUUGAUCAUACCUUUUCUACUACCCAGUUUUACUGCAUUAGAUCAAUCCUCACACAUUGCAUGAUUAGGAUCUAAUUAAAUUGUGGCAUGGAAAGUAGUUGAGGUAGUACCUAUUACCUGUUUAUUAUCAAACCUUUGGGAGUUACUUCUACAUUUGCCUUUUAUGCCAUGCUAAGCUAGUAGACGUGGAUUGGGUGAGUGAUAUCCAUGACAGAUGUGAGUUUGUUAGUUAAUGGUUUAUCUAAGGUGGCAACUUAAACACACAUCUAGGUGGAUUGAGGCACCUGGGUAUUCCAGGACUUGCCUGUUUUCUUUUGGACCGCCACCUAGGCUCAAAGGGAUCAUGAGACUAUUCAUACUAGAAACUUCCGUGUGCAGCCACAAGCUAUUAUGGGCUCUAGCAUAGUUGACUAGGUCGUGCGAACUCUUACUGUGGUAGACUAGCAGAUGUAGGGGAUGUAGGUGGUACGGUCUACCCGAUCGUAAGGUGCGAGCGCUUCUGAAAGACUAUGUCUCGGUCAUGCAUCUUCUCAAACACCAUGUAGUGCGAGAAACCAAACGGAGGCGAUCGAGUCUUGUGGGAAAAAGUGCGCAAACCUCUGCAGAGUGUAACAAACUAAUCAUGGUUAGCCGUGUCCCCGGUUAUGGACAUCUUGAGUAUCUAGUACCUGGAUUAUCAUGUGAAUCUCAACAUGUUACUCUAAAUUAAUUUUGUUGGGUUUUGUUUAAUGAUGGAGUUUAAUUGGGAUUGAGAAUGCUGUCAACCACUCUCAAUGUUUAACAACCACCAUGAUAGUAAUUGAAUUUAUUCCUUUGAAGUAGGGAAAAAUUGGCUUUACGCAAAACUAUAACCAUAGAGCUUUCCACCAGCCAGAUAUGCAUAUAGUAUAGCUGUUUCAUUCCAUUAUUCUCUAUGUGUUACAUUGCCAGCAUAAUCCAUGUGCUGACCCGUUUCGGGCUGCAACGUUAAUGUUGCAGACUUUUCAGACGAUGAUUAAGGAGUUUUUAGGUCGUGGUUCUAUACUCAGUGAUGUCGUUGGAGUUGAUGGACUCACUUAUCUUCCAAGCCUUCCGUUGUUAUCGUUAUUAGAUGGCCUUAAGCCAUAUUUACUAUAAUAAGUUCUCUAUGGAGACACUCUAUGUAAUAAGUGUGUGAUUGCUACUCUGUUAUAAAUCCUCCGAGUACUGUGUGGUGUCAGCAUUACUGAUCCAGGGAUGACACCGAAGCAUAGAGAUCAGACUGUUUGAGGUCUGGUCGCUACAUCCUACUACUUGGAAGGGGAGAAAUCCUACUCCCGACGGGAGUAGGACUCCUUUAGGGCGCGCCAUAGGGGCCGGCCCUCUCCCCCUCCUCCACUCCUUUAUAUACACGGCCAGGGGUACCCCAUAGGGAUAACAAUUGAUCUCUUGGAUCUCUUAGCCGUGUGCGGUGCCCCCCUCCAUGAUAGUCCAGCUCGAUAAUAUCGUAGCGGUGCUUAGGCGAAGCCUUGCGUUGGUAGAACAUCAUCAUCGUCACCAUGCCGUCGUGCUGACGGAACUCUCCCUCAAAGCUCAGCUGGAUCGGAGUUUGAGGGACGUCAUCUAGCUGAACGUGUGCUGAACUCGGAGGUGUCGUACGUUCGGUACUUGAUCGGUCGGAUCGUGAAGACGUACGACUACAUCAACCGCAUUGUGCAAACGCUUCUGCUUUCGGUCUAUGAGGGUAUGUGGACAACACUCUCCCCUCUCGUUGCUAUGCAUGACCAUGAUCCUGUGUGUGCGUAGGAUUUUUUUUGAAAUUACUACGUUCCCCAACAAGAGGCUACCAAGAAUAAACAACUAGGUUGUCGGAUCCCACACAUACCAAGCAUUUCAAAAGCAUACACACAAUAUGCUCGAUAUGUGAAAAUACAACAUGGCAUCACAACAAAACUCUACGACUCAAAGUAUUUAUUCAUUAGGAUCCGAGGAGCCAAAUAUUACAAACAUGGGUCUGAUGACCCAGCAUUCAAGUCAUACAAGAAAUAAGCACAUGCGGAAGCUUAACUUGUCUGAGUACAGACAACUACAAAUGAGAAAGGCUGAGAAGCCUGACUAUCUACAAGACCCUGCCGAGGGCACAAGAUCGUAGCUGAGGUAACAAGCUAAACAUUGAAGUCCACGCGGAACUACUAGUGAGAUUGAAGUCUCUCUGCAAAAACAUAAAUUAAACAAACGUGGGUACAAAUGUACCCAGCAAGACUUACAUCAGAACUAGCUACAUAUGCAUCAGUAUCAACAAAGGGGUGGUGGAGUUUAACUGCAGCAAGCCAGCUUUGACCGUGGCUACCCUGAAAUACGACUGCAAGUAACUCUUUUGAGGUGGCGCACAUGAGUCCACAUAUUCACCAAUCAAUACACCACUAUGGAUCCGCUCCCGUCUCCCUACGAGUACGCCAUCCAUAGCACUCACGAUUAUCUUGCGCAUUUUAGAGUAUCCACUUUCACUUGUCUAUGAACUGUAUAGGCAACCCAAAAGUCCUUUACUGUGGACGUGGUUAUUCGAAUAGAUCAUUUAUAACCCUGCAGGGGUGUACUUCUUCACACACGCUCUCGCCACUUACCACCAUGUACACGCCGUGUAUCUCGGCAACCUUCAAGCGGAAGCCUGGCAAGGGAGUCGACCACGACCUGAUUAACCACACAAGUCUCUAGUCCAGGUUUAUCGCCUAUUCGGGUUCCAUCCGCAAUGAGAUCCGGCCGGGGUUUCGCUCACGGCCCCAAACGAUGAGAGCAGGGUUCUCGAGGCACCAAACGGGCAUCUCGGUACACCGUGCCUCAUGUCUCUACCGCAUCAUAGCCCACCCCUAGGGUCAGUGCUACGCACGGCCCCCAACACAUAUCCUACAAACACCAGAAACUAGCUGCAACUCCUGGACAGAUAUCAAGGCGAUUAAUAAGCCGAGAGGGGUCGAGUUACCGGAACCCAAUGUGUGGUAGUAAUUGUUCAUGGAUCACAAACACAAAACUCAGUUCCUGAGGACGGUUUCAAUGAGACAAUCCACCGUGUACUCCUACAUGGCCUCUCAUCGCUACCUUUACCAAAUUGUGUUCACACACUUAGCUCUCAACAAUAAGACAUGUUCACCACCUUCUAAUUCAUCCCCGAUGAAUCAGACCUGACUCAACUCUAAGCAAUAGCAGGCAUGAUAACAAGCAUGAAUGAGUAGGCACAUCAGGGCUCAAACAACUCCUACUCAUGCUAGUGGGUUCCAUCUAUUUACUAUGGCAAUGACAAGUCAUGCAGAGGAAAGGGGUUCAACUACCACAGCAUGUAACCAUUGAAACAUUGUUGUCCUAAUGUAGUAAAAGAGAGCAAGAGCGAGAGAGUGGGGUUGUAUAGGAAUGAACAAGGGGGUUUUGCUUGCCUGGCACUUCUGAAGAUAGUAUAGUUUUUCAACGGUGUCAUCGAUCUCAUCGCCGGAACCACGUCUACUGAGAGGGGACAAAUACCGACAAACAAGAGGGAGCACAAUCAAUGCAAUGCAACAAUAUGAUGCAUGAUUAUGACAUGGCAAUAUGCUGUGAUUUGAGCUAAUGCAACUAGUAACAGAAGGGUUUGGGUUGAUUUGAACCAAAGGUUCAAAUUCAAACUAUGAAUUUCCAAAGUGCAUUAACAUGUUUUGAUCUAUACAUCAAGGUUAAGUUGCUUUAUCAUGCAUGAAACUUGUACCAAUGGAUAGAUUGGAUUUUUCUGAUAAUUUUUCAUAUAUAACUCUUUUCAUUCUGAGUUAUAGAUUAUUGUCUAUGAUUUUCUGAAGUUUAUAACAUUUUUUGGAAUUUCCUGGAUUCAUAAAAAUGCUAGAAAACAUUUACUGCGUCAGCAUGAUGACAGCACUGCGUCAGCAGGUCAACCGGGUUGACCCAGGUCAAACCUAACACUGACUGGGGUUUGACCUAGCGUUUGGGCCCACUGUCGGUGGCUGUGAGGUAGCUAAUUAGGGGGGGUUUAGUCGUAAUGACCGUGCCACGUCGGCUAUCGCCGGAGUUCGGCCAGCGGUGACCAAAUCCGCGGCGGCAACUCACUAGACCUACACUACAGGCGGCAGAUGGAUGUGCGGAGACCACCAGGACGAAGCCUAGGCUCGGCCGCAUCCAGGGGAGGCGACAGAAUGACACAGGGUGGUCGAAGCUCGCUGGAAUGGGGCUCGUGGCGGCGCCGGAGUUCGGGUGAUUACGGGGUUGGUGCUGCGGUGCACGGGAGGGCGAGUGAGUGUGUGCGCUAGGCUCCUGUGGGCUUCCUGAGCACGGUGACGCGCUCUGUGGUGAGCUUGUGCAGCUGUGGCCACGGCUAUGCAAUGGCCGGCGAUGAGAAGCUCUUAGCCGCGGUGGGAAAUGGAGCUAGGGGACGACCGCAAGCACGAGAUAAGAGGGGAAAGGAAGAGGGGCUCACGGCGAGUGCAGAGGGCGUCGAAACGGGCUCGAGGAAGGGUUGGAGAAGGUGGGGCGGCAAAGUCAAUCUUGUCGUCAGGAGGUUGAAGACGAGCUCGGUGAGGACAUUUGGGGGCUUCCGGCGGGGCGGGGCUCGCUGAGGGGGCCGAGGACGAAGUGGCGGAGCUUCUAGGCUGCUCGAGGGAACGAGUGAGAGGUGAUGGCCGCGGUGGUGCUCGUCGGUGUGGCCAUGGCGGCUUCGGCCAUGAGGGAGAGCGAGGGAGCGAGAGGGAGAGAGAACCAGAGAGUGAGGGGAGGUCCGUGGCCGUCUCCGUGGCACUGGGAAAGAGCCUCGGGGGCGUGAGGCAGGCAGGGAGGAGGUGGCAACCUCAGCGCGCGCCAUGCCCGCCUUCGCCUCUGCCUACUGGCAGAGGUUGAGGACGACUGGCACUUGCCAAGUGGGCAGGCCGACUGGAGGAGCUAGGCCAGGUAAGUUCUCUCUCUUCUCUCUGUUUUCUCUUUUGUUUUUGUUUUCUAAUAUUUCAAUCUGUUUUGAAUUUGGCUUUCAAACCAAACCAAAAUUUCUGCUUCGGAAAAUUAUUGUGGGAGCUAAAUGGAUUAUUCUGGAGACCCACCAAAAUAUUUCAGAAUUAUUGGAGCUAAAAAUAUAAUUAUAGGAAUUUAUAACUCCAAAGCAAAUACUUAUUGGAUUAAUCCAGAGACCAUAAAUGCCAUAGAAAAAUGUGAAUUAUCAUUGGUUAAGGUUUUCACCCUUUUCCAUAAAUAAUGAACAUUUUUGAAGGGCAUUUUCGGUCCAUUGAAAAUAUUUUAGGUUAAACCUAGUUGAUUUGAUCUGGUGCUAGGGUUUGAACAAUCCCCAUUUCAACUUUCAAAGAAAUUUAGACAUGAUGCAUGGAUGCUUGUGCAACUAUUUGCAAUCAAAUUCUAGGGCUGUGACAACUCACCCCCACUAAACAAGAAUCUCGUCCCGAGAUUCAAGACGUGAGGUAAGAAGACAGAGGGGACACAAAGCUAACACAAUCUUCAUGAUCCAAUUACCCUCAUCAAGAUGUUGAUUCAUUGAUUCAAAUUAAUCUUGACGUGUUUGCAUUCGAGAUCUUCAUCCAACACGAUGACGACAGAAGGAAACUCUACAAGAAUCGACCUUCUUGAAGAUCGAGCAACUUAAAAUCAACUCAUGAAAUGAGACAUGGAAACAUCUCUUGAUCUAGGACACAAAAUAUACAUCAAGAGGGAUGGAUAGUAACAGAUGAUGGAAGUUUCAUCUAGUAGGCAACAAUUCUACGCUUAAAAGAAUGGUGCACGGGGUCAAGGUAGCGAGGAGAUAAUUGCCAUUACUCCAUAACGGAACACCUUGGGGGAGGUGACUCGUAGAAAUAUUCCCUUGAGUGGCAAAAGAAUUACUUUUGAUAUAGAAAUCACUGAAACUCUCUAAACCAGCCCAAGGAAAAUCACAAACUAUCAUUUGAAGGAGUUUGGAGAAAUGGCAUACUCAGUUUGGAAAGGAACUAGAGUUAUAAGACAACUCAGCAAGUGGAAAGCACAUUCCAGAUGAUGCCGAGGAUAUAACCCAAUGACUGAGCGUGCUCUCAAGAACUUGAGCAUUUCCUUACUCAUCAAGGUAUUACCAACAUCCGUGUCGAGGAUCCUGGCAACACAUCAUACUACCAUGAUGAAUAGUGAUGGACGAUGCAGAUGCAGAGGAAGACAACACUUUCUCAGAUUUGUCCUUAGCAAUGCCAAGGAACAAAAUCUGGAUGAUCGACCGAGAGACAUUUAGCACUCCGCUUCUAAUGUUCGCCUUGAUGUACUAGAUAUCACGAUCAUGCUUAAAAGCAUUAACAUGGCCAUCAAGUAUAGGUCAGACUUCAGAAGCAUUAAAUCCAUAAGGAACAACUUCUAGAAUAAGUAGCACGAAAUCCUCAUGGAGAAGAUGGUUAAAUGGCUCAAUCAAAAUACUAGAAUGAUAGAUCUUCCGGCUAGGUGCGUGCACUUCACCGGAACCUAUAUCAUAGUUCUUGGAAGAAGUUCCAACCAUCAUAUCUGCCUGAGAUUCAGAUCUGGUUGGUAACAGGAUAAUUCAGACAACAUGUCUGGAAAAGAAAGUUUGCAACACAAACCAACGAGAUGACGUAGCGAGAUUAUCGGGAAAUGGACUAUGGUAGUAAGCUCCAAAACAUGAGCUGGUUCUGCUACAUACAUGUGAACACAUUGUCCAAGACAAGCAUGAUCACAUAGAAGUCUUACAACAAAACACCAUCGAGUUUUGAUUGGGAACCAUCAACAAGGAUAUCGAAGUCCUUACAUAAGUCCGGAUUAGCUCUUAAGAAGGAACUUCUUCUCCUUGAACAAUUCAAUCAGUGACUUGGUGUGCUAGGGAAUACAUAUAGAAUGGAUGUAAUUAAUCUACCGAACCAUAGAAUACUUCACACAUGCAUGACUGACUUGGGAUGAUCCCAAAGAAAUCAAAACAAACUUUCUCGAAUCCACGACGGCAACUUGCAUCAAAUGCACAUGAACCAGAGGAAGUUACUCCUUUCAUCCAAACAUAUCCUUCAUGAAUGGAACACGAAGGCAUUGCUUACAAAGUAUCCAACACUAGCUUAAUGUUCAACACGAAUCAUGGACAAGAUAAAAUUCUGCUGAUGGGCUCAACAACAAGUCAUCAAGAUUCCCAUAAAGGUGGAAUUCCGCAACUAUGUGAACAAGGCGAUAGUAUUGGUCAGACCCAAAAGAUAUAAUGGUGCAUGCUCGAGGGGUCAACCAAGAGUAAGACAACAUUAUGCAUAUCGUUGGUUCUGAGUUGAUUUGAGAAUAACCCACACUCAAAUCAAAAUUUGGACAAGACAAUAGAUCCAACAUUUGGUCGCGGAGAUCAAUCGCUAAAGAUACCAUCUUUCUUCAACACAUGUAUACAAAGAUAUAUCGCUUUGGAAUGAACUAAGUCGGAUAAAGCAUUUAUCUUCCAACUCUCCAUGUUGUUGUUUAGCUUAACCAACUAGCUCAGGGAUAUCCAACACAAAAUCUUGGAGAAGGGGUGGUUUACAAGAAACAAACUUGAUCACGAGCUCAACAUAGCGGUCAGGGGAUAGCCUGAUAAUACUUCCGAGAAGAUAUUUGGAAAAUCACGAACCACUGAUAUGUUAUGUAAGCUCAGUAACAAUCUUGCUUUUCAGGGCAAGACGAUAUGAUCAAAAGAGUGAGGGAUUGACACAAUCCUAGCUCAUUGAUCGAAGAGUGCACCAGAAAUAAGGACUAGGUAGCACGAUCAAUCUUAGAAUGAUAAUUCAAUAACCAACACACUAAGAAAGAGAGUAUUGUCCUUUAACUACCAAGGAACACGGUUGCUAGGAGUAUUGAUUUCACACAUCACAUUUCAAUUGUCGGCAUUCCGGUUGCAACAACACGGAGACUGAGGAAUGAAGAAGAUGGCGAGAAGUAUCACUUCGUCAAGAAUUCAUAAAAUGUAUUCCUAUGAUAUGUUCGACAUAAGGGGGGUAAUACUCAAGGGUAGAACAGAACAAAAGAUGGAUUGACAUUUUGAUCUGCGGGAUACAACUUCUUUGACCCAUUAAUGUAUAUGGAUGAGGCAGUGGAGUUUUGUUUCUCCUAGUCAUUUUGGAAUAGAAUGGCUUGACGGACCAUAAGAAUAAUAGGCAUCGAUGAAUGAAUGCACGCAUACUCUUGACUAUCUAUUGAUAGACGAAGGUCAAAAGACAACUAAAGAGGGACAACGCAAAGGAACGUAUGGUUUUCUGAGUUGUGGGUGCAUAGAUUAGCAUGUCGAAUGAGUUCAACAUAUUUCUUUCGGAUAACCCAUGCAGAUAGGUAGAACUGGCAGAGUCACAAUAUAGAAUGUGGAACUCAUCGAGAGCACUCUUGUUGAGAUCUUUUGGUUCAAGAACUUCCGCCAUAAGCAGUUCAUGGUAUUUGGAAGAAAGAAAUACCAUAGACCUUGAGGACUAUCACAAAGGUUACUAAUAUCCUAAGGAACUAGCAACACUAUCAACAUGAAUGAGUAGUGUCGGAUUUCGUGUUCCGGCAGACCCUUGAGGUUCGAACACUGGGGUGCGCGCAGAGAUUUCGCCUCCUACCUACCUGCGCCCCUCCGCCUCGCUAAGGUUUAAGCUAUGGAAAGAAUAACACGAGGGACAUGAGGUUUAUACUGGUUCGGGCCACCGUUGUGGUGUAAUACCCUACUCCAGUGUGUGGCGUGGUGGAUUGCCUCUUGGGCUGAUGAUGAUGAACAGUACAAGGAAGAACAGCCUCGCGAGGGUCUGUUCUUGGCUGGGGCGAUGAACUGCUGGGAGGAGUUCAGCCACCUUUCUCUCUCUCUGAUCCCUUUAUCCUUCGAUUGAUCGAUCGAUCGAUCGAUUCCCUUCUCUUUGGGUGGCUGGUCCUAUUUAUAGAGGCCCUGGUCCUCUUCCCAAAUAUCGAGCGGGAAGGGAGCCAACAAUGGCGGGCUAAUUUGAAAGGGGACAGCUAGUACCAGCUAUCCUGACAAAAGUAGUCUUCGCCUGCACAAAGCUCUGGUGGUGACGCCGUCUUGGGCUCCACGAUGACCUCCGUCUUGCAGUCCUUCCGGUCUUGGUCUUCUUGCACGGAAAUGACAACCUUUGCCUGAUGCCUCGGUACUCCGCGGCUGCGCUUGCCCCCUUUGCACCAAAGAGGAAAGGAGGACACUGCGCGGGCUGGCACCCGCCUGGCGCCCUUGGUCGUCAUGGCUUGCGUCACCGGCACCUCGUGAGGUACCCCGCCUUGGUCUCUCCGCCUCCUCAUGAGCCAGCCUGACGAGGCCAUGCAUGAGGAAGCUCCGCGUCGUCUGCCCCGCGAGGCUUGGCCCCUUGCGAGGGUCUUGGGUUUGUGUUGGUGAAGAUGGGCCGCGCUGGGCCCCCCUUUGAGCCACGCUGCAGGCCGCAGGCAGGCAAGUCUGGGGACCCCCGUUCCCAGAAUGCUGACAGUAGCCCCCGGGCGCAAGGCGCGCCCGGACUUGGCCGUGCAGGGAGGCGGAAGGGCAAGAGCGAAGCGCCGCGGGCCGUAACAGCCUGCGGCCUUGGGCGCCGCGUGGCGGUUGAUUGGAAGUGGGCGGCACUGUUCCCCCACGCCCUCCUUAUUUUGCGCCAUGCUAGGCAGACCCGUAUUCGUACACAGCCGUUCCCCUUUCUGUUGCUUGAGCGCCCUCUGUCCUCCGCUCGAACUCUGGUUUCUGUUUUCAACCCAAUCUUGAACCUCCCCCUUCCCAUCGCCAUGGCUCCGACGAAGAAGGGAAGAGGGAAGAAACCCGUGUCUCCGCCUUGCCCGCCGCCGUUGGCGGCCCUCACCGAGGGCUUGGGCAAGGUCAGCUCGGCUCUGGCCACCAUCUUCAAUGAAUGCGGGAGGACGAUGGCCUGGCCCACGUCCCACUUCUCCAUCGACAGGAUAGUCACCGAGGUCCCGUAUUUUGCCGACGCCCUAUGGGCGGGUCUGGUUCCUCCCUUUUCUGAUUUCUUCAAUGCCGUGCUUUCCCACUAUCAGAUCCACAUGAUGCAUCUGGGUCCUGAAUCCAUCACUCUCCUUUCGGUCUUCGCCUUUGUUUGCGAGGCUAUGAUGGGCAUCCUUCCUUCGGUUGCCUUGCUGCGCCACUUCUUCUCGCUGCGCCUUGUUGACCCUACCCAAUGCUGGGCGUGUGUGAGAUUUGUUGCCGCAUCUGAGACAAUGGCCUCUGGGAUUGACUUCAAGCUCCCUCCGCCCGUGGCUGGGCUCCGCGAGCGGUGGCUGUAUGUGGAUGCUGGGGUGCCCAGCCCCCUGCUGUCGGAGCCAACUUCGCCUGCUGUCCCCAAUUCGGGCUGGGGCCAGGAGACGCUUGAGAGCCCCCGGCUCGUCUUUGUUUGGCACCGCUUCGCGUUCUUGAGGUCGCUUGGCGUGACAGCGCCCAAGGUGGUGAAGGAAUUCCUGCUACGCCGCAUUGCUCCUCUCCAACACCACUCCCGCCGGAUGUGGGCCUUCAGCGGGCGCGAUGAUCAUAUGAGGCUCCAGGAAGAGGACCUGACGCCUGAAGUGCUGAGGACGGCGCUCUUGACCCUGACGGGGGACCCCAACCCUGGCAGCAUCCAGCAGGGAGGGGCCUUGCUGUACCUCUGUCAGAGCGGGGGCGAUUUUGUGAGGCAGAUGCCUAUCUUUGAUGAGUGGGGGCCAUGCCCCGCCGGCCUCCAGGGUGUCAGGACCCCGACUCAAUGCCACAUCGAUCUAGCAUGUAACACCUCAUAUCACUUUGCGGCCUCACGCACGGUAUUCCACGGGUGUCGCCUUACCUUAGCCCGGGACCGUUUGCGCCUUUUGGCACACGUAUAUGACAGUGUGGCUAGCAUCCAUAUGAUAAAGAGCCCGGGCUGACAUGGCUAGUCGUAAACCCAAAGUGGCACAGACUUACAGGGACAGGCAUCCAUGACCCAGCAUCGAACGUGUCGGUCAUCAGCGAGUGAAACCAGGCUGUAGCACUGGGCUAGCAGGACUCCGGUGAACCGGGCUGUAGUGGGCUAACAGGACUCCGGUAUUCAUCGCGUGACAUUUCCCCGAAGGGACAGACACAGGAACGAAGAAGGACACAUGUCGGCCAGCCUAAGUGUUCCGGAGCAGUAGCAAGCUACCAUGGCUCGGUGGAAACACUAGGAGACAUUUCCCCGUAAGAGAGGCUACUAAAGAUAAACAACUAGAUGGUCAGAUCCACACAUACCAAGCAUUUCAAUAACAUACACACAAUAUGCUCGAUAUGUGCAAUACAACAUGGCAUCACAAAAUGACUCUACGACUCAAGUAGUUUAUUCAAUAGGCUCCAAGGAGCGAGAUAUUACAAACAUGGGUCUCAUGACCCAACACUCAGAGCAUACAAGUCAAAGCACAAGCGGAAGCUAUCAUGUCUGAGUACAGACAACUAUAAAUGAAAAAGGCUGAGAAGCCUGACUAUCUAUUAGAUCCUGCCGAGGGCACAAGAUCGUAGCUGAGGUAACAAGCUAAACGUCGAAGACCACGCGGUAAUACUAGUGAGACUGAAGUCUCUCUGCAAAAACAUAAAAUAGGCAAACAUGAGUACAAAUGUACCCAGCAAGACUUACAUCAGAACUAACUACAUAUGCAUCAUUAUCAACAAAGGGGUGGUGGGGUUUAACUGCAGCAAGCCAGCUUUGACUCGGUGGCUAUCCUGAACUACGACUGCAAGUAACUCUUUUGAGGUGGCGCACACGAGUCCACAUAUUCACCAUAUCAAUACACCACUAUGGAUCCGCUCCCGUCUCCCUACGAGAACGUCAUCCAUAGCACUCACGCUUAUCUUGCGUAUUUUAGAGUAUCCACUUUCACUUGUCUAUGAACUGAUAUAAGCAACCCAGAAGUCCUUUUCCACGGACACGGCUAUUCGAAUAGAUGAUAUUAACCCUGCAGGGGUGUACUUCUUCAUACAUGUUUCCACCACUUAGCGUCUGCACACGACAUGUGCUCGGCAGACUUCAAGCGAAAGCCGACGUGGGUGUAGACCACGACCUACCUAAACACUCAAGUCUCUAGUCCAGGUUUAUCGCCUAUUCGGGUUCCAUCCAUGAGGAGAUCCGGCCGGAGUUUCGCUCACAGCCCCAAACGAUGUGAACAGGGUUCCGUGACACCAAACGGGCGCNNNNNNNNNNNNNNNNNNNNNNNNNNNNNNNNNNNNNNNNNNNNNNNNNNNNNNNNNNNNNNNNNNNNNNNNNNNNNNNNNNNNNNNNNNNNNNNNNNNNNNNNNNNNNNNNNNNNNNNNNNNNNNNNNNNNNNNNNNNNNNNNNNNNNNNNNNNNNNNNNNNNNNNNNNNNNNNNNNNNNNNNNNNNNNNNNNNNNNNNNNNNNNNNNNNNNNNNNNNNNNNNNNNNNNNNNNNNNNNNNNNNNNNNNNNNNNNNNNNNNNNNNNNNNNNNNNNNNNNNNNNNNNNNNNNNNNNNNNNNNNNNNNNNNNNNNNNNNNNNNNNNNNNNNNNNNNNNNNNNNNNNNNNNNNNNNNNNNNNNNNNNNNNNNNNNNNNNNNNNNNNNNNNNNNNNNNNNNNNNNNNNNNNNNNNNNNNNNNNNNNNNNNNNNNNNNNNNNNNNNNNNNNNNNNNNNNNNNNNNNNNNNNNNNNNNNNNNNNNNNNNNNNNNNNNNNNNNNNNNNNNNNNNNNNNNNNNNNNNNNNNNNNNNNNNNNNNNNNNNNNNNNNNNNNNNNNNNNNNNNNNNNNNNNNNNNNNNNNNNNNNNNNNNNNNNNNNNNNNNNNNNNNNNNNNNNNNNNNNNNNNNNNNNNNNNNNNNNNNNNNNNNNNNNNNNNNNNNNNNNNNNNNNNNNNNNNNNNNNNNNNNNNNNNNNNNNNNNNNNNNNNNNNNNNNNNNNNNNNNNNNNNNNNNNNNNNNNNNNNNNNNNNNNNNNNNNNNNNNNNNNNNNNNNNNNNNNNNNNNNNNNNNNNNNNNNNNNNNNNNNNNNNNNNNNNNNNNNNNNNNNNNNNNNNNNNNNNNNNNNNNNNNNNNNNNNNNNNNNNNNNNNNNNNNNNNNNNNNNNNNNNNNNNNNNNNNNNNNNNNNNNNNNNNNNNNNNNNNNNNNNNNNNNNNNNNNNNNNNNNNNNNNNNNNNNNNNNNNNNNNNNNNNNNNNNNNNNNNNNNNNNNNNNNNNNNNNNNNNNNNNNNNNNNNNNNNNNNNNNNNNNNNNNNNNNNNNNNNNNNNNNNNNNNNNNNNNNNNNNNNNNNNNNNNNNNNNNNNNNNNNNNNNNNNNNNNNNNNNNNNNNNNNNNNNNNNNNNNNNNNNNNNNNNNNNNNNNNNNNNNNNNNNNNNNNNNNNNNNNNNNNNNNNNNNNNNNNNNNNNNNNNNNNNNNNNNNNNNNNNNNNNNNNNNNNNNNNNNNNNNNNNNNNNNNNNNNNNNNNNNNNNNNNNNNNNNNNNNNNNNNNNNNNNNNNNNNNNNNNNNNNNNNNNNNNNNNNNNNNNNNNNNNNNNNNNNNNNNNNNNNNNNNNNNNNNNNNNNNNNNNNNNNNNNNNNNNNNNNNNNNNNNNNNNNNNNNNNNNNNNNNNNNNNNNNNNNNNNNNNNNNNNNNNNNNNNNNNNNNNNNNNNNNNNNNNNNNNNNNNNNNNNNNNNNNNNNNNNNNNNNNNNNNNNNNNNNNNNNNNNNNNNNNNNNNNNNNNNNNNNNNNNNNNNNNNNNNNNNNNNNNNNNNNNNNNNNNNNNNNNNNNNNNNNNNNNNNNNNNNNNNNNNNNNNNNNNNNNNNNNNNNNNNNNNNNNNNNNNNNNNNNNNNNNNNNNNNNNNNNNNNNNNNNNNNNNNNNNNNNNNNNNNNNNNNNNNNNNNNNNNNNNNNNNNNNNNNNNNNNNNNNNNNNNNNNNNNNNNNNNNCGGGGAGGCUGCCACGGCGAAGCAGGAGGUGGCCGGCGUCGGCGCGCGUGCGUCCAGCACGCAGCUGCUUCGUGCGCUGGCACGGGAAGAAGACAGGAGAAGGGGGCCAGGUGGACUGGGCCGCUGGGGGAGCUGGGCCGGGCAGGUAAGCAGGUAAGUGGCCCAGGUGGCCUCUCUCCCCUUUUUUUCUAUUUUGUUUCUCUUUUCUAUUUCUGUAGUUUUGUUUCUGAUUUAGUUUAUAGCCCAAAUCAUUUUAAUAAAUCCUGCAAAUAAUUGUGGCCAUUAAAAGAAUUAUUACAGAGGCCCUUAACUAUUUUCAGAAUUGUUGGAGCAUUUAAAAAUAUUAAUAGUAUUUAAAUGCCCCAAUUCAAAUACAAUAUGGAUUAUUCAAAAAUCCAUAAUGGCCCAAAAAUAUUGGCAUCAUUUUUGGUAGAGGUUUUUCACCUUUGUCAAAAAUCAUGAACAUUUUUGAAAGCCAUUUGGACUUACUUGAAAGUAUUUUAGGUGAACCUAGUGAAUUCCUUUAAUGCUAGGGUUUGAGCAAUCCCCAUUUCAAAUUUCAUAAAAUUUAAACAUGUUGCAUGGAUGCUAAAGCAAAAACAAACAAGGGCUGAUCUGGGGCUGUGACAGCUCACCCCCACUAACAAAAAUCUCGUCCCGAGAUUCAAGCGUAGGGUAAGGUGAAGGGGAAACGCAAACUAGUAUAAUCUUCAUGAUCCAGGGUGCACUUCAAAUGAACGUUGAUUUGAACACCAUCAUUGUCUUGUCGUCUUGCUCUGAGAACUUCAGCUAAUCAUGACAAGAAGAGGAAAGGAAAACUCUAGAACAAUCGAUCUUCGAGAAGACCGAACAACUUAGGAUCAACUCAUGGGAUGAGAUAUAGCAACAUCUCUUGAGCUGAGAGACGAAGCACAGAUCCGAAGAAAUGGAGUAAGACAAAUGACGAGGGUUCGCUAAGUAGACAACAAUUCCAGACUUAAGAAUGUGGCGAUCGGUUGUCAACGUAGCGAGGAGUUGGAUUGCCAUGAUACCACAACGAGGCAUCUUAGGGAUGGUGACUCGUAGAUAUAUCCCCUUAAGUGGCAAAAAGAAUUACCUUUGAUUCAGAGAUCAUUGAAAUUCUUUAUACCAGCCUAAGGCAAUUCACAAUCGAUCAUUUGAAGGAGUUCGAAAGAGUGACAUUCUCGGGCCAGAAUGGAUGAUGUGGAUUACCUUGUUGAAAACAACACAAGGGAUGAUUUUAGUAACUAGGGAGAAACUCAACAGUAGUGAGUGAGUCCACUGUUUGAAAAGCUAUAGCAUAACCGAGGAAACUGAGAGCAAUCCUAGUUAGUGCCGAUGAUAACACCUAGCGCUUGUGUGUGCUCUCAAGAACUUGAGCAUUUCCAUAUUCAUCAAGGUUUUACCAAUAUCCGUGUCAAGGAUCCUAGUAAUACAACAUACUACCAUGAUGAAUGGUGAUGGAUGAUGCAGAUGCAACGGAAGAUAGCACUUUCUCAGAUUUCACCUUAGCGAGACCAAGGGGACAAAAUCUGGAUGAUCGACCGAGAGACAAUUAGCACUCCGCUUCUAAUGUUCUCCAUGAUGUACUAGCGUAUCCCAUUCAUAGAUAUGGUUUGAUAUCUAGAACAUCAAGUAAAGGUCGGACUUUGGAAACACAAAAAUCCAUAAGGGACAACUAGGGGGUGAAUCCUACGAAAUCCCUAUGGGGAGGUGGCCAACUUCUUUAAUCAAGAUACUACAAUAAUAGGUCUCUCGGCUGGGUGGUGCUGGCCACGACAUCCACUUUACCGAUUAUCGAGGGACCAAUAUUAUAAUUCUUGGGAAAUGUUCCAACCAUCACAUCUGCCUGAGAUUCAGAUCUGGUUGGUGUCAGGAUAUCCCAGACUCAUCAAGUCUAGAAAGAAAAAUUAAAGUUUGCACUCGACGAGAUGACGUUGCGGGAUUCUCGGGAGAUGAACUACGAUAGCAAGCUCCAAAACAUGAGCUGGUUCUGCUACAAACAUGUGAACAUGUUGUCCAAGACAAGCAUGACCACAAGGUAGUCUUAUAAUAAAACACUACCGAGUUCAGGAGGGGAAACCAUCAUUAAUGACAUCGAAGUCUCCACGCGUGGAAGUCCAAAGAGUUCACCUUGGACAGACUCCUUUAUCUUUGAACAACUCAAUCAGUGGCUUGGUGUGCUCGGAACACAUAUGGAAUGAAGGUUGCAAGUCUCCAGACCACAGAAUACUUCGCACGUGUGCAUGACUGAUUUGGGAUGAUUCCAAGGAAACAAAACUAGCUUUCUCAAAUUCACGGCGGCAACUUUCACCAAAUGCACGUGUAUAAGAGGAAGUCACUCCUUUCAUCAAACAAAUACUUCAUGAGCUAGCAUGAAGGAAAUGCUUCAAAAGUUUCCAACACUAGCUUAAUGUUCAGCAAAAUUAUGGAGAUAAGGAUGUUGUCAAUGGGCUCAACAACAAUUCAUCUAGGUUUCCUUUUAAAAGGAAUUCCAUAGUUAAGUGAACACGGUGAUAGCAUUGGUCAGACCCAAAAGAUAUAAUGGUGUAUGCUCGAGGGAUCAACCACGAGUAAGACAACAUUACGAAUAUCGUUGGUUCUGAUUUGAUUUGACAAUAGCCCAUACUCAAAUCAAAGUUUUUAUAAGAUAAUAGGUCCAACAACUGAUCACAGGGACCAAUCGAUGAAGAUAUCAUCUUUCUUCAACUAACACACCAACACUAGGAUAUCCCUUUGAAAUGAACUAGGUUAGGUAAGCUUUUAUCUUCUAACUCUCCAAGUUGUCGUUUAGCUUAACCAACUAGCUCAGGGGUAUCCAACACGGAUUCUUGGAGAAGGGGUGGUUUACAAGAAACCAACUUGAUCACGAGCUCAACAUAGCGGUCAGAUGACAACCUGGUAAUACUUCCGAGAAGAUAUACGGAAAAUCACGAACCACCGACAUGUCACUAAGCUCGAGAACAAUCUUGCUUUUUAGGGCAAGAUGAUAUGGUGAAAUAAGCAAGGAAUUGGAUAAUCCUAACUCAUUGAUUGAAGAGUGCACCAGGAAAUAUGGACUAGGUAGCACGAUCAAUCUUAGGAUGAUGAUUCAAUAACCAACACGCUAAGAAUGAAAUUGUUGUCCAUUAGCUACCCAACAACAAAGUUGCCAGGAGUAUUGAUUUCACACAUCAUAGUUCACCUGUCAGCAUUCCGGUUACAAUAACACGGAAACCGAGGAAUGAACAAUGAUGGCAAGAGGUAUUACUGUAUCAAGAGUUCAUAGGAUGGUGUGCAAUUCCCAUGACAUUCUUGAUAUAAAGAUGGUAAUACUCCAAGGUAGAACAGAGCAAAAGCUAGAUUAGCAAUUUGAUCUGCAGAGUACAACUGCUUUGACCCAAUCCUAGAAAUGGACAAGGCACUGGAGUUUGUUUCUCCUAAUCAUUCUGGAAUAGAAUGGCUUGACGAACCACAGAAGUAAAAGGCAUCGAUGAACACGAAUGCACAACUACUCCUGACUAUCAAUCGAUAGACGAGGGUCAGAAUACAACUAAAGAGGGACAACCCAAAAGAACAUAUAAUUUUCUGAGUUGUAGAUGCAUAGAUUAGUAUGUCGAACCAAGUUCAACAUGUUUCUUCCGGAUAACCCAUGCAGAAAGGUAGAACUGGCAGAGUCACGAUAUAGCAAGGAGAACUCAUCGAGAGCACUCCCGUUGUGAUCCUUUGAUCCAACAAACUUCUGCCAUAAAAGGUUCACGGUAUUUGGAAGAAGGAAAUACCACAGACCUCGAGGACUAUCGUAAGGUUACUAAUAACCUAAAGGAACUAGCAACACUAUCAACACGAGGUAAGUAGAGUGAAUCUUGGGUCAAGAACCCAGGAGUAGAAUACCUACUACUAAAUGGCAUCACGGGAUGCUUUCAAGAGUGAAGGCCAGAGUCAUCACACUGAGAUACAAUCAUGGCUAGAUUACUCGAUGAUCCCCUAAGACACCUAGGGUCAUAAUAAUAAUUCCAACAUAUAUACCGAGGCAGCAGGGUACCCCAACACUCUAAUUUGUGUGAUUAAUCUAGCCCAAAUGAACAUCAAAGUGGGAGGAAGGGAUUUGCAAAUGCUUCAGAUUGUUUUAGAAACCUGAGAUGACUCGGACAGCAUAACGGCUGUAAAUGCUCAGAAAAGAUUUGAGACAUUCACAAAAAUGGUGGCAUAACCACUCAGAAGCACAAUAUCAAGGUUCCGAGAUCAACAAUUAACAUACGGAAGUAGUAGGAACUGAACUGAGACUUAAAUCCAAUAAUCUUAUAAGUCUACUGAUUAGUAACACGUGAUCCUAAUAGAAAGAAGAGAUAGCCUAGUUCUUAAUCCCCGCAGGAAAGAUAAGAUGACUCAGAUCAGAAGGCAUAAGGUAUAAGGAAUAAAAAGAGCCUUACGUUCCAUCCCACAAUCAAUUCCCUUAUAUAACUAAGAAUUUCUAGACUCAACUUCGACCAGUUUGGCUUGGUAAUCCUACAGGCAGUCAAGCUCUGAUACCAACGCUGUCAGGACCCCGACUCAAUGCCACAUCGAUCUAGCAUGUAACACCUCAUAUCACUUUGCGGCCUCACGCACGGUAUUCCACGGGUGUCGCCUUACCUUAGCCCGGGACCGUUUGCGCCUUUUGGCACACGUAUAUGACAGUGUCGCUAGCAUCCAUAUGAUAAAGAGCCCGGGCUGACAUGGCUAGUCGUAAACCCAAAGUGGCACAGACUUACAGGGACAGGCAUCCAUGACCCAGCAUCGAACGUGUCGGUCAUCAGCGAGUGAAUCCAGGCUGUAGCACUGGGCUAGCAGGACUCCGGUGAACCGGGCUGUAGCGGGCUAACAGGACUCCGGUAUUCACCGCGUGACAUUUCCCCGAAGGGACAGACACAGGAACGAAGAAGGACACAUGCCGGCCAGCCUAAGUGUUCCGGAGCAGUAGCAAGCUACCAUGGCUUGGUGGAAACACUAGGAGACAUUUCCCCGUAAGAGAGGCUACUAAAGAUAAACAACUAGAUGGUCAGAUCCCACACAUACCAAGCAUUUCAAUAACAUACACACAAUAUGCUCGAUAUGUGCAAAUACAACAUGGCAUCACAACAUGACUCUAUGACUCAAGUAAUCUAUUCAAUAGGCUCCGAGGAGCGAGAUAUUACAAACAUGGGUCUCAUGACCCAACACUCAGAGCAUACAAGUCAAAGCACAAGCGGAAGCUAUCAUGUCUGAGUACAGACAACUAUAAAUGAAAAAGGCUGAGAAGCCUGACUAUCUAUCAGAUCCUGCCGAGGGCACAAGAUCGUAGCUGAGGUAACAAGCUAAACGUCGAAGACCACGCGGUAAUACUAGUGAGACUGAAGUCUCUCUGCAAAAACAUAAAAUAGGCAAACGUGAGUACAAAUGUACCCAGCAAGACUUACAUCAGAACUAACUACAUAUGCAUCAUUAUCAACAAAGGGGUGGUGGGGUUUAACUGCAGCAAGCCAGCUUUGACUCGGUGGCUAUCCUGAACUACGACUGCAAGUAACUCUUUUGAGGUGGCGCACACGAGUCCACAUAUUCACCAUAUCAAUACACCACUAUGGAUCUGCUCCCGUCUCCCUACGAGAACGUCAUCCACAGCACUCACGCUUAUCUUGCGUAUUUUAGAGUAUCCACUUUCACUUGUCUAUGAACUGAUAUAAGCAACCCAGAAGUCCUUUUCCGCGGACACGGCUAUUCGAAUAGAUGAUAUUAACCCUGCAGGGGUGUACUUCUUCAUACAUGUUUCCACCACUUAGCGUCUGCACACGACAUGUGCUCGGCAGACUUCAAGCGAAAGCCGACGUGGGUGUAGACCACGACCUACCUAAACACUCAAGUCUCUAGUCCAGGUUUAUCGCCUAUUCGGGUUCCAUCCAUGAGGAGAUCCGGCCGGAGUUUCACUCACAGCCCCAAACGAUGUGAACAGGGUUCCGUGACACCAAACGGGCGCCCGGUCUACCCGGCCACGUGCCUACCGCAUCACAGCCCACCCCUACGGUCAGCGCUGUCCACGGCCUCCAGCAUACUACAAACACCAGAAACUACUUGCAACUCCUGGACAGAGGACAAGGGUGAAUAAGAAGUCGAGCGGGGUCAUAUUUCAGGGCCCAAUGUAUGGUAGUAGCUGAAUCAUGGAUCACAAACACAGAACUCAGUUCCUGAGGACGGCUACAAUGAGACAACCCACCAUGUACUCCUACAUGGCCUCUCACCGCUACCUUUACCAAAUCGUGUUCACACACUUAGCUCACACCCAGUAGGACAUGUUCACACGCCUCUGAUUCAUCCCCGAUGAAUCAGACCUGACUCAACUCUAAGCAGUAGCAGGCAUGACAAACAAACAUGAAUGAGUAGGCACAACAGGGCUCAAACAACUCCUACUCAUGCUAGUGGGUUUCAUCUAUUUACUGUGGCAAUGACAGGUCAUGCAAAGGAUAAAGGGGUUCAGCUACCGCAGCAAGUAACAGAUAAAUCGGUGUUGUCCUAAUGCAUUAAAAGAGAGCAGGGGCGAGAGAGUAGGAUUGUAUCGGAAUGAACAAGGGGGUUUUGCUUGCCUGGCACUUCUGAAGAUAACAUUGAGUCUUCAUCAGUGUCAACGAUCACAUCAUCGGUAUCACGUCUAUCGAGAGGGGACAAAUACCGGCAACAAAGAAGAAAUACAAUCAAUGCAAUGCACAAUAUGAUGCAUGCUAUGACAUGGCAAUAUGAAUGUGUUUUGGGCUAAUGCGACUAGCAACAGAUUAAAUGAAGUUGGUUUGAAUACAAGAUUCAAAUUCAAACUCCAUAUGUGAUUAUUUAAAUGUCAUUCACUUCAUUUGCUCUAAACAGUAGUGGUAAGUUGUUCUAACAUGCAUGAAAAUGGUACAGAUGGAUUCCUUGAAUUUUUCUGAUAAUUUUUCAUAUAUAAAUUAUUUAAUUUGGAGUUACGGUUAAUUUUCUAUGAAUUAUUGAAGUUUAGGGCAUUUUCUGAUAUUUCCUGAAUAUUUAGAAUUAGAAUAAUUCCAGAAAAUGAAUUAUGGCGUCAGCACCACGUCACUGUGACGUCAGCAGUCAACUGGGCUGGCUCGGGUCAAACCUGACAUGUGGGGGCCACACGUCAGUGACACAGUGCUGGCUGGAGUCACAGACAUGUGGGGCCGGUCAAAGGCCACGUCAGCGAGGUCAACGCCGACGCGUGGGGCCACUGCAAUUAGAUUAAACUUAAUCUAUUUUAGUUAGCCGGUUAGUUAGGCCGUGGGGCCCGGCUGUCAGUGGCUCUAGGGGGUUAGUUAGUGGGGUCAUUAGCGCUAAUGACGACGCCACGUCAGAUACGCCGGCGAUGAGUCGCCGGUGACCACAGAACACGGCGGGGCACGCCGGACUUGCGCUAGAGGCGUCAGUUUGGCGCGCUGAGGGCACCAGGGGAUGGCCCUUGCUCCCGCGCAUCCAGAGGACCGAGUGGGAGGUCGUGGGGUCGACGGAGCUCGUCGGAACGGAGCUCGCGGCGGCGCCGGAGUUCGGUGAGUGCGGGGCUGGCGCUGUGGUGCACGGGAGGGCGAGUUAGGAUAGGCGUUAGACUCCUGGUGGCUUCCUGAGUGCGGUGACACGCUCCGAGACGAGCUCAAGCGGCUGUAGUGACGGCGGUGACGAGGUCAGCGGCGGCCGGAGUUCGGCCGCGGCGGAGCUAUGGCCUAGAGCUCGCAAACGCGAGGGGAGAGAGAGGGGUUCUGCACGGAGGCUCACCGCGGAGCUGUAGGGAGGGUUAGUGGGCUCGGGGGCGGCCGGAGUGCAGCGAAUCGACGGCGACGACCUCCGGUGGCCGAGGAGGGGAACGGCGACGUGGGCGGCGAUGCAGGGCGUCCGGGGCCUCGUGGCUUGGUGGAGAGGAAGAGGGGGUCGAGGCGGAGCCUCUGGGCUAGUCGGGGGAGCGAGGGAGGCCCGGCGGCCAUGGCUACGGCGAGCGGCGCUCUCAGGUGCGUUCGGUGACGAGAGGGAGGGAGAACAGAGGAGGAGGAGGGGGUCCAGAGAGAGAGAGAGGCGGUCGAGGGGGGUCGAGGCCGUCUCCGUGGCGUCGCGAGGGGGUCGGGGAGGCUGCCACGGCGAAGCAGGAGGUGGCCGGCGUCGGCGCGCGUGCGUCCAGCACGCAGCUGCUUCGUGCGCUGGCACGGGAAGAAGACAGGAGAAGGGGGCCAGGUGGACUGGGCCGCUGGGGGAGCUGGGCCGGGCAGGUAAGCAGGUAAGUGGCCCAGGUGGCCUCUCUCCCCUUUUUUUCUAUUUUGUUUCUCUUUUCUAUUUCUGUAGUUUUGUUUCUGAUUUAGUUUAUAGCCCAAAUCAUUUUAAUAAAUCCUGCAAAUAAUUGUGGCCAUUAAAAGAAUUAUUACAGAGGCCCUUAACUAUUUUCAGAAUUGUUGGAGCAUUUAAAAAUAUUAAUAGUAUUUAAAUGCCCCAAUUCAAAUACAAUAUGGAUUAUUCAAAAAUCCAUAAUGGCCCAAAAAUAUUGGCAUCAUUUUUGGUAGAGGUUUUUCACCUUUGUCAAAAAUCAUGAACAUUUUUGAAAGCCAUUUGGACUUACUUGAAAGUAUUUUAGGUGAACCUAGUGAAUUCCUUUAAUGCUAGGGUUUGAGCAAUCCCCAUUUCAAAUUUCAUAAAAUUUAAACAUGUUGCAUGGAUGCUAAAGCAAAAACAAACAAGGGCUGAUCUGGGGUUGUGACACAGGGGCCUCGCGAGAACCCAAUGGUGGUGACUACCCUUCCAGUCGACCAAGGCGACUCUUCCUCAAGUGGAGGAGCAGGGAGGCAUGAGGCGCCAGAGGCCGAGGGGGCUCUCGGCGGGGUGACAACACCAGGCGAUGCUCAUGAGGAAGCAGUUAUGGGGGCCCGUGCCGCUGAGGCUGAGGGUGACAAGCAGCUGCCCUCUGUGCCUACGACCGAGGCCCCUGAGGCUAUGACGGCUUCUCUUGGCGAGGCGAUUGGCAACGCACAUCAGGCAGGCGCCCCUGACGCAGAUCGCCUUGACGCUCCAUCUUCGUCGCAGGUUGAUCCCUGCGCCCAACUCUUAGGCCGCUUCCGCAUGGACUUUGAGGCCCUCCGGAACAAAAGGGAGGCCCUGGGCGACGAUUACCCUUGUCGCCUGCUGAAGCGUAGGAAGUACUUCGCCACUGAUGAGUAAGCCUUCUCCUUUCCCAGCUCCCGAUCCUUCUAUUGCUCUUACUGACCCUUGCUCCGCAGGCCCCUUCCAGCCGAGCUUAUGGAGACGGCUAAGGAGCCGUCCCCCUUGGCUUCGCCCCCUCCACCGUCCUCAAGCGCUCCAAGCAGUGGAGCCCUUGUGGUGAGGGCGAUCGACGAGGCGAACCAUCCCGAGGCGUAUCAUGGCCCCGCGCACCUCGCGAUCCUCCGCGGGCCUUCUCGUGGCAUAGCCAGCCUGCUGUGGGCUUCUCGCCUAGUCGUGGACUGCGAUUGGCUGAGGCGCUUCCUGCGCUCUUCACCUGGGGACGGGUUGGCCCCAGGCCGGGCUUUUGACGCAGCGUGCCUGGCCGUCGCGAGGGUGCCAGCCCACAGCCCCCAGCCCGAAGGGGGAGUGCUGACUCGUGGCCCCCGACGCUUGCUUGGGGCAGAUGAUGGUGUGGGAGACGUGCUCGAGCGCGCUCGGGAGCGUCGCGCUCUCCGCCAAGGAUUCCUUCGAAGGGCGGCUGACGCGGUAAGCCUGCUUGGAGAGGAGCUUGCUGAUGAAGACGCACGCCUUGAGGCCGAGGGCCUGUGCCUGGCUGUAGAGAGGCGCGAGCUGGAGGGCGCCAUCGCCCUUGCGCGCUGUCAGCGCGAUCUUGACGAUGCAGAGGCCAAGGCGUCGCUGGUGGCCUCUCGGGAGGCCCGAUCUUGGGCCGCCGAGGAGGCUCGAGAAGCUGACCGGCGGCGAAUGGCGGCGGAGGAGCGAGCUCGGGAGCUCCUGGCCUGGUGCCACUCACUGGAGGAGCAGGUGGAGCUGCGCGAGGCAGCCCUCGCGUCGAUGAAGGUGGCCUCCGGUGACUCAACAGAGCUCCAGAAGCGUGAGGAGGCGCUGACGCUGGAAGCCGCCGAACGUACCCGUGAGUACGAGCGUCUGGAGACGAGGGAGCGCUUGGUGACGCAGGCGGAGGAUGAUGUUGCUGCACAGGAAGCCCGCGUCCUGGAGGAGGUCGGACGUCGAGUGGCGAUGGCGCAUUUGAACCUCGAGCACGAGUUCGAAGAGAAGCUGGGGCUGAUCCGGGCCGAAGCUGAAGGCAGGACUGCUGCCUUGAGGGCCAGGCUGGAGGAGGCGACGCGGUGGGCCGACGCUUUCCGGGCCGCUCUUGAGGUGGCGCAAGGUGAGUUAACCGCCUCCUAGGCCGAGGUGCUCCUUCUCCGCCAGCGGGUGGAGGAGGCUGAGGUCGUCGCGGGCCAGAACGCGGACGAGAUACGUCAACGGCGGAUCCUGGAGCAUGAGCACGGCCCCAUGCUCACCACGCUCCGGGAGAGAGCCAACAUAGCCUUGGGCAACAUCUGCGAGGCGGCUGUUGGCGAGCUGCACGCUGUCAACUAUGCUGGCAAUCUUCAGUUCUUCACUGACGUGGUGACACAGCUGGAGGCGAGGUUGGUCAGGGCUGACAGGUUGGUGGAGGAGAGGAGCCGCGCCCUGCUCGGGCGCGCCUUUUCUCGCGUCUUCAGCCACCUCCAGAACAUGGAUCCCCACUUUGAUUUUGACGCCACCAUCGCCCCAGUCCCCCAGGUCGUCUGAGGCGAUCUGGCGCACUGGGUGGAAGACAAUAUGGAUGCUCUUAUCAGGGCCUUCGCUUCAGACAACGACGACGUGAUCGUGACGGCCGACGAGGGCAGCGUGGUGAAUGGCCCUGACGCCGCUGGCGGCGACGUGGACAGUGAUGGCGAGUUCAGCGACGCCAACAACGGCUCGGGUGGUGCUCUUGAGAAUGCAUUGGGGGAUUCAUCCGACUAAUUGUGCAUCGUUCCUACUUCCUUACUGUAACACCCCGGAUGUAACUUUCCCUAUUUGUACUCCAACUCUUGCCGUUUCCGGCGUUAAGUUAUAUUUAUUUCCUCGGGUUCGGGUCUUUGUCUCCGUGUGUUGUUGUCUUUGUCAUGCAUCUCAUAUCAUGUCAUCAUGUGCAUUGCAUUUGCAUACGUGUUCGUCUCAUGCAUUCGAGCAUUUUCCCCGUUGUCCGUUUUGCAUUCCGGCGCUCCGUUCUCCUCCGGUGGUCAUUUCAAGCUUUCUUUUGUGUGUGGGGAUUAAACAUUUCCGGAUUGGACCGAGACUUGCCAAGCGGCCUUGGUUUACUACCGGUAGACCGCCUGUCAAGUUUCGUACCAUUUGGACUUCGUUUGAUACUCCAACGGUUAACCGAGGGACCGAAAAGGCCUCGUGUGUGUUGCAGCCCAACACCCCUCCAAUUUGGCCCAAAACCCACCAAACUCUGCUACAUAUCCUAGAGCGUUCGAUCACGAUCGCGUGGCCGAAAACCGCACCUCAUUUGGACUCUCCUAGCUCCCUCUAUGCCUAUAUAUACACCCCCUCCGAAAUUCACGGGUCUCCCCCCCCUAAACCCUAGAUCCAUCCGCCGCCGCCGCCGGACGUGUCCGGAUGGGGCCGGACAGCGUCCGCCCGCCGCCUCCAGCCACCCGCGCGUCGACACGUGGCGGCCGCCACCUCCCACCGNNNNNNNNNNNNNNNNNNNNNNNNNNNNNNNNNNNNNNNNNNNNNNNNNNNNNNNNNNNNNNNNNNNNNNNNNNNNNNNNNNNNNNNNNNNNNNNNNNNNNNNNNNNNNNNNNNNNNNNNNNNNNNNNNNNNNNNNNNNNNNNNNNNNNNNNNNNNNNNNNNNNNNNNNNNNNNNNNNNNNNNNNNNNNNNNNNNNNNNNNNNNNNNNNNNNNNNNNNNNNNNNNNNNNNNNNNNNNNNNNNNNNNNNNNNNNNNNNNNNNNNNNNNNNNNNNNNNNNNNNNNNNNNNNNNNNNNNNNNNNNNNNNNNNNNNNNNNNNNNNNNNNNNNNNNNNNNNNNNNNNNNNNNNNNNNNNNNNNNNNNNNNNCCAGCUCCGGCCGACGCCGCCGCCGCCUCGGCCACCGGCGACCGUGCCCUCGCCGGCCGCCUCCUCCCUCCUCCACGCCGGCUCCGGCGAACUCGGGUCCGGCCAGCUACAGUGCCGCGAGUUCCGAUCUGGAUCGGGGUUGCUACAGUAAACCCUAGGGGUAGUUUUUUUCCACCAAGUCCCGGAUAUUUUUAGUUCAUAUGCCCCUGUUCGCGGCCCCGUAACUUUGCAUCCGUAGCUCCGAUUCAUGCAUAUAGCAUAUCAAAAUGUUCACCUUAGAGAGUACAUUAUUUCAUUCCAUUGCAUCAUUUUCAUUUGCGUUCAUCUUGAUGCCCGAAAUGCUGUUAGAAGAGGGCUACUUGAGUUAAUUGUCAGAUCUGCUACUCCGUUUAGCACUUUUGUCAUUUUUGCCAUGUUUAAUGUGUGCAUGAUAUGCCCGUGAGUUCUUCAUAUGUUUUGUUAAAUGUUUUGUCAUCUUUCCAGAGGUGCAACCCAUGUAUUUUUAGGAUGUGUGUGGUGACUUGUGCAAUCUUGCAAAGUGGUGCACUUGCUAAUUCUGUUUUCAGGGACUUGGUGAUUUCACUAAGUCCUGGGAUUGUUUAUCUCACGAUGCCAUAUGUUCAUGUUAUUUCCUAGUGAUCCGUGCCUCUUUUGAGGAUGAUCAGUAAGGGAGUUUUGUUAAUCUUGUAGUUCUCUAUCCAUCCAUGUCUUUGUUUGCAAUUAUGGAGCAUGCUAGCUUGAGUCAAUCGAGCUCUACUUUUGCUUCGUUGCGAAUCUGGGCAGAUCAUCAACUCGUUUGCGGUUUUGCCGAUGUUAUUGUAGUUGAUCCGUGCAUGCUAUGCCAUUGUUCUUGCCAUGUCUAUAUGGUAUUUUGUGCCUUCUUAAGGGAUGUAUGCUUGUCUUGCCAUGACUUGCACCGUGGUGAGUGCAUCGAGCUCGUAAACAUGCCUUCGUGAGUUACGUUUCAGCAUGUCCCAGUUUUCACUAAGUCUGAAAACUGAUUAUGUUUUUGCUAUGUUCGUGUGCUUGUUAGUAUAUUUUGUGAUCCCUUUUGGCUCAAGGUCACUAAGGGACUUUUGUUAAGCUUGUUGAGUAGCUCCAUGCCAUGUCUUUCUUUGUCAUGUUCAGGUCCUGUAGCAUGUUGUUUUGUUUCUCCGAGGAGGGCUAUAUGAUCUGAAAUUCCAGACAAGUGUUAAUAUCACUAAUUCCGAGAUCUGUUUUACCAUUUGCGUUUUUGACAUGCUUGUUUGUACCUCCUAAUGGAUGAAUUGGCCGUAGCUCAGUGCUAGACUUUUGUUAAGCAUCUUGAAUGCUUCCCUACCAUGUAUUAUGUUGUCAUGUUUGGGUGCUGUAGCAUGUUCAUCUCAUUGCAUUUAGAUGCCCACUUGCUGUAAAUCGUAGACCGGUGUCAUAUUUGAAUCGCUUGCCAUUUCCAAACCGUAACUCCGAUUCCGGCGUUCUUUAUAUCGUUUUCAAGCGAUUUCAUCUCAUAUUUCCAGUGGAACACUUGGAUUUCCAAGUUGAGGCCAGGUUCAUGCAUUUCCUGUCAUAUCUUGCAUUUUGCAUCCCGCAUCGCAUCUCGCAUAGCAUAUCAUCUUUGCAUUGUGUUGUUUGAGUUUUGCACGUGGUUGAUUGUAUCCUUGUUGCUUGUUUGCCUUGUUUGGUUAGAGCCGGGAGACGAGUUCGCUAACGAGGAGCCCGUUGACUUUGCUUUUGAGGAUCCAGUCAACUCUGACAACUAUGCAGGCAAGAUGAUCGUACCCUCGAAAUCACUACUAUCUUUGCUAUGCUAGUUUUGCUCGCUCUUUUGCUAUGCCAUUGCUACGAUGCCUACCACUUGCUUGCAAGCCUCCCAAAUUGCCAUGUCAAACCUCUAACCCACCAUUGUCCUAGCAAACCAUUGAUUGGCUAUGUUACCGCUUUUCUCAGCCCCUCUUAUAGCGUUGCUAGUUGCAGGUGAAGAUUGGAGGCUGUUCCUUGUUGGAACAUCUUUUAUUUACUUGUUGGGAUAUCAUUAUAUUAUCUUACUAUCUUAAUGCAUCUAUAUACUUGGUAAAGGGUGGAAGGCUCGGCCUCUCGCCUAGUGUUUUGUUCCACUCUUGCCGCCCUAGUUUCCCUCAUAUCGGUGUUGUGUUCCCGGAUUUUACGUUCCUUACGCGGUUGGGUUAUAAUGGGAACCCCUUGAUAGUUUGCCUUGAUUAAAGCUUUUCCAGCAAUGCCCAACCUUGGUCUUACCAUUUGCCACCUAGCCUCUUUUUCCCUCGGGUUUCUGGAGCCCGCGGGUCAUCUUAUUUUAAACCCCCCGGGCCAGUGCUCCUCUGAGUGUUGGUCCAACCGAGUAGACUGCGGGGCCACCUCGGGGCAACUCGAGGGUUGGUUUUACUCGUAGGAUGUCUCAUCUGAGUGUGCCCUGAGAAAGAGAUAUUUGCAGCUCCUAUCGGGAUUUGUCGGCACAUUCGAGCGGUGUUGCUGGUCUUGUCUUAACUUGUCGAAGUGUCUUGAGUUACCGAGAUACCGAGUCUGAUCGGAACGUCUUGGGAGGAGGUCUAUUCCUUCGUUGACCGUGAGAGCUUGUCAUGGGCUAAGUUGGGACUCCCCUGCAGGGAUUGAACUUUCGAAAGCCAUGCCCACGGUUAUGGGCAGAUGGGAAUUUGUUAAUGUCCGGUUGUAGAUAACUUGAACCUUAAUUUAAUUAAAAUGAAUCAACUGAGUUUGUUACCGUGAUGGCCUCUUCUCGGCGGAGUCCGGGAAGUGGACACGGUGUUGGAGUAAUGUUUGCGCAGGUUGUUCUCUAGCUUCUCGCUCAUGCUUUGCCUCCUCUUCUCGCUCUCUUUUGCGAAUAAGUUAGCCACCAUACUUGCUAGUAGCUUGCUGCAGCUCCACUCAUAUUUUUCCUUGCCUUACCUAUAAGCUUAAAUAGUCUUGAUCGCAAGGGUGCGAGAUUGCUGAGUCCCUGUGGCUCACAGAUUACCAUUACACCAGAUGCAGGGCCUGACGACUCCGCUCCAGGAUACGCGUAUGAGCUCAAGUGGGAGUUCGACGAAGACUCUCAACGAUACUAUGUUUCCUUUCCCGAUGAUCAGUAGUGGUGCCCAGUUGGGGGUGAACGGGACCGUUGUCGCAUGUUGGGUUAUCUUUCAUUUUGGCGCCGUAGUCGGGCCAUGAGUGUUUGGAUGAUGUAAUGUUAUUUUUGUACUUGAUUGACGUGGCGAGUGUAAGCCAACUAUGUUAUCUCCCCUUAUAUUAUUGUAUUACAUGGGAUGUUUGUGAAGAUUGCCUAACUUGCGACAUAUGCCUUCAAUGCGAUUAUAUCUCUAAGUCGCGCCUCGACACGUGGGAGCUAUAGUCGCAUCGAGGGUGUAAUAAGUUGGUAAUCAGAGCCUUCCCCUACCUUAGGAGCCCCAUUGCUUGAUCGUUUUUAGCGGCCGAGUUGUGUCUAGAAAAAUGUUUUGAGUCUUUUAGGAAUUAUAUAUCGGAGAGAUUAGGAAUUCUUUUUACUUCCCAGUCUCCUCAUCGCUCUGGUAAGGCUUCCUAACGUAGAGUUUUGACUCUUCUCUUGUCAAAUUUCACUAAAUUUUUUUAGGAUCACGCGGGUAUCUUGGAAUCGUUCCGAUGGUUUUUUGAUGAGAACAUUGUCUUGGUGCCUCCUGUCACGGGUUUAGUGGAAGUGUCCCGGGGAGUUGAGCUCUGAGGUGUUGUCAUCAUAAUUUUAUCGUUACAGUUCUGGAAUACCUGAGUCUAGUACGCCGACAUCGAAAAUCUCUUUUAUGCAGUUCGUUGGUGAGAUAACCUCGACGCCACCCAGUACUGGGGUGGGAGUUCGGGAGUAUCGCCAUAACUUGUAUAACGGAUGCUUUUCGAAGGUUGAGGUAGAUGGUUUCCGAAGUUUUCUUGGUUAUGUGUUGAAGGAUGGAUACAGCUGGAUGUAGGAUUUGCUAGUUUGGGUGAGAUAUUAUGCUUCCCCUGUAUCCCCAACACCUGAUUGCAUAACCGGAAAGGUUCGGAAGUUUCAUAGGUGGGAAUUCUAGUAGCUCUAGUUCUUCUUCCACGGAUAUUGGUUUGAGAUUGGGAUUUCUUACCGAUUAUUCGUUCUUGAUCCGUACCUUGUUGAUUUAUUUCUCUACCUUAAUUCUACGUGGCUUCUCAAUUUAUGGACAUGUGACCAUUUCAAGAGGAAUGCAUUCGUUCAUUUUGUUCGGAUGUGAAGACUAUAUGUUGCAAUUUUCAUUCCGUUGGAUUCAGCUUCAUUAUUUGUCUAUCAAUGUGCUAAUGGUGGUCAACCUCUUCAGGAUGGCUCCUCCAACGCGCACGACUCCGAAUCCUGAUCCGCCACCACCUCCACCUCCUCCAGAGGCAUGGCAAGCUGUGAUGGCCGCAACCAAUGCAAACACACAGCUGAUCAUGCAAAUUCUUCAAGAGCGCAAUCAAGGCAGUCAAGGGAAUCAAGGCAGCAAUCAGGGUCACUUUGCUACACUCAACCAGUUCCUUGCUAACGGGCCAAAGACUUUCAGCAAUUGUGUUGAGGCAACCGAUGCUGACGAUUGGCUUGUGGAUCUGUGCAAGCAUUUCGAGUGCAGUAACGUCAGGCCUGAGGACUUUGUUAAGUUCGCUUCCUUCCAACUCAAAGAUCAAGCUACAGAAUGGUUCCAGCAGUACAAGGACUCCAGAGGUGGACGUGUUAUCACUUGGGAUGAUUUCCGUCGAGAUUUCCGAGCUCAUCAUAUUCCACAGAGCGUGGUUGAAAGCAAGCGUGAGGAAUUCCACAAUCUGAAGCAAGGCUCUUUGUCUGUCUAUGACUACAACAAGUUGUUUCAGAAGCUCGCCCGCUUUGCUAAGCAGGACGUCCCUGAUGAGAAGAGCAUGAUAUAUCAGUUCAAGGGUGGUUUCAGAGAAGAAAUUCAGCUAGCUCUUGUUCUCUUUGAGCCCUUGAGAUACGAUGAGUUCUACAACAUGGCACUGAAGCAAGAGGCUGCUCAGUUGAGGUGUGAUGCUUCCAAGAAGCGAGUCAGAGAUAUUACUCCUUCUUCCUCUACUCAAGUGGCCAAGCAGCAGAAGUUUUGGCUUCCUCCUCCUCCGCUCCGUCAGCUGUAUCAGCAGAAGAGCAAAGGUGGCAGUGGUUCUUCCCACCCACCCAACCCUGGCUUUCAAAACAAGACUUCGUCUCAAGCUCCAAGAAUGAGUGCUCCGUAUCACCGUCCGCUUUCAGAGGUCACGUGCAACAAGUGCCAAUAGAAGGGUCACUAUGCCAACAAGUGUCUCAACCAGAGGCGUCUUCCUCAUCCUCCUCCUGUCAGAUCGACAAGUACAGCUGUGGUCAAGCAUAACCCCAAGCAUGCCAAGGUUAAUUUGAUGAAUGCAGCUCAGGCAGAGGACUCGUCAGAUGUGAUCAUGGGUAACCUUCCUGUUAACGAUGUUCCUGCAAAAGUUCUUUUUGACACUGGUGCAUCGCAUUCCUUUUUGUCAUGCCCUUUUGCAUCGAAGCACAAUGUUGAUACCGAGAUUAUGCCCAAAGUCAUGCAAGUUGUUUCUCCCGGCAAGCUUUUGACUUCUAGUUUGGUUGCUCCCGAUAUCUCUAUCACAUUGGGUGAUUACAAGUUUCUCUCUUCUCCGGUGGUUCUUGGUAACUCGGAUAUUGAUCUUAUUCUCGGAAUGGAUUGGCUUUCUAAGCACAAGGCUCAGCUUGAUUGUGCAGCCAGGCAGAUUCAAUUGACUCAUUCGUCUGAGGAUGUAAUUGUCUUUGCCGCUCGUGAUGAUGCUAUCCGUCUGUUUUCUCUCAAUGAGAAGGGUGAAUUGGAUGCUAUCUCUCAAAUUCUAGUCGUUUGCGAAUAUCAAGACGUCUUUCCAGAAGAGCUUCCAGGAAUGCCUCCGCACCGGCCAGUUGAAUUCGUUAUUGAUCUUGAGCCUCGUAUGGAACCUGUGUACAAACGUCCUUACAAGCUCGGACCUGAAGAGUUGAAGGAGCUGAAGAAGCAACUCGAUAUGCAAGAGAAAGUGGGUCUCAUCCGGCCUAGUUCUUCUCCGUGGGGUUGUGGUGUUCUUUUUGUGAAGAAGAAGGAUGGAACGGACCGACUUUCUGUUGAUUACCGUCCAGUGAACAAGAAGACCAUCAAGAACAAAUACCCACUUCCCAACAUCAAUGAGCUGUUCGAACAACUCAAAUGUGCCCAAGUAUUCUCCAAGCUUGAUCUCUGUAUGGGUUAUCACCAGAUUCGCAUUCGUGAAGAAGAUAUUCCCAGGACAGCAUUCAGAACAAGCUUUGGUUCAUAUGAAUACACUAUCAUGUCUUUUGGCCUCGCCAACGCUCCUCCGACGUUCUCUCGCAUGAUGAACUUCAUCUUCAACGCCUACACCAAUGACUUCAUUUUGGUCUAUCUCGAUGACAUUCUGGUUUUCUCCAAGAAUAAGGAAGAUCAUGCCAAGCACUUGAGUUUGGUUCUUGAUAAGCUCAGGGAACAUCAGUUCUACGCCAAGUUCUCCAAGUGUGAAUUUUGGCUCGAUGAGGUUCUUUAUCUUGGUCAUAUCAUCUCUGCCAAGGGCAUUGCCGUGAAUCCUGAGAAGGUGUCUGCAAUUGUGAAUUGGGAACCUCCUCAGAACGUGAAGCAACUCCGUAGCUUCCUCGGUCUCGCAAGCUAUUGUCAAAGAUUCGUUGAAAACUUUUCUAAGAUCGCGAAGCCUCUCCCAAAUCUUCUUCAGAAGCACGUCAAGUACGUUUGGUCUUCGGAGUGCGAUAUUGCUUUCAACACUUUGAAAGAGAAAUUGAUCACUGCUCCAAUUCUGACUCCACCUGAUGAAUCCAAGCCGUACGAGGUCUUUUGUGAUGCCUCUCUCCAAGGUCUUGGCGCAGUAUUGAUGCAAGAGAAGAAAGUUGUUGCUUAUACAUCUCACCAGUUGAAGCCUAAUGAGAAGAACUACCCCACUCAUGAUCUCGAGUUGGCGGCAGUUGUGCAUGCUCUUUUGACUUGGAGACAUCUUCUAUUGGGAAGAAAAGUGGAUAUUUUCACUGAUCACAAGAGUCUCAAGUACAUCUUCACUCAGCCUAAUCUCAACCUCAGGCAAACUCGUUGGGUCGAAAUGAUUCAAGAGUAUAAUCCGAGUAUCGAGUAUACUCCAGGCAAGGCCAAUGUGAUUGCUGACGCUUUGAGCAGGAAGGAUUACUGCAACAGUCUUAUUCUUCAGCCUUAUCAACCAGAGCUUUGUGAAGCUUUCCGCAAACUUAAUCUGCAAGUUGUUCCUCAAGGUUUCCUCGCCAACCUUGAAGUCUCUCCUACCUUAGAAGACCAGAUUCGCCAAGCCCAGCUUCUUGAUGCUAUGGUGAAAAAGGUGAAAAUUGGGAUUGCCAAGAGUCAGUCCAAGUACAAGUGCUACCGCCUUGAUGACAAGGACACUCUCUUCUUCGAGGAUCGUAUUGUUGUGCCCAAAGGUGACCUUCGUAAAGUGAUCAUGAACGAGGCUCACAAUUCUCUCCUCACCAUCCAUCCUGGGAGCACGAAGAUGUAUCAGGACCUUAAGCAAGCUUAUUGGUGGACUCGAAUGAAGCACGAGAUCGCUCAAUUCGUGAAUGAAUGUGAUGUCUGCAGAAGAGUGAAGGCAGAACACCAAAGGCCAGCUGGUCUCCUCCAACCUCUUGCCAUUCCAGAAUGGAAGUUUGACCACAUUGAAAUGGACUUCGUGACUGGGUUUCCUAAGUCCAAGCGUGGCAAUGAUGCUAUAUUCGUUGUCAUCGACAAACUCACCAAAGUGGCUCACUUUCUGCCUAUCAAAGAGUCGAUCACUGCAGCUCAAUUGGCGGAACUCUAUACCUCUCGUAUUGUCUCUCUGCACGGUAUUCCUCAAGUGAUCUCUUCAGACCGUGUCAGCAUCUUUACCUCGAAGUUUUGGGAUUCUUUUCAGAAGGCCAUGGGCACGAACAUCCGCUUCAGCACUGCUUUCCAUCCUCAAACGAGCGGUCAAGUCGAGCGUGUCAACCAGAUUCUUGAAGAUAUGCUCAGGGCUUGUGUAAUCUCCUUCGGCAUGAAGUGGGAGGAUUGUCUUCCUUAUGCUGAAUUCUCCUACAACAACAGUUUUCAAGCAAGUUCGGGCAAGGCCCCUUUUGAAAUUCUGUAUGGCAGGAAGUGCCGUACCCCUCUCAAUUGGUCUGAAACCGGUGAACGUCAGCUUUUGGGUAAUGACUUAAUCACAAAAGCAGAAGAAAUGUGCAAAGUCAUUCGUGAUAACCUCAAAGCAGCCCAAUCCCGUCAGAAGAGCUACUAUGAUAGUAAGCACCGUGAUUUGGCUUUCGAGAUCGGAGAUCAUGCUUACCUCCGUGUCUCUCCUAUGAAAGGUACUCGUCGCUUCGGUAUCAAAGGGAAUCUUGCCCCUAGAUACAUGGGACCUUUCAAGAUUGUCAGCAAGAGAGGCGACCUCGCCUAUCAACUCGAGCUUCCUUCAAACUUUGCAAAUGUUCAUGACGUGUUCCAUGUCUCUCAGCUUCGAAAGUGCUUCAAGACUCCUGACCGCACUGUCAACUUCGAGGACAUUGAGCUCCAAGAAGAUCUCUCUUAUCGUGAGCACCCAGUUUCUAUUCUUGAAGAGACUGAAGGCAAGACUCGCAACAAGUCAAUCAAAUUUCUCAAAGUCAAGUGGUCACACCAUUCCGACCGUGAAGCUACCUGGGAACGCGAGGAUCACCUCCAUUCUGAGUACCCGGCGUUCUUUCAGUCCUAGAUCUCGGGACGAGAUCCUUUCGUAGUGGUGGAGUGUUGUAACACCCCGGAUGUAACUUUCCCUAUUUGUACUCCAACUCUUGCCGUUUCCGGCGUUAAGUUAUAUUUAUUUCCUCGGGUUCGGGUCUUUGUCUCCGUGUGUUGUUGUCUUUGUCAUGCAUCUCAUAUCAUGUCAUCAUGUGCAUUGCAUUUGCAUACGUGUUCGUCUCAUGCAUUCGAGCAUUUUCCCCGUUGUCCGUUUUGCAUUCCGGCGCUCCGUUCUCCUCCGGUGGUCAUUUCUAGAUUUCUUCCGUGUGUGGGGAUUAAACAUUUCCGGAUUGGACCGAGACUUGCCAAGCGGCCUUGGUUUACUACCGGUAGACCGCCUGUCAAGUUUCGUACCAUUUGGACUUCGUUUGAUACUCCAACGGUUAACCGAGGGACCGAAAAAGCCUUGUGUGUGUUGCAGCCCAACACCCCUCCAAUUUGGCCCAAAACCACCAAACUCUGCUCCAUAUCCUAGAGCGUUCGAUCACGAUCGCGUGGCCGAAAACCGCACCUCAUUUGAACUCUCCUAGCUCCCUCUAUUCCUAUAUAUACACCCCCCUCCGAAAUUCACGGGUCUCCCCUCCCCCUAAACCCUAGAUCCAUCCGCCGCCGCCGCCGGACGUGUCCGGACGGGGCCGGACAGCGUCUGCCCGCCGCCUCCAGCCACCCGCGCGUCGACACGUGGCGGCCGCCACCUCCCACCGCCNNNNNNNNNNNNNNNNNNNNNNNNNNNNNNNNNNNNNNNNNNNNNNNNNNNNNNNNNNNNNNNNNNNNNNNNNNNNNNNNNNNNNNNNNNNNNNNNNNNNNNNNNNNNNNNNNNNNNNNNNNNNNNNNNNNNNNNNNNNNNNNNNNNNNNNNNNNNNNNNNNNNNNNNNNNNNNNNNNNNNNNNNNNNNNNNNNNNNNNNNNNNNNNNNNNNNNNNNNNNNNNNNNNNNNNNNNNNNNNNNNNNNNNNNNNNNNNNNNNNNNNNNNNNNNNNNNNNNNNNNNNNNNNNNNNNNNNNNNNNNNNNNNNNNNNNNNNNNNNNNNNNNNNNNNNNNNNNNNNNNNNNNNNNNNNNNNNNNNNNNNNNNNNNNNNNNNNNNNNNNNNNNNNNNNNNNNNNNNNNNNNNNNNNNNNNNNNNNNNNNNNNNNNNNNNNNNNNNNNNNNNNNNNNNNNNNNNNNNNNNNNNNNNNNNNNNNNNNNNNNNNNNNNNNNNNNNNNNNNNNNNNNNNNNNNNNNNNNNNNNNNNNNNNNGCGCCGCCUCCCUCCUCGGCCCGGCCGCCGCCUCCGCCGCCGCCGCCACCCCGGCCGCCGUCGCCGCCCAGCCGUCCGCCACCGCCGUCCCGGUCCGCCGCCGCCUCGUCGUUGGGGUCGCUGCCCCGAGCCGCCGCAGGAGCUCGCUGGCGUCGCCCCAGCUCCGGCCGCCGCCGCCGCCGCCUCGGCCACCGGCGACCGCGCCCUCGCCGGCCGCCUCCUCCCUCCUCCACGCCGGCUCCGGCGAACUCGGGUCCGGCCAGCUACAGUGCCGCGAGAUCCGAUCUGGAUCGGGGUUGCUACAGUAAACCCUAGGGGUAGUUUUUUUCACUAAGUCCCGGAUAUUUUUAGUUCAUAUGCCCCUGUUCACGGCCCCGUACCUUUGCAUCCGUAGCUCCGAUUCAUGCAUAUAGCAUAUCAGAAUGUUCACCUCAGAGAGGACAUCAUUUCAUUCCAUUGCAUCAUUUUCAUUUGAGUUCAUCUUGAUGCCCGAAAUGCUGUUAGAAGAGGGCUACUUGAGUUAAUUGUCAGAUCUGCUACUCCGUUUAGCACUUUUGUCAUUUUUGCCAUGUUUAAUGUGUGCAUGAUAUGCCCGUGAGUUCUUCAUAUGUUUUGUUAAGGGUUUUGUCAUCUUUCCAGAGGUGCAACCCAUGUAUUUUUAGGAUGUGUGUGGUGACCUGUGCAAUCUUGCAAAGUGGUGCACUUGCAAAUUCUGUUUUCAGGGACUUGGUGAUUUCACUAAGUCCUGGGAUUGUUUAUCUCACGAUGCCAUAUGUUCAUGUUGUUUCCUAGUGAUCCGUGCCUCUUUUGAGGAUGAUCAGUAAGGGAGUUUUGUUAAUCUUGUAGUUCUCUAUCCAUCCAUGUCUUUGUUUGCAAUUAUGGAUCACCCUAGCUUGAGUCAAUCAAGCUCUACUUUUGCUUCAUUGCGAAUCUGGGCAGAUCGUCAACUCGUUUGCGGUUUUGCCGAUGUUAUUGUAGUUGAUCCGUGCAUGCUAUGCCAUUGUUCUUGCCAUGUCUAUAUGGUAUUUUGUGCCUUCUUAAGGGAUGUAUGCUUGUCUUGCCAUGACUUGCACCGUGGUGAGUGCAUCGAGCUCAUAAACAUGCCUUCGUGAGUUACGUUUCAGCAUGUCCCAGUUUUCACUAAGUCUGAAAACUGAUUAUGUUUUUGCUAUGUUCGUGUGCUUGUUAGUAUAUUUUGUGAUCCCUUUUGGCUCAAGGUCACUAAGGGACUUUUGUUAAGCUUGUUGAGUAGCUCCAUGCCAUGUCUUUCUUUGUCAUGUUCAGGUCCUGUAGCAUGUUGUUUUGUUUCUCCGAGGAGGGCUAUAUGAUCUGAAAUUCCAGACAAGUGUUAAUUUCACUAAGUCUGAGAUCUGUUUUACCAUUUGCGUUUUUGCCAUGCUUGUUUGUACCUCCUAAUGGAUGAAUUGGCCGUAGCUCAGUGCUAGACUUUUGUUAAGCAUCUUGAAUGCUUCCCUGCCAUGUAUUAUGUUGUCAUGUUUGGGUGCUGUAGCAUGUUCAUCUCAUUGCAUUUAGAUGCCUACUUGCUGUAAAUCGCAGACCGGUGUCAUAUUUGAAUCGCUUGCCAUUUCCAAACCGUAACUCCGAUUCCGGCGUUCUUUAUAUCGUUUUCAAGCGAUUUCAUCUCAUAUUUCCAGUGGCACACUUGGAUUUCCAAGUUGAGGCCAGGUUCAUGCAUUUCCUGUCAUAUCUUGCAUUUUGCAUCCCGCAUCGCAUCCCGCAUAGCAUAUCAUCUUUGCAUUGUGUUGUUUGAGUUUUGCACGUGGUUGAUUGUAUCCUUGUUGCUUGUUUGCCUUGUUUGGUUAGAGCCGGGAGACGAGUUCGCUAACGAGGAGCCCUUUGAGUUUGCUUUUGAGGAUCCAGUCAACUCUGACAACUGUGCAGGCAAGAUGAUCGUACCCUCGAAAUCACUACUAUCUUUGCUAUGCUAGUUUUGCUCGCUCUGUUGCUAUGCCAUUGCUACGAUGCCUACCACUUGCUUGCAAGCCUCCCAAAUUGCCAUGUCAAACCUCUAAGCCACCAUUGUCCUAGCAAACCGUUGAUUGGCUAUGUUACCGCUUUGCUCAGCCCCUCUUAUAGCGUUGCUAGUUGCAGGUGAAGAUUGGAGGCCGUUCCUUGUUGGAACAUUUUUUUUACUUGUUGGGAUACCAUUAUAUUAUCUUGCUAUCUUAAUGCAUCUAUAUACUUGGUAAAGGGUGGAAGGCUCGGCCUCUCGCCUAGUGUUUUGUUCCACUCUUGCCGCCCUAGUUUCCGUCAUAUCGGUGUUAUGUUCCCGGAUUUUACGUUCCUUACGCGGUUGGGUUAUAAUGGGAACCCCUUGAUAGUUCGCCUUGAUUAAAGCUUUUCCAGCAAUGCCCAACCUUGGUCUUACCAUUUGCCACCUAGCCUCUUUUUCCCUCGGGUUUCCGGAGCCCGUGGGUCAUCUUAUUUUAAACCCCCCGGGCCAGUGCUCCUCUGAGUGUUGGUCCGACCGAGUAGACUGCGGGGCCACCUCGGGGCAACUUGAGGGUUGGUUUUACUCGUAGGAUGUCUCAUCUGAGUGUGCCCUGAGAAAGAGAUAUGUGCAGCUCCUAUCGGGAUUUGUCGGCACAUUCGGGCGGUGUUGCUGGUCUUGUUUUAACCUGUCGAAGUGUCUUGAGUUACCGAGAUACCGAGUCUGAUCGGAACGUCUUGGGAGGAGGUCUAUUCCUUCGUUGACCGUGAGAGCUUGUCAUGGGCUAAGUUGGGACUCCCCUGCAGGGAUUGAACUUUCGAAAGCCAUGCCCACGGUUAUGGGCAGAUGGGAAUUUGUUAAUGUCCGGUUGUAGAUAACUUGAACCUUAAUUUAAUUAAAAUGAAUCAACUGAGUUUGUUACCGUGAUGGCCUCUUCUCGGCGGAGUCCGGGAAGUGGACACGGUGUUGGAGUAAUGUUUGCGCAGGUUGUUCUCUAGCUUCUCGCUCAUGCUUUGCCUCCUCUUCUCGCUCUCUUUUGCGAAUAAGUUAGCCACCAUACUUGCUAGUAGCUUGCUGCAGCUCCACUCAUAUUUUACCUUGCCUUACCUAUAAGCUUAAAUAGUCUUGAUCGCAAGGGUGCGAGAUUGCUGAGUCCCUGUGGCUCACAGAUUACCAUUACACCAGAUGCAGGGCCUGACGACUCCGCUCCAGGAUACGCGUAUGAGCUCAAGUGGGAGUUCGACGAAGACUCUCAACGAUACUAUGUUUCCUUUCCCGAUGAUCAGUAGUGGUGCCCAGUUGGGGGUGAACGGGACCGUUGUCGCAUGUUGGGUUAUCUUUCAUUUUGGCGCCGUAGUCGGGCCAUGAGUGUUUGGAUGAUGUAAUGUUAUUUUUGUACUUGAUUGACGUGGCGAGUGUAAGCCAACUAUGUUAUCUCCCCUUAUAUUAUUGUAUUACAUGGGAUGUUUGUGAAGAUUGCCUAACUUGCGACAUAUGCCUUCAAUGCGAUUAUAUCUCUAAGUCGCGCCUCGACACGUGGGAGCUAUAGUCGCAUCGAUGGUGUUAUACUUACCCUGCAUGAAUAGAACUCAGGUUUUGGCCUGAUGGCAGUGAGAGCAUUUUGGAGGGGGAGCCCCUUAUGUAAAACUUGUGUUCAUCGUAUUAGUAGACGCUACAUUCCCCAUGCGCCCGCGCCAAGUGGUUGGCCUAAGCGAUGCGCUAGUCGGCUAGUUUACCUUUGUCCCGUGCUGGCCCUGAGGCAGCCUGUUGGAGGAUGUGGUGUCUCGAGUGUUCCCUAAUUGGGUUCGUAGGAUCUGGAGUAAAACACCCUCCUGAGAGGACACGUCGGCGGCAGUCUGGGUUGCGCGCAAGCUAGUCCUAACCCGGCUCGCGAGGGGCUCGCGAGGGGAGGCAGCUAAGGCGAAGUGGUAACCAAAACGUGAGAAAUUGCUCGAACGAGACUAAGCACCCCUUCCCCGAACACACGCAAAUCUCAAAUUCGAAUCCAACUUGAAUCCAGCGGGGGAAAGCGACAACCGAAGGGAAAAGCAACGAAAGCAAACAAAAGGCCGCGUCCGGCACCUAGUCUAGUCUUGGACGUCUUCUCACCAGCGCGGAGCUAAGUGCUGCCACUGGGCGUGGGAGGGAGCCCCAGGGCGUGAGGCCGGCACCCCUGAGACUCCGGGGCGUGUACAGCCCCACUCAUUAUUACGUGAGAGUGUCACGGGGCGGUGAGCUUCACAGGCACUGGGCCUUCUUCAUAGGUACUGGCCUUGCUUCAUAUCGCUAGAUGAGGGCCCCGCCUUGCGCCACACUCUAGUGCCAUCAACGAUGACCAGAAACCAGGACGCCGCCGAUGGGGUAGAGCAGUCGCCAGCGGUUCCCCCGACAACCAUGGGUCCUCCGCCGGGGGCAGGCCCUGAGGCACCUCCCCAGCGGAGGGCCUACCUCCUGAGAACACCUUGCUGCGAACGCCGCGGUGGUGAUGAUGGAUCCCGACCCCUCUCCUGCAGCCCCCUGCGCCCUCCUCCCGAGGGGUAGGAGACUGUGGGAGCGAGGCAGCUGCUCGCUGUGGCGACCUGCACCUCCUGCGAUCCAUGGUUAGCGUAUGCCUGCUCCUAAAGAAUUAGCGGUACCCGAUAAUCGUUGCCUCCAGCGUGGCCAGUGGGACCGUCCCGGGGCUCCUGGAAAGGCUCAGCUUCUGGCGCCUCGUCCUCCCAUCUUGGGCUGAGGAGCGAGCCUUGUUCGCUCUCGUGAGGGUGUCCUUGGUCCAUCAUGAGGGGCACGUAUUCCUCUGGCGCCGCCAUCCCGAAGGCCACACCGCAGUGCCCUGCGUGCCACGCGGUCCUGCCUGACGCGCCCACCAUGGGGUGGCAGCGCGGCUGUCCGCUGGGGCCGCAGGUCAUGUCGAGUCCUUCUUCGUCGACCGGGGGCGGGGGCAGCGCCGCCACCGGUCCGGUGCUGACAGCUUCGCUGGUGUUGGAGUAGCCUUGGAGCCCGCGGGCGCACGGAGCCCCCGCGCGGGCCGCCCUGGGCUUGAGAUGGGAGCUGGGUGCAGAAGGGGUGAGCCCCCGAGGCGGCGAAGCCCAGGAGCUCCGCCACCCGCUCCAACAGCACGUCCCGGCCGCCCUCCAGCAACCUGCAUUGCAGCAGCUCUCGGGCCACCAUGAGCGCGGCCCUCGAGUUCGCCUGCUCCCGGUGGGUGUACGAUGUCGUGGUCGCGGCGUGAUUGGAGGCCCUUGCUGCCGACUGUGCCUGCCGCGGUGUGGGAGCUGUCGAAGCCUGUCCGCAUCGCCCGCGGCCCGCAGCGCCCUGCGGACCGCGAGCUGCCUGGGGCACGGGGUCGCCCGAGGCGAGCGGUUCUACGCGAGCGGGCCAUGCUGCCCAUGGAUCUGGGUUGCCCGCCUGGUCGCCGGACAUGGUGAUGACAAUGCGACAGGGCACGAAGCAGUAGAAGGUGGAUUACGGCGCACCCCUUCCUGGCGCGCCAAAUGUUGGAUUUCGGGUUCCGACAGACCCUUAAGGUUCAAACACUGGGGUGCGCGUGCAGAUUUCGCCUCCUACCUACCUGCCGCCCUCCGCCUCGCUAAGUUUUAAGCUAUGGAAAGAAUAACACAAGGGACACGAGGUUUAUACUGGUUCGGGCCACCGUUGUGGUGUAAUACCCUACUCCAAUGUGUGGUGUGGUGGAUUGCCUCUUGGGCUGAUGAUGAUGAACAGUACAUGGAAGAACAGCCUCGCGAGGGUCUGUUCUUGGCUGGGGCGAUGAACUGCUGGGAGGAGUUCAGCCACCUUUCUCUCUCUCUCUCUUUCUCUCUCUCUGAUCCCUUUAUCCUUUGAUCGAUCGAUCAAUUGAUCGAUUCCCUUCUCUUUGGGUGGUUGGUCCUCUUCCCAAAUAUCGAGCGGGAAGGGAGCCAACAAUGGCGGGCUAAUUUGAAAGGGGACAGCUAGUACCAGCUAUCCUGACAAAAGUAGUCUUCGCCUGCACAAAGCUCUGGUGGUGAUGCCGUCUUGGGCUCCACGAUGACCUCCGUCUUGCAGUCCUUUCGGUCUUGGUCUUGUUGCACCGAAAUGGCAACCUUUGCCUGAUGCCUCGGUACUCCGCGGCUGCGCUUGCCCCCUUUGCACCAAAGAGGAAAGGAGGACACUGCGCGGGCUGGCACCCGCCUGGCGCCCUUGGUCGUCAUGGCUUGCGUCAUGGGCACCUCGUGAGGUACCCCGCCUUGGUCUCUCCGCCUCCUCGUGAGCCAGCCUGACGAGGCCGUGCCUGAGGAAGCUCCGUGUCGUCCGCCCCGCGAGGCUUGGCCCCUCGCGGGGGUCUUGGGUUUGUGUUGGUAUAGAUGGGCCGCGCUGGGCCCCCCUUUGAGCCACGCCGCAGGCCGCAGGCAGGCAAGUCUGGGGACCCCCGUUCCCAGAAUGCCGACAAGUAGGGUGAAUCUCGGGUUCAAGAACCUAGGAAUGGAAUACCUACUAUCUAAAUGGCAUCAUGGGAUGCUUUCAAGAAUGACGACAAGAAUCAUCACACUAGGAAUAUAAAGCAUUGCUAGAUUACUGGGUGGUUCUCUCGGAUGCCUAGGGUCAUAAUACUAGCCCCAACAUAUAUGUCAAGGCAAUGGAGUACCUCAACACACUGAUUAGUGUGAUUAAUCUGGCCCAAAUGGACAUCGGAAACAGGAAGAGGGAUUGCAAAUGCAUCAGACUAUUUAGAAACCUGGGAUGAAUCGAACAACAUAACGGCUGUAAAUGCUAAAAAUGAUUUGAGACAUCCUGUAAAAUGUGGCAUAACCACUUAACAUCACAAUAUCAAAGUUUCGAGAUCAAUGAUCAACAUACGGAAAUAGUAGGAACUAAACUGAGGCUUAAAACCGUCAAUCCUAUAAGUCUCUAUCAUAGUAACUCGUCAUCCUGAUAGAUAGAUGAGAAGGCCUAGUUUCUUAACCCCCGUAGAAGAGAAGAUGGUGACUCAGAUCAAAGGGCAUAAGGUAAAGGAGUAAAAAGAGCUUUACGUUCCCUUCCAUAAUCAUUUCCCUUAUACAACUAAAGCAUUUCUAGACUCGACUUCGACCAGUUUGGCUUGGUAAUCCUACAGGUAGUCAGGCUCUGAUACAAAAGCUGUCAGGACCCCGAUCCUAAGUCACACCGAUCUAGCAUGUAACACAUCAUAUCACUUUGCGGCCUCAUGCACGGUAUCCCCAUGGGUGCUACCUUACCUGGUCCGGGACUGUUUGCGCCUUUUGACUCACGUAUAUCAUAGUGUCGCUAGCAUCCAUAUGACAGAGAACCCGGGUCGACAUGACUAGUCAUAAACCCAAGGUGGCACUAAUUUACAGGGACAGGCAUACAUGACCCAGCAACGAACGUGUCGGUCAUCAAUGUAUGAACCCAAGUCGUAGCAAGCUACAAGGACUUAAAGGAACAAUGCGUGGCAUUUCCCCAAACGGACAGACACAGGAACGAAGGACACAUGCCGGCCAGCCUAAGUGUUCCGGUAAGAGAGGCUACCAAGAAUAAACAACUAGGUUGUUGGAUCCCACACAUACCAAGCAUUUCAAAAAGCAUACACACAAUAUGCUCGAUAUGUGCAAAUACAACAUGGCAUCACAACAAAACUCUACGACUCAAAGUAUUUAUUCAUUAGGCUCUGAGGAGCCAGAUAUUACAAACAUGGGUCUGAUGACCCAGCAUUCAAGUCAUACAAGCAAUAAGCACAUGCGGAAGCUUAACUUGUUUGAGUACAAACAAGUACAAAUGAAAAUGGCGGAGAUGCCUGACUAUCUAAGACCCUGCCGAGGGCACAAGAUCGUAGCUGAGAUAACAAGCUAAACAUCGAAGUCCACGCGGAACUACUAGUGAGACUAAAGUCUCUCUGCAAAAACAUAAAUUAAACAAAUGUGAGUACAAAUAUACCCAUCAAGACUUACAUCAAAACUAGCUACAUAUGCAUCAGUAUCAACAAAGGGGGUGGUGGAGUUUAACUACAGCAAGCCAGCUUUGACUGUGGCUACCCUGAAAUACGACUGCAAGUAACUUUUUUGAGGUGGCGCACACGAGUCUACAUAUUCACCAAUCAAUACACCACUAUGGAUCUGCUCCCGUCUCCCUACGAGAAUGCCAUCCAUAGCACUCACUCUUAUAUUGCGCAUUUUAGAGUAUCCACUUUCACUUGUCUAUGAACUAUAUAGGCAACCCAGAAGUCCUUUUCCGCGGACGUGGCUAUUCGAAUAGAUCAUUUAUAAACGAACUUCCUCACACACACUCUCGCCACUUACCACCAUGUACGCGUCGUGUACCUCGGCAACCUUCAAGCGGAAGCCUGGCAAGGGAGUCAGCCACGACCUGAUUAACCACACAAGUCUCUAGUCCAAGUUUAUCGCCUAUUCGAGUUCCAUCCGCAAGGAGAUCCAGUCGGGGUUUCGCUCAUGGCCCCAAACGAUGAGAGCGGGGUUCCCGAGGCACCAAACGGGCGUCUUAGUACACCGUGCCUCAUGUAUCUACCGCAUCAUAGCCCACCCCUAGGGUCAGCGCUACGCACGCCCCCCAACACAUAUCCUACAAACACUAGAAACUAGUUGCAACUCCUGGACAGAGAUCAAGGCGAUUAAUAAGCCGAGAUCAGUUGAGUUACCGGAACCCAAUGUGUGGUAGUAACUGUUCAUGGAUCACGAACACAGAAUUCAGUUCCUGAGGACGGUUUCAAUGAGACAAUCCACCAUGUACUCCUACAUGCCCUCUCACUCCUACCUUUACCAAAUCAUGUUCACACACUUAGCUCUCAACAAUAAGACAUGUUCACCACAUUCCAAUUCAUCCCCAAUGAAUCAGAACUGACUCAACUCUAAGCAGUAGCAGGCAUGACAACAAGCAUGAAUGAGUAGGCACAUCAGGGCUCAAACAACUCCUACUCAUGCUAGUGGGUUUCAUCUAUUUACUAUGGCAAUGACAGGUCAUGCAGAGGAAAGGGGUUCAAGUACCACAACAUGUAACAGUUGAAACGUUGUUGUCCUAAUGUAGUAAAAGAGAGCAAGAGCGAGAGAGUGGGAUUGUAACGGAAUGAACAAGGGGGUAUUGCUUGCUUGGCACUUCUGAAGAUAGUAUAGUUCUUCAUCGGUGUCACCGAUCUCAUCGUCGGAACCACGUCUACUGAGAGGGGACAAACACCGACAAACAAGAGGGAACAUAGUCAAUGCAAUGCAACAAUAUGAUGCAUGAUUAUGACAUGGCAAUAUGCUGUGAUUUGAGCUAAUGCAACUAGUAACAUAAGGGUUUGGGUUGAUUUGAACCAAAGGUUCAAAUUCAAACUAUGAAUUUCCAAAGUGCAUUAACAUGUUUUGAUCUAUACAUCAAGGUUAAGUUGCUUUAUCAUGCAUGAAACCAGUACUAAUGGAUAGAUUGGAUUUCGCUGAUAAUUUUUCAUAUAUAACUCUUUUCAUUCCAAGUUAUAGAUUAUUUUCUAUGAUUUUCUGAAGUUUAUAACAUUUCUAGAAUUUCCUGGAUUCGUAAAAAUGCCAGAAAACAUUUACUGCAUCAGCAUGAUGACAACACUACGUCAGCAGGUCAACCGGGUUGACCUAGGUCAAACCUGACGCUGACUGGGGUUUGACCCAAUGUUUGGGCCCACUGUCAGUGACUAUGAGGUAGCUAAUUAGGGGGGGGGGGUUAGUCGUAAUGACCGUGCCACGUCGGCUGUCGCUGGAGUUCGGCCAGCGGCGACCAAAUCUGCGGCGGCAACUCGCCGGACGUACGUGAUACGUCUCCAACGUAUCUAUAAGUUUUGAUUGCUCCAUGCUAUAUUAUCUACUGUUUUGGACAUUAUUGGGCUUUAUUAUCCACUUUUAUAUUAUUUUUGGGACUAACCUAUUAACUGGAGGCCCAACCCAGAAUUGUUGUUUUUUGCCUGUUUUAGGGUUUCGAAGAAAAGGAAUAUCAAACGGAAUGAAACCUUCGGGAACGUGAUUUUCUUAACGAAUAAGACCAGGGAGAUUUGGACCCUACGUCAAGAAAUAAAACAGGAGGCCACGAGGUAGGGGGCGCACCCACCCCCACCAGGCGCGCCCUCCACCCUCGGGGGCCCCCUGUUGCUCCACCGACGUACUCCUUCCUCCUAUAUAUAUCCACGUACCCCCAAACGAUCAGAAACGGAGCCAAAAACCUAAUUCCACUGCCGCAACUUUCUGUAUCCACGAGAUCCCAUCUUGGGGCCUAUUUCGGAGCUCCGUCGGAGGGGGCAUCGAUCAUGGAGGGAUUCUAUAUCAACACCAUAGCCCCUCCGAUGAAGUGUGAGUAUUUUACCUCAGACUUACGGGUCCAUAGUUAGUAGCUAGAUGGCUUCUUCUCUCUUUUUGGAUCUCAAUACAAUGUUCUCCCCCUCUCUUGUGGAGAACCAUUCGAUGUGAUCUUCUUUUUGCGGUGUGUUUGUUGAGACCGAUGAAUUGUGGGUUUAUGAUCAAGUCUAUCUACGAAUAAUAUUUGAAUCUUCUCUGAAUUCUUUUAUGUAUGAUUGGUUAUCUUUGCAAGUCUCUUCGAAUUAUCAGUUUGGUUUGGCCUACUAGAUUGAUCUUUCUUGCAAUGGGAGAAGUGCUUAGCUCUGGGUUCAAUCUUGCGGUGUCCUUUCCCAGUGAUAGUAAGGGUAGCAAGGCAUGUAUUGUAUUGUUGCCAUCGAGGAUAACAAGAUGGGGUUUUCUUCAUAUUGCAUGAAUCUAUCCCUCUACAUCAUGUCAUCUUGCUUAAGGCGUUACUCUAUUUUUAACUUAAUACUCUAGAUGCAUGCUGGAUAGCGGUCGAUGAGUGGAGUAAUAGUAGUAGAUGCAGGCAGGAGUCGGUCUACAUGUCUCGGACGUGAUGCCUAUAUACAUGAUCAUACCUAGAUAUUCUCAUAAAUAUGCUCAAUUCUGUCAAUUGCUCAACAGUAAUUUGUUCACCCACCGUAGAAUACCUAUGCUCUUGAGAGAAGCCACUAGUGAAACCUAUGGCCCCCGGGUCUAUCUUUAUCAUAUUGAUCUCCUACUACUUAGUUAUUUCCUUUGUUAUUUACUUUGCCUUUAUUUUACUUUGCAUCUUUAUCAUAAAAAUACCAAAAAUAUUAUCUUAUCAUAUCUAUCAGAUCUCACUCUCGUAAGUGGCCUUAUAGGGACUGACAACCCCUAUUUGCGUUCGUUGUGAGGAUUUAUUUGUUUUGUGCAGGUGCGAGGGACUCGCGCAUAGCCUCCUACUGGAUUGAUACCUUGCUUCUCAAAAACUGAGGGAAAUACUUACGCUACUUUGCUGCAUCAUCCCUUCCUCUUCAGGGAUAACCAACGCAAUGCUCAAGAGGUAGCAAUAAGGAUUUCUGGCGCCGUUGCCGGGGAGGUCUACGCAAAAGUCAACAUACCAAGUACCCAUCACAUACCCUUAUCUCCCGCAUUAUAUUAUUUGCCAUUUGCCUCUCAUUUUCCUCUCCCCCCACUUCACCCUUGCCGUUUUAUUCGCCCUCUCUCUCUAUCCUCCCUCUCCCUCUCUAUAUGCCUCUUUUUGUCCGCUUGCUUUUUGUUUGCUUGUGUGUUAGUUUGCUUGCUUGUCACGAUGGCUCAAGAUAAUAAUAAAUUGUGUGACUUCACCAAUACCAACAACAAUGAUUUUAUUAGCACUCUGAUUGCUCCUCUUACCGAUGCUGAAUCUUGUGAAAUUAAUACUGCUUUGCUCAAUCUUGUCAUGAAAGAUCUGUUCUCCGACCUUCCUAGUGAAGAUGCCGCUACCUAUCUAAAUAGCUUUGUUGAUUUGUGUGACAUGCAAAAUAAGAAAGAUGUGGAUAAUGAUAUUGUUAAAUUGAAGCUAUUUCCUUUUUUGCUUAGAGAUCGUGCUAAAGCUUGGUUUUUGUCUAUGCCUAAAAAUAGUAUUGAUUCAUGGAACAUGUGCAAAGAUGCUUUUAUCUCUAAGUAUUUUCCUCCCGCUAAGAUCAUCUCUCUUAGAAACGAUAUUAUGAAUUUUAAGCAACUUGAUCAUGAACAUGUUGCACAAGCUUGGGAGAGAAUGAAAUUAAUGAUACAUAAUUGCCCUACCCAUGGUUUAAAUUUGUGGAUGAUUGUUCAAAAAAUUUAUGCCGGAUUGAAUUUUGCUUCUAGAAAUCUUUUAGAUUCAGCCGCGGGAGGCACUUUUAUGGAAAUCACUUUAGGAGAAGCUACUAAACUCCUAGAUAAUAUUAUGGUUAAUUAUUCUCAAUGACAUACUGAAAGAUCUACUAAUAAAAAGGUGCAUGCAAUAGAAGAAAUUAAUGUUUUGAGUGGAAAGAUGGAUGAACUUAUGAAAUUAUUUGCUAAUAAGAGUGUUUCUUUUGAUCCUAAUGAUAUGCCCUUGUCUACUUUGAUUGAUAAUAAUAAUGAAUCUAUGGAUGUGAAUUUUGUUGGUAGGAACAAUUUUGGUAACAACGCGUAUAGAGGAAAUUUUAAUCCUAGGCCUUAUCCUAGUAAUCCCUCUAAUGCUUAUGGUAAUUCCUAAAACAAUUCUUAUGGAAAUUAUAAUAAGAUGCCCUCUGAUUUUGAAUAUAAUAUUAAAGAAUUUAUUACUUCACAAAAGAAUUUUAAUGCUAUAUUGACGAAAAAUUGCUUAAGAUUGAUGAUUUGGCUAGGAACGUUGAUAGAAUUGCUCUUGAUGUUGAUUCUUUGAAACUUAGAUCUAUUCCACCUAAGCAUGAUAUCAAUGAGUCUCUCAAAGCCAUGAGAAUUUCCAUUGAUGAGUGCAAAGAAAGAACCGCUAGGAUGCAUGCUAAAAAGAUGCCUUUAUAAGAGCGUGUUCUUCUAGUUGCCAUGAAAAUAAAGAUGAAAAUCUAAAAGUUAUUGAUGCCUUUAUAAGAACCGUUAUGUGAUGAAGUCGGAGCAUGAUUUAUUUUUUGAUUGCGUUCCUUAUGAGUGGCGGUCGGGGACGAGCGAUGGUCUUUUCCUACCAAUAUAUCCCCCUAGGAGCGGAAGGUCAUGUUGUGAUAACCCUGUUGGCACACCUAGGAGAUGUUCUUAAUGCGCGUGGCAACAAGGGUGAAACAUAUCUUGUGGGUUGAUAUGUACAACCCUUGUAGAAAGUUAGAUACUCGAGCAAUUUGGAAGACACUGGUUGAGGAAUUUGGAGAUGGUGGAAUUUAUUCCAUGCUUAUCAUGGACAUUAGAAGACAAUUAUCAUGCUACUAUAUCUAUCAUGGUAUUUACAAAUGUAGAUUUACUUAGUUUCAAAACGAGUAGGACUAUCACACUCACACAAAUCCAGCUUUAUGUGAAAUGUUGAAACAUAUCAUAGAGCCCCUUCCUUUGUACUAAGCCUGGUAUGAAUAUUCUAAUAUACUCUUUUUUUUGAGUUGCUUACGAGUACAUUCAAACGUACUCACUGGAUAAUAUUGUCCCUGGUUAAUAACUUGGCCAGGCAUGGAGGAGCAGAAUGUUGAAGAUGGAUUGGACGACACCCUUGAGAACUAGGACGCUCCCGAUCAGAAUGCAUGUAGCCUAUUGGGUUAAGGCAUGAUGGCAUGCGCCCAAGUUAUCAUUGGAGUUUCCUAUGCAGUUUCAUUUGGAGUUUCGCCCAUGUGGCCCGUAUGGGCAUAUUUAUGCAAGUUUUACCAUUAUGUAUGGUGUAACAUUUGAUAUCAAUUCUUUGCGUUUGGUGAGCAUUGAUCUUUUGCACCUAAAAGUAGUGUCUUCGGUUAGCUAGACCAGGACCCCCACAUCGGUGAUCCCCAUCGAUGAGUCCAUACUAUCGGGUUAGCAGUUACAUGCCAAUGGCUUGUGAAACUUAGUCAUCAACCGAAUCGUAUACUAGUCAAAGGAUAUGUGUUCGCAUAACCUUAUCAACUAGGGACCAUUAGAACAGUCAUCACACAAUAGUCUCACAAGUAAGUCACGUACUUAUUGAUACAUAUCAGUGAUGAUGUUCAAGAAUAAUACAAAUAACUCAUGAAUACAUAGGGAAAUAACAUCAUCACAUGUACUAAAAAAUUUGCUCUAUUUUGCGACAUUUUACUUCUGUCACGUAAAACCGUUUUCCUUCACGGAAAAUGCCAUGGUGACAUUUUUCAGCCGUCACCACCGCCAUCACUGAAGCGUCGUCAUAAAAACUAAAAUCUUGACGGCACUACUUCCUCUAUCACGCAAGAUCAUGCCUUAGGUAAUGAACCCAAAAUUGUCACUGAUGGUCGUUUUCGGUGAUGGACCAUAGUGUCACCUAUGAUAAGCCAAUCUUUUGCCUAAGAUCUUUUUCGGUGACAAUAAUCCGUCACCAAUAAUUGGUCCGCGGGUUUGACCAGUCAAAGAUUCUUACAAGUGGGGCCAGCAGUUGCUGAAGUGGUUGCUUCCAUGUGGGUCCGCCUUGGGUUUUAUCGCCGAUGGUCUCGUUAGUAAUAAGUCGGGCGUCGGUUUUAACCGGUGAACGCAGUUGACAUAUGGGCCUAGAAUGUGUUGACGUGCCUACCUACAUGUGGUACCAUGCAUUCUGUUUUCUAUGAUGAUAUGUCAUUUGAAUGGUCAAAGAUUCUAAUAUGUUGGCCCAUUGUAGUGUUGAAGUGGAUUCCGGCAAGUGGGUCCAUACGUGGGUGACGUGGCUUCUUACUUGUGGGUCCAUACACUUGUGAUGGUGUUCAUGACCGCCAUAGUAUUUAGGCACGGUCAAUUUGUAUUAUACUAGAACAAUGCUCGUGCAUUGCAACGGGAUAUAAAUAUUCUAGCACGUUAGCUUGUGAUUUACCCGUCAAAUGAUCAUCAAAUUCUGAUCGUGAAUUACCUUAUAUUUUGAUUAGAAGUUUGGUAAGUAAACUAAAGUGGAAUUGGUUCAGAAGGUAAGUAAAUUAAGGUGAUUGAUUAUCAUAUGCAUUGAAGGUUGGACGAAGGGGUGGUGGGAAGAAAGGUGAAAUGGGAACCUUACCUUCUUUUUAAGUAGUAGAGAUUGCAAUUGGCGGGCACAUACGACACAAUAUUGAGUUUUUAAAAUAAUUUUAAUAUGAAUUUGUGCAAAAUUUGAAUAUAAAUCCAAAUUCAGCACUUGUUGCUUAUAUUAAACUGCAAACUUGACAAUUGUCAAACAGACUGUCCGAGACAUUACAAUAACCAACCAUGGGGCAGAGCCAUAGCAUAAAAAGUAGACACAUAUGACUUACUUUCAUUGCUCACAUGUCAAAGAAUCCCGGGAACGCAAUCCAGGCGAUAAACUUUAGCAUUCCAUCAAUAUCAUCAAGCUUCCUGUCGAGAGCUUAGGUUUUCACUUCCUUCGCAUUCUUGACGAGUUCAGGUUCUUCUUAUUGCUCUACAGGGGCAGAUAUAAUAGGCCCAAUGUUAGACCUUCAAUUUUAUCUUAUUGCUCUAGCAAGGCCUUCUUGACACCUUCUAGUACUUUUUGUUGCUCUACAAGGGUAAUUUCAUUGAUUCUUGGCCAUGCCGCAUAUCUGGCAUGAGAUGCUUCACAGCUUCACGUUCUAGCUCAUGCUUUGCCAAGGCCUUCGCCACAACUUUAAAUUGUAGUUGCUGCCAUGCUAGGGCCUUCUUCAUAGCAUCUACUUCGUCAUGCUGGUUUACCAUUGCAUGCUCAACAGCUUCUAGUUGUUCUUGUUGCACUGCUAGGGCAUUGAUGACUGCAUCAGAUUUUUGUUUCUGGGGAAAAACACUUACAAUAAUGUCUUCAUUUGAGAAUCCCGACUUUUCCUACAAAGAAUUUUAUAGAGGUUACAUGAUAUAGAAUAAUUCCAAAUUGUAGAUGCAUCUACCACAGUAUAUAGUGGUAGGGUGAACAAAGACAACCUACUAAUUAAGGAAGAGUUUACAGAAAAGAGUUCAACUACUCACCGGCUGAACCCGCUUUGUCUUUGAUGUGCUUGAGCUUGGGGGUACAUCUGAAGUUAGAGACAUGAGUUUUUUUAACUCUUCAUGUACCAUAUGUAUACCCUUAGUUACAACUUCAAGUUGAUGACAGUAAUAUUCCUGCCAUAAUGUAGUUGAAGACAUUAGAUUGCAGGCAAUUUACAUUACGUAUGUAUUGUUACAACAAGUAAACAUAUUCUAACCAUAGAUGUAGAGUUUGUAAUAAAAAUGUCCUCUACAUUUGUAGUGGUGGCCAGAUUUGCGUCGUUUUGUUCACUUUUCAGUGUCACUGUCUAUCAAGUCUUCUUGAUGGUUUGAACAAUGACCAAGACCUCUAAUAUCUAAGAACACGGGUAAAUCUGUGAGAUGACCGGGAAAAGCUACAAAGCUAGAAAACUCUUCAUGUCGAUACAGGUUCUUUUUUGUGCAUUUGCUAAUCUUCUCCCACUCCAUUGGUACAACUGUUACAUAAAGGUGAUCACUUGUUGAAAGUAGGUGCAAUAUGAGAUGGCGACAAUUUUAAAUAUUUGUUCCAUGAUCAUUAAACAUCCAUGUACUUACACUAAGAUCAAGGAAGUGAACUAGUAAUAAGAACCCUAACUAGAUUGACCCACGUGCGGAACCGGAAUAAGAACCUCAAAUCAUAAAUGUCAUUGUUCAAGAAAUCGGUAACUGGUAGCUGCUUGGCUGGCUUGGGAGUAGUGAUUAAUCGGUGAAUUAGCCUAUUAAUCGAAUUAAUCAGUCGACCAUUAAUCAGUAUAUUAAAUAGGAACUUGCCAAGAUACAUCUAGUUUUUAUGUAUUAUACCAUACUCUCAUGCUCUCAGCUAUGUAUACUAUACCAAAAUAUGCUACUGUUUGGUUGAACCUGAGCUAUUGAGGAGCGAGAGGGGGACCGGAGGGGUUACGGGGCAAAAUUUUGGGCUUUGUUUGUGCACAAGUUAAUGGGCCAGAAGUGAUUAAUCGGCCUAAUAACUGAUUAAUCGGUCUAGCAGGCCAACUAAUCGGUCUGACAUGUUAACAUGAUGAAUAGGUGUUAUUCGAUUUGGCCACCCAGCGAGUAGCGAUUAACUGGCCUAUUAACUGAUUAAUCGUACGAGUUCUUGAACAGUUAAAUGUUGUAAAAAGAACAACAACUUUCACAUAAAAAGUAAGUAGAUGCGAAGGCCAAUUAGGAUUGAGAUAAUGGGUGUUGGGAUCUACAGUAGGGUGCGUCGACUGCAAAUAAAAUUUUCCUACGUGCAGACCAACCAAGAACAUGCUACGGGAGAUGGAUCACAGAUUGUUGCCACUAGACGCGUAGUGCCAUGCAGCGGAAGAAGAGUUGGGCAGCGCGUCCACGUGGAUCAUCUCCUCCUCGUCCGAUCUCCCUCGAACAGCCGGUCGUCGGAUCGCACGUACAAGUUCACCAGAGCGGCACAGGUGCACUGCCUUUAACGGUAUCCACAUGUGUAGGAGGAACAUCGUGCGUCGGACUGCUAGGUACGAUCACACAGUUAGCGGUGAGUGGAGGUGGCUAUUCACAACACAUGCAAACCCUAGUGACAGCGCCGAAGCAAUCAACCAAAUGAGUGUGCUGCACCCCCACUUUAUAUGGGCGUCCAUCAUGUGCUCAACACUUGGGCCUUGCAGGGAACCUAAAGCCCAAAAUCUGUCCGGUCGGGAUCCGAGUCCGAGUAGGAUCACAUCUAGCUCGUGGAGUUGGAUCAGGCUUCAUGGGUUCCUUCCCUUAAGCGCGCGACCCCUUAGGUUCAAGUCGGCUUGGUCGCAGGUCGGAUCACCUCUGACUUGCUCGGCUGGUAGCAGCCUCUAGCAAGGUGUGUCGACCACCAAGUAGACAAUGAAGCCGGUUGGUGAACUGAAAGGAUCGAGAAGAGGUGUCUAGAGGGGGGGGGGGUGAAUAGACUCUUAGUAACAUUUUUUAAUUUCUUUAAGUUAAGGUGGAGUUUUAGCACAAGUUUAACCAUUCACAAUACAUUCAAGCAAGCAUGGAAAGAGUAUAUGAGCAGCGGAAAGUAAAGCAUGCAACUUGCAAGAAAGUAAAGGGAUGGGAUUGGAAUGUGCAAACGCAAUUGGAGACUCGGAGAUUUUUGGCGUGGUUCUGAUAGGUGGUGCUAUUGUACAUCCACGUUGAUGGAGACUUCAAUCCACGAAGGGUAACGGUUGCGCGAGUCCACGGAGGGCUCCACCCACGACGGGUCCACGAAGAAGCAACCUUGUCUAUCCCACCAUGGCCAUCGCCCACGAAGGACUUGCCUCACAAUGGUAGAUCUUCACGAAGUAGGCGAUCUCCUUGCCCGUACAAACUCCUUGGUUCAACUCUACAAUCUUGACGAAGGCUCCCAAGUGACACCUAACCAAUCUAGGAGACACCAUUCUCCAAAAGGUAAUAGACGGUGUGGUGAUGAUGAACUCCUUGCUCUUGUGCUUCAAAUGAUAGUCUCCCCAACACUCAACUCUCUCUCUCUCUCUCUCUCACAUAUUUGGAUUUGGUGGAAAGAUGAUUCAAGUGUAAAGCUACUUGGGGAAGGCUAGAGACCAAGAUUCAAAUGGUUGGAAUGGAAUAUCUUGGUCUCAACACAUGAGUAGGUGGUUCUCUCUCAGAAAAUGAGUGCUGGAAGUGUAGGCACGUUCUGAUGGCUCUCCUAUGUAAUGAAGGAAGGGUGGAGGAGUAUAUAUAGCCUCCACACAAAAUCUAACUGUCACACACAGUUCGCCAAACUCAGUGGGACCGAAUCACAAAACCCGGUCGGACCGAUUCAGUUCAUAAUGUGACCGUUAGGCAUUUCGGUGGGACCGAUAUGAUCAACUUGGUGGGACCGAUGUGCUAGGGUUAGGGUAAAACUUCAUCUCGGUUUGACCAAUUACACAAACUCAGUGAGACCAGUUUUGGUAAUUAGCAAAACAGAGAGUUGGUUAGGCAAACUCGGUGGGACCGAUUGCUUAUCUCGGUGGGACCGAAAUAAUUGCAAUAGGUAACAGAGAGUUUGCAAGCCCAUCUCGAUGAGAUCGAGAUCCCAUCGGUGAGACCGAAUUGAUUAGGGUUUCUGGCAGUGGCUAUGUCAAGUGAACUCGGUGGCACCGGAUGGAUCAAAUUAGUGGGGCCGAGUUUGACUUUUGUUUUGGGACAUAUGUGGAUAUGAGAAAGUGGUUGAGGGCUUUGGAGCAUAUCACUAAGCACUUUGAGCAAGCAAGCCAUUAAGCAACACCUCAUCCCCUUUUAAUAGUAUUGGCUUUCCUAAGGACUCAAUGUGAUCUUGGAUCACUAAACUGAAAAUGUAGAGCCUUGAGCUUUUGAGCUUGAGCCAAUCCUUUGUCCUUAGCAUCUUGAAGGGGUUCCACAUCCUCUUGUCCAUGCCACUCCAUCUGUUGAACUUAUCUGAAAUAUACUAGAUAAAAACAUUAGUCCAACAAGAGAUAUGUUGACAUUAAUUACCAAAACCACCCAGGGAGCACUUGUGCUUUCAUGAACCUAUACAACAUGUCACACUUCUGUUCCCUUUGCCUCACGAUAUAUGUUGCCGGGCUCAAGGCGAGUCUGUCAUCCUUGUGCUUGCCCGACAUCUUUCUCGUUCCAGUGAUGCCUACCACUAAAUGGGUUAUCUCAUAAUCCCAGUCGCAUGGCCAUGCUUAUCUUGGUCGGAUCACACGAGGGGCCCAGAGUAUAUCUCUCCUGAUCAGAGGGGCAAAUCCCAUCUUGCCCGACCAUGUCUCGCAAUAUGGGUCCGGACAAGCCCUAAACCUACCUUUGUAAGUACCCAGCCAUAGAGUAGCAUUUGGUUGGCCCAAAGUAAGUCUGUCACCAUCCCGAGUACAUGUGACAGCUCAGGUCUUAGGACAUAGAACGUAUGUUGUACUAGAGACUCACAAAUGACAAAUCCUUGCGUCUCGUAGUUGGGUCUAUCCGACUCAGACCUUAUCUCAACUCAGGUCUGACUACGUCGAAUCUGAACAGAUGCUUCCGUGUCCAUAUUAUCCGGUUAGCAUCCAAUGCGCCAUGGCUACUGAUACCAAGCCAUCAACCGUGUCAUAUGCUAGUCUAGUCGGCUGCGCGUCCACACAACCCUUUCGACUAGGGACCUUUUAGGACAGUCACAUACAAUGCAUAGUCCCACAAACCAGUCAUGUACUUGUUGAUACACAUCAUUGAUAAUGUCCAAGGACUAACUUUAUUCAUAAACACAUAGGAAAUAUCAUCAUACAUGAUUGCCUCUAGGGCAUAUCACCAACAGUAGACGCACCAUGUGAGCGGACGAGCCCUAGUAGAACGCCGUCGGACGGGUGCGCCUCCAUGGUGACAAAACAAUUUGUGGUGGUGAAGUGAUAACCAUCGGCCGGGAGUGGAUUGGAUCUAUAGGCAAAGAGGGAGAGAUAGGAGGCAACAUAUUCUUUCUUCGAUGGGGAUGAGGCUGGUGUUGAAAUAAGAGGCAUGAUUGGUGAGGCUUGGGGUUAGUUUUACGGGGCGUUCCAAUAUGAUGAAACAUGCACGUACAUCUUCUAAGAUCCAGGAAAUGAACUUGUCGGCGUUCUGGGAACGGGGGUCCCCAGACUUGCCUGCCCGCGGCUUGCGGCGUGGCUCAAAGGGGGCCCCGGCACGGCCCAUCUUCAUCAACAAAGACCCAAGACCCUCACGAGGGGCCAAGCCUCGCGGGGCGGACGACACGGAGCUUCCUCAGGCAUGGCCUCAUCAGGCUGGCUCACGAGGAGGCGGAGAGAUCAAGGCGGGGUACCUCACGAGGUGCCUGUGACGCAAGCCAUGACGACCAAAGGCGCCAGGCGGGCGCCAGCCCGCGCAGUGUCCUCCUUUCCUCUUUGGUGCAAAGGGAGCAAGCGCAGCCGCGGAGUACCGAGGUAUUAGGAAAAGGUUGCCAUUUCGGUGCAACAAGAACAAGACCAGGAGGACUGCAAGAUAGAGGUCAUCGUGGAGCCCAAGACAGCGUUACCACCAGAGCUUUGUGCAGGCGAAGACUACUUUUGUCAGGAUAGCUGGUACUAGCUGUCCCCCUUCAAAUUAGCUCGCCAUUGUUGGCUCCCUUCCCGCUCGAUAUUUGGGAAGAGGACCAGGGCCUCUAUAAAUAGGACCAGCCACCCACAGGAUCGAGGAGAGGGGUUUAGGGGGAUCGAGACCAACGAUCGAGUAGAGAGGAGGUCGAAUCAGAUCAACAAUCGUGAAGAGAGAGAGAGAGAGAAGGGUGACUGAACUCCUCCUAGUAGUUCGUCCCCCCCCCCAGCCAAGAACAGACCCUCGCGAGGUUGUUCUUCCUUGUAUCAUUCAUCAUCAUCAGCCCAAGAGGCAAUCCACCACACCACACACCGGAGUAGGGUAUUACACCACAAUGGUGGCCCGAACCAGUAUAAACCCCGUGUCUCUUGUGUCAUUCUUCCCAUAGCUUAGAUCUUAGCGAGGCGGAGGGGUGUAGGUAGGUAGGAGGCGAAAUCUCCGCGCGCACCCCAGUGUUCGAACCUCAAGGGUCUGCCGGAACCUGAAAUCCGACAUUUGGCGCGCCAGGUAGGGGUGCGCCGGAAUUCGUCUUCCACCACCCCGUUCUCCUCCGACCAUCGUGCCCAUGUCUGACGCUCGUCGGGCCCGCACCGAGCGCCGGGCCGCUCUCGCUUCUCGCGUCGCCCAGACGGCUCCUGUCGGUGGGCGUCCUCGCCGUUCCCCGUCACCUGCCGUCAAUGCUGCCACCGGCCCAGCGGGGGACGAGCAGCAAGCAUCGUCUCAGCAUCCGUCCGUGCAGCAAGACGGCCGCACCGCAACUCCCUCGCUCACCCCAGCUGGUUCUUCAUCCCGCGCGCUCCGUGCACCCAUGGAGGCUCGAGCUGCGCUCAUCGCGGCAAACGAGCUCCUGCGCUACUGUCCCGUCGACAACGUCUACGAAGAAUGGCUCGACCGCGUCGCUGAGCUCGUCCGCGCCGCAGGGGGCUCUCCUGCGCCGUCCGUUCCGCUGCACCGCACCCCGCCCUGCGCGGGCGGCGAAGCUCCAGCGGCGCCCUGGCCGCCUCCUCCUCAAGAAGGCGCCAUGGCUCUAAGGCGCGUGGCCCCUGGGCGGAACCCGCUCCGUCAGGUGUCAGCGCAGCAAGAGCAGAGCUUCCAAGAAGUCCCUCGCCCGCAAGAAGCUGCCCGGGCGCUCCCUGCUCCAGCACGUUGCAACUCGCGACCAUGCUCCUGCUCCCGCACAUCAAGACCCCGUGCUGCUCCCAGCUACAGCGCGUGGGGACAUGCAAGACCAAGCUCUAUGUCACCCAAGGCCUCCCGUGACCACAGCAGGCUGCCGUGCCUUCACCAUCGAGCUACGCAGCGUUGCGUGGCCCGGCAAGUUCAAGCCAGACCUGCCUCCUCGUUACGACGGCACGGCUGACCCUGCGGAGUUCCUCCAGCUCUAUGAGCUGGGCAUCAAAGCUGCCAACGGAGACGAGAAGGUCAUGGCGAACUAGUUUCCCAUGGCGCUCAAGGACGGGGCCCGCACCUGGCUCCUGAACCUGGCUCCAGGCACGAUCUCCUCCUGGGACGAGAUGCGCACCCGCUUCAUCGCCAACUUCCAAGGUACUCGCGACCGGCCACCCGCCGUGAGCGACAUGCGCCGCAUCAAGCAACAACCCGGGGAGACCCUGCAGAAGUACAUCCAGCGCUUCAACAACGCACGCCUCAAGAUUCCCAGGGUGACUGAGGAGGCCAUCAUCUCAGCCUUCUCCGACGGCAUGCGUGAUGUCAAGAUGAAGGAGGAGCUGGCGAUGCAUGAAGACCUGUGCACUUCCUUGGAGCUGUUCAACUUGUCAACCAAGUGCGCCAGGGCUGAGGAAGGGUGUCUCUCCCUCCUCGAGCUGCCUGCCGCAGACCCAAAAGAGAAGAAGCCCAAGGCCAAGGAUGUGAAGCGCAAGGGGGCUGCCGUGCUCGUGGCAGAACCAGACGCCAAGCGGGGCAGAGAUCAGCCCGAACCUUCCAAGGGCAGUUGGUACUGUGUGUACCACGACCUCCACACCCACAACACCAACGAAUGUCAAGAGCUCCGAGCCAUGCGAGAAGGAAGGAUCGGCCGUCGCCCCGACCGCGGUGACCGGGGCUACGGUCGAGGAGGAGGAAGGAACGCAGGACGCUGGGAAGACUGUGGCCCGCGCCAAGGGUGGCGCGAUCAACCUCGCGAGGAUCGCUGGCAAGACCUGCCUCACGAGGGAGACUGGAGGGAUCAGCCUCGCGAGGAUCGCCCGCAAGGCAACGUAGGCCUCCCUCCGCUACCACCGCAGCCAAGGAGAAACGAGGACCGCCACCAGGACGAGGGGGCUGGGGGCUUUCAGGAGCCGUGCGCGAUCGCCUGCAUCUUGGGCGGGGCUCAAGCCCCAGCCUCUCAACGCAUCUUCAAGCAGUUCGCCCGUGAAGUGAAUGCAGUCCUCCCCAGGCUCGAAGCCACGCGCCUUCUCAGGUGGUCGGCGUGUGCCAUCACGUUCAGCUCAGCAGAUCAGCUCAAGUGUGCGGCUACAGCCGGAGUCCUCCCGAUGCUUUGUUCCCCAAUCAUCAGCAACAUGGUGGUCACCAGGACCCUCAUCGAUGGCGGGGCAGGGCUCAACGUCCUGUCCGUGGAAACAUUCAACAAUCUCCAAGUGCCCUACAGCCAGCUUCAGCCAACCAAGCCUUUCUCCGGAAUCACCGACGGCUCCACGGUCUCGAUUGGGCAGGUCCGCCACCCUGUCAUCUUUGAGGCACGCGACAACUACCGCACCGAGCUCAUCGACUUUGACGUCGCUCACAUUCGCCUGCCGUACAAUGCCAUCCUUGGGUACCCAGCGCUGGCCAAGUUCAUGGCCGUAACUCACCACGGCUACAACGUCCUCAAGAUGCCAGGAAGUGGCGGAGUCAUCACGGUGCCCUGUGAAGAGAAGGACGCGGUGUGUUCCCUGGAACGAGCCUUUCAGGCCGCGUCACUGGAAGACCCGGAUCGCAGAAGAAGGAGGAUUCCCGAGACCGCCCCCAAGAAGAAGAAGACGUCAUCCAGCCCGGCCCCUUAGGAGGCAGGCCCCUCUGGGCCCAUGCCUGCCCAGGGGGAACCUCCUUCCAUUGCAUAGGAAAGCGCGCCCAGCGCCCUCCUCAGGCAGGGCUCGGGGGCUCUCCCCUGGAGGGCCACCGACCUGGCUAGGGUCACGAGGGAGGCGCUUGGGCACCACAUGGAGGCGUGUUUCGAAGCACGUUUCCCUCAAGAAGGAGCAAGGCAAGGAGAGCCAGACCAUCAGGAGUUCGUCAGCAAGGCCAUUCAGGAGCUACAAGAGUCAAGAGUCAUGAAAGGCGGCCGCCGCCUACCAGCAGUGGCUCCCCAUCCAGGCAAGGAUGGUGGGCUGCGCGUCUGCAUCGACAUACCAGGGCUCAACCGAGUCGCCUCUCGGGAGCGCCUCUAGCCCUCGCGAGUGGGGCGCUGCGGAGGUCCACCCCACAGCUACGUUCGCAUGCCUUACGGCUUGCCGAACGCGGCUGCCACGUACCAGUGCCUCAUGAGGGGCAUCAUGGAGGCACAAGAGGCCAGGCGUUCCGCGGCCCUGGCGGAGAUGGAGAUGGUCCGCAAGGAGCCACUAGCACCUCCGGAGCCUCCCGAGGCCCCUGGGCCUGGGGGCUCGUGAGGAUCGGCUUCCGCAGCACACCGAGUCUGCUACACCAACACCCCUUCGUCCUCAACGUCAUCAGGUGACAUCUUUUAAGUUUCACUUCCAGCUGGGAGCGCCCCCCAGGGCUGCAUUAUUCCCAGGCCGCGUGGGUCCGUCCCUGCGGCGUGUAUCCCUUUUAUUUCAUGUUGCUAGCUUACCUUGUUGGGGGCGCCCCUCGGGCUGCAUGAUCCCCAAGUCGCUCGGGCCAGACCCAGCGGCAUGUAUCCCAUUUGCGUUUAUUUCCGGUUAUGCGUUCGACCCACCAUGCUUGAUUAUUUGAUGUCGGUCCACGGCACCUCUUCUUCUCCAUGUCGACCACUUGCACGCUAAAGGGGGGGUACCUGAGCAUCGCGACUCAGGGCUCUUACUGGCUCUCCAGCCUUCACCCUCUGGCCUUGUCCACGGCAUCGCGACCUGGCAUACCAGCGACGGCUGAGACCAGCUCAAGGGUCGGGACCCGAGGACAUAGAGCAGAAAGGGGAGCAAAAGCGAGAGGGGAGGGACACACGAGGACCUCGCCGAGCAACCUCGUGCCUGCCGAUGCACGGACCCCGCGACACACCAGAGAGCGACCCCUGAUUCUCGAGAUAAGUCAUCACCCGGAAGCGCCAGCUACCGUGGCAUCAUCCCCGCACCUAAUGCAAUCCCGUGUUAGCGACGCCGCUCUCCUUUCUCACCGAACGACGGCUACUUGAGCACCAAAGGGGACCUCCUAAGCAUCGCGACUCAGGGGCUCUUACCGGACUCCGGGUCGCUCACCUCCUGGCCUUGACCACGGCAUCGCGACCUGGCAUACCAGCGAUGGCUGAAGCCUCCUUGGAACUGGGACCUAUCGGCGCAGAGCACCAAGCCCUCGUGAGGUUUGAAAGGGAGAACUGAGCUAAGACGGAAUGAGCAACUCGCACAAUUCUAUGACAAGGGUUAUAUUAACAAAACAGGAUCGCAUGCACUUUACAAGCCCCCACGGGACGCGUCUUUGAUUCCUCGCAGGGAACAGAUCCUAAAGGGACACUAACUACGCGCGCCCCUGCAAAAGACGCCAUCAUCAACAUUGGGCCGUCAAGCACCGGCACCAACCCCAUCCAGAUCAGAGUCGGCGGCGGCCUGACGAGCCCGCCCUGCUCCAGGCGCGGCACCGGCUCGGGGGCUCGUAGCUGUCGUUGCUCGUCUCCGGAGUCGCGAAGAGCUCGCCGGAGUCGCUGGAACCUCCGACGCCUCCACCGCCUGCGGAGCCGCCAAGGGAGCGAUCGGCGGGCCCAAUCCUUGCCGCAGCAGGGUCCCGGCCACCUCUCCCGGGGCAGCACUCCAGCCGGCGCCCGUUCGCAUCAAAGACCUUGAAGAACAUCACCGAAGCACCGUCGUAAUCCAAGUGGAUGCUGAAGGCGCCCGUUGUCCUGCAAACCCGGGCGAUUUCGCCCCAGCCCCGAGUCAUGAAGACCUCGCCCGGGGCAACGACCGUGACCUCUGCCUUGGUCGCAAGGGUGCUGCAGCCGGCGCGCUGCAGCCAAAGCUCCAUGGGCUCUCCCUAUGGGAUGAUGGAGGCAAAGAAGGGAAGAAGGCGAAUCCAAGACUAAGGAGGCAUGGCGGCGUGGAACACGAACUCUCGGGAGGAACCCUCGGUGUGGACCCCAGGGAGGACGACCCACACCUUCGUGACUCAUUGGCGCCGACGGCGGCGCCGCCCGUGGCGAUCAGCAUCAGCUCCUUCAGGGCCCUUGUUGUGGGCGUACAAGGGAAGCGGGAACCCCGGCGGUGCCCACUCUCACCAGGGCCUUGACACCACCUGAUGAGCCUCCUUGUCCGGGCCGCGGAGGACGAGCCGUUUCUUCGGCGGGAGUGGGUCUGGUUCCUCUCGGGGAGCCUUUUCCUUCUCUGCCGUCGAGAACCGGCGGAUCGGAGCCAUCACAGCAAGACAGAGCAAGGACCGGGAAGAAGGAGAAGCAAGGAGGGAUGGACUAGAAGGGUGCACGCCGUUCCGUACUUAUGGCCGGCGAAGGCCAACCACCGACCUCCACGAUCGCAGGUAAUCAUGACCCACUUUGCAUGCAGGGACUUGUCCAAUCCGUGCAGUUGCUGAGGCGCCAUGGGGAAGUGGAGGCGCCCACGUCCAAUCAACCGCCACGCAGCGCCUAAGGCCGCAGGCUGUUAGGGCCCGUGGCGCUUCGCUCUUGCCCUUCUGCCUCCCUGCACGGCCAAGUCCGGGCGCGCCUUGGGCCCCGGGGCUAUUGUCGGCGUUCUGGGAACGAGGGUCUCCAGACUUGCCUGCCUGCGGCCUGCGGCGUGGCUCAAAGGGGGGCCCAGAAUGGCCCAUCUUCAUCAACAUAGACCUAAGACCCUCGUGAGGGGCCAAGCCUCACGGGGCGGACGACACAGAGCUUCCUCAGGCACGGCCUCAUCAGGCUGGCUCGCGAGGAGGCGGAGAGAUCAAGGCGGGGUACCUCACGAGGUGCCCGUGAUGCAAGCCAUGACGACCAAAGGCGCCAGGCGGGCGCCAGCCCGCGCAGUGUCCUGCUUUCCUCUUUGGUGCAAAGGGAGCAAGCGCAGCCGCGGAGUACCGAGGCAUCAGGCAAAGGUUGCCAUUUCGGUGCAACAAGACCAAGACUAGGAGGACUGCAAGACGGAGGUCAUCGUGGAGCCCAAGACAGCGUCACCACCAGAGCUUUGUGCAGGCGAAGACUACUUUUGUCAGGAUAGAUGGUACUAGCUGUCCCCUUCAAAUUAGCCCGCCAUUGUUGGCUCCCUUCCCGCUCGAUAUUUGGGAAGAGUACCAGGGCCUCUAUAAAUAGGACCAGCCACCCACAGGAUCAAGGAGAGGGGUUUAGGGGGAUCGAGACCAACGAUCGAGUAGAGAGGAGAUCGAAUCAGAUCAACAACCGUGAAGAGAGAGAGAGAGAAGGGUGACUGAACUCCUCCUAGCAGUUCGUCCCCCCCAGCCAAGAACAGACCCUCGCGAGGCUGUUCUUCCUUGUAUCGUUCAUCAUCAUCAGCCUAAGAGGCAAUCCACCACACCACACACUGGAGUAGGGUAUUACACCACAAUGGUGGCCCGAACCAGUAUAAAGCCUGUGUCUCUUGGGUUGUUCUUCCCAUAGCUUAGAUCUUAGCGAGGCGGAGGGGUGCAGGUAGGUAGGAGGCGAAAUCUCCGCGCGCACCCCAGUGUUCGAACCUCAAGGGUCUGCCGGAACCCGAAAUCCGACAGAACUAGCAAUCGGUUUAUUGUUAGCAUGGAUUAGUUGGUAACAAAAGCAUCUUGAGAGAGCAUACAGACUAAAUCAGAGGAAGAUAUACUCAAAGAACCAUAGCUAGAAUAACAUGUACUGUUAACCCAGGUAAGAACCAUAACUUGUUAUUAUUGUAAUAAAAAACAACACCACAAAUAUAACUCGUCGAUUAGGAUGAGAUCUUGGGGUAGUUUUACCAGCAGAGCAGAUGGGGCCAAGCCGUACACCGUCCGUCAUGAGCGCCUCCCUCACUGAAUGAUUUGUGGCCAUAGCUAGCGAGAUUCACCGGGAGGAUCUGGAGCCGAAGAUAUAUAUGUAUAUAUAUAUAUAUAUAUAGAGAGAGAGAGAGAGAGAGAGACAAACACAGAGAGAGAGGAAGCUAGAGGUAUAGGAGGACACGGCUCAUUUUAUCGGAAGGGGGUGUGAUUAUUGUGGAAAAAAGAGGCGGUAUUAAUUUGAGGAGGGUUGGGGUUAUGUGGGCGCACGGGCCGUUCAAAAACGAGUGGUGGGAAGACAAAAUUUGAGGGAACUCUUAGUGGGGAGGCAAGGAUAAAUUUGAGAUUUGUUCAGUUUUGUUUUCCUUUAUAUUAUGAAACAACUUUACUGUAAACUCUUCCAAAUAAACUUCGAGCACUUUCUCAACAUAGUCGUGACCACUAUGAUAUGAAAAAGCAUGGUUUGUGUGACAACAUGUUCCUAACAUAAUGUGUUCAUGUAGAGUAGUACCAUGUUCCUCGCUUAUUUAAUGUGGAACCAACAAGUUAGCUAUGCACAAUCGUCUUGUUUGUGCAUGUAACUUGAAGAAAGCAUGUUCAUCAUGUGAAGUGUCAUGGUUGUUUACAAAUUCAAGUUCCCGGUGCCGGUUGUCACAUCAUACUUUGAGAUCCUACUUUACAUGUGUCAAGGUGCUACCAUCCAAAGGAUUUGAGAAAGUGUGAAUCUGAACACUGUCCAUACUUUGUAUUCAUGAUGCAUACCACAUAGUGGAGAUGAUUUCAAAAAAUAAUUCAUUGUGUACAUCACACUAGGGAAUUUCAGCCUGCAAGCAAGCUGAGGUUAUGCAUUGUGUCAUACUUUGAGAUCCUACUUUGCAUGCGGGAAGGUACAUGCAUUGGUGAUUGUUCGUGUGUCAGGAUGUUCAUCACAUAUUUAAGGUGAACACAAUAGGUUUGCAAUGCACAAACAUUUUGUUCGUGCAAGUAUCUUGGAGAAAGCAAGCUGAUCACGUGAAGUGUAACGAGUGGUUACAAACUCAAGUUUACUGUGUCGGGUAUCAUUUCAUACUUUGAGAUCCUACUUUUCAUGCGGGGAGGUGCCAGCAUGGGUGAUUGUUCAUGUGUCAGGAUGUUCAUCGCAUAUGUAAGGUGAUCCAAAUAGGUUUCUAAUGCACAGACAUUUUGUUCGUGCAAGUAUCUUGAAGAAAGAAAGUUAAUCGUGUGAAGUGUAAUGAGUGGUUACAAAUUCAACUUUAUGUCAUCGGGUGUCACUUCAUACUUUGAUAUCCUACUUUGCAUGGGGGAAGGUGUCGGCAUAAGUGAUUGUUCAUGUGCCAGGAUGUUCAUCGCAUAUGUAAGGUGAGCCCAACAGGUUUGCAAUGCAUAGACAUUUUGUUCCUGCAAGUAUCUUAAUGAAAGCACGUUGAUCAUGUGAAGUGUAACGAUUGGUUACAAAAUAGAGUUUACUAUGCCAGUUCUCACGUCAUAAUUUGAGAUAUCUGUUCAAAAAAUAGUGCAAUGUGCCAUACUAGGACCAUGCACAAGCCGCCACGUUGAGCUUUCAAUGUUGCCACAAUACAAAAUAUACUGUUCCAACCCCAUCAUUUUUUUGCUCUAACAGACGUCUAAUUCCCGUGACUCGUGUAACCAUCGGACGACAUUCCAACUGCUCUAGCUAGUUACCUUUUUUGCAUGACAAAUUAAUGAUCGCACUCCUUUCACUGCAUCCAUUUGCAUCUUCUUCCUCAGCUAUUCCUUGUCGUCUGCCACAAAGCCCCACCGCCUCCUUGCAGUCAUGGACAACAAGAAACUAACAACAGAGACCCACCACAUUACUACCCAUGGCACAACCGUGUUGGAGGUGGUGUACACCAACGAGCUAGAUAUUGUGGAGCGAGUCAUCGGCAUGUACGACCAACGGCUCUAGGAGAAGAAGAACAAGUUCGUCGACCCCGACCUCGAGUACACCCGUAGGAGCAGUUACAGACAACAAGGGGUCGCCAUCGUGCAACUCGCCAUGCGUGAGCAUGUUCCCUUGUACCACUACUGUAGGUCUGAGCGGUGCCAGGCAUUGGCUGAACUCCUGCAACGCAAAGUGAUAACUUUCACUAGCAUGGACACCAGGGGCAACAAGAUCAUGCUUGCCCGUGCAUGGAUCAAAAUUCCAAAUGAGCACCACGUCAACAUCCAAAAGAAGGUAUGUAUCAAAGGUGGCGGAGAAAGGGACACCAUCAGUGACCUUGCAACAACCAUCAUCGACCCCUCGUACAAGAACAUGAAGAAAUCAUUCCCAAAGGACAAGCACCAGUACUGGAGUGGAAGCCGCUUUCCAAGCUGCACCCCGAGUAUGCAGCAAAAGACAGGUAUGUUAGCUAUGAUUUGUACCAUAGGAUACCAAUCAUUAAGGAUGGGCUAUGUCACCUUCUCCAACCACCAUCGAGGGAAUGGCUCCACACCUAUAAGAACAAAAACGAGGGAUCUUCGAGCGGCUGCAAGCACCGGAAGGGAAACUUCGGGUGGUGAAUUGUUAGAACUUGGAUGUGUACAUUCAACUAGUAGUAUGUUAGACUGAGCGAACAUAUGUUCUAACUAUGAUCGUAGUGGGUCAAAGAUGUUGUGUGUAUUGUAUUACUUAUUUACGUUUAACAUAGUGGUGUGGUGAUGUACAAAUGCAUGUUACUUUAUGUAAAAAUAUGUGCUUGUAUCCUAGUUAACUUCUUGAAAAUGCUUUACGUGAAUGGUGUGAACACUUUCAGAAAUAUUUGUAAGGACUCUCAGAAACAGUCUGAUGGCUUUCAAAAAAUUCAUCGCCGACUUUUCCAAACAAUUUUAGCGAUUAAAGAACUUUGAGUACUCAUUUCGGAUAUAGUGUGAGCAAAGUUUGAAAUAUGAAAAGUAGGUCGAUCAUUGUUAGUCAUCAGAAUUAUAAAUGAAGACUCUUUGCAUGUAACGACCACAUGGUGUACAUGUUUGGUAUGGAAAAUCAUUUAAUUUGUGAAUGUAAACUUUUGGUAUGUAAAAUGUCCUAUAUUUUUUUAGUAUUGUUGCGACACCAAACUAGUGGUGAACUCAAGCAUGUUGUUGUUAUUUUUGGAAAGUAUACCAAAAAGCAAAUGCAAGCAAUGUACAGUCACGUCUUCGUGCCGCCGUCAAAUCUAGACAACACGACGCACGCUCGGUAUGGCUCAUCCUUCAAACUAUUUUGACAUCCUCCUCAUCUCAAACCAUGAUAUAAGAAGUUGCCAAAUCCCCUCUCCAAUAUAACCAACCCACCAUCAUCCUCAUUCAACUCUCUCUCUCUCUCUCUCUGUGCGUGUGUGUGUGUGUGUGUGUGAACCUGUCUUGCUUCAUAUCAGUAGCAUCCAUGUCUCGUGGUAGAUCUUUCGGCCACCUCGACGGUGACAUGAUGGUGCUGCCGUGCUUGAUAGCCCCGCUCAUGGAGGAACAUUGUGUCCCAAUCCAUGGCGGCGAUAACAUCCACACCGUGUACACAAGCGACAACGGCGUCAUCCAACACUGGAUACCACAAGAUGAGGAGUUUCUAGAUAUCUUUCGAGUGUCGUUUAUCGGCAUAGACAUCGAGUACACCCGCCGCCAGACGAAGGGACAAUUUCCUGUCAAAGAAUAGAAGGCAGCCCUCAUCCAGAUCUCUACGCGACGAAUUUUCUCAUUUACCAGGUAUGUCGGUCUCAAGGUGUGAGCACGUCUCUUCGCUAGUUUCUCUUCAACGAUAGAUACACUUUCAUUGGUUUUUGCAUCAAGGGUGGCAUAGAGAUGUUGCGGCCCUAGGAAAUCAGGGUCGAAAACUACGAGGACAUCCAAGUCGAAUGGGCUAACCUGGAAGGAUCUAAGGACUUUGAUUCGUUGUCCAACAUCUCUAGAUUGCUUGUUGAUAACUACUACCUCAUCAAGAAGAAUGGUUUCGAUAAGGCUUAUCAUGAAAGUUGGGCUGAGAAACUAUGCGACAAGCAGAUCAAGUACACAGCGAGGGACGCAUAUGAGUGCUAUGCAAUAUGGAGCCAAAUCAAUCUCAUCAAGCAGGGUCUGAUAAAAGCAAAAGAUAGACAUGUGUUGAGGGCUAUCCAUGCAAGCAUCAAGAAGACAGAGAAGAACAAACUCGAACUCGAGAAGGCGCAGCGUCGAAACAAAUUUGGAUAGAUCAGUACUUGUAUUACGUAUUUUAAGAUAUGUUGAAGUUGUGCAUUUGAUUGUUCUAAACAUUUGUGGUGCGUACUUAUUAAGUUAAUGGGGUUUAUAUGUGUUAACUGAAGCUUCAAAUGUUCAAGAUUAUUCUUACAUUCUUGACCUCAUGUUUAAGGUGAAUCUUAGGGGUUUCACCACAUGUUCAAGUUGAAUCUAAGAAGUUUGAGAUGCAAUACUUUUAAAUAAUUAACUUGUAUGUCAUUAUCAUUAGUGUUUACAGAUGGAUGAUAUAACUUGAAGUUUUUGAUGCAAUAUUCGUGUGAUGUAAAUGAAUGGCUAGUUCAUCUACCUUGUCUGUGUCAUGCAUGAUUCAAAUGAAGAUGUCAUGGGUCCCACUUUGCAUAGGCCAAGAGGUGUCGUGCGAGUUGACGGGAUGCAUGUGAGCAUGCUGUUGCGCAUCCUCACCGAAAGGCAAGCCCUUCGACCACCAUCCGCUGCCCGACUGCCUUCUUCCCAAUUGCCCACUUAAUGUCGCUUGAGCCGUUGAAUAAUAGGCCGUGUACUCACCGCUCUCACUAGAGUUCUCUCUCCCACCUAUGAUUCCCCUCUCCUUUGUCUCAAUCAGCCAGACCUCACCGUACACCAUGGUGCAUCACGAUGGUCUAUCCCCGGUCUUCUAGUUUUAAGAGGAAUACCCCAAGCGGGAGGAGCAGGAACAGAACAAGCUUUGGGAUGUGCCAUCAUGAGCGCGUGCACAAUUGCACAUGCCUACGCCUGUGUCGGUGCUAGUGCCCGCCUCAGCUGCAUGGGACGCCACCCUCGAAUGCUACCUUGCAUCGCCUGUGCCUGUGCACGCACUUGUCUCGCGGCAUUGCUAGUGCCCGCCUCAGCGGCACGUGAUGCCACUCUUGUUCACUUCCUUCCAGCGCUAGCAGUCGCCACUACAUCGUCCUCUAUGGCAUGGGAUUGGCUGCAGCAGGCGGAAUGGGACCGGCUACUAGAGGCGGAAGUCCAGAACAUUCUUGUAUUACUUGAAGGUUGGCCCGACGUCCUGGACAACGCCAACGCCGAUGCAGGAUGCCACCAUGCUGCAAUUAGUUUGUUCGUUUAUACAUUGCAGUUUGAUCGUAUGAAUGCAAAGCCACACCAUGAUUGAAUGCAAAAUAAGCGAACCUCUACAUGGUAAAAAAUAAGGUAAACUUUGACAUUAUGACAUGGUACGGGUACAUGCAUUUGGUGAAAAAACCUCAAUUUGCAUUUCAUUUUGAAUAGUGCUAUUGAUCAAGCAUUGUGCCACUGAUUUUUCACGUUGCAAAAUUCUUACUAAUAGACAGAGAGAUUAAAUAAAAUUGAUCGAAAUCCAAAAGUGAAAAAUGAGGCACUAGGAUAUCGAACCCAUGAUUAUUAUGGUUGUAGCAUUACUUCCACUGCUAUCCAUGCUAUACAUUUGAAGUGUUGAUUUUCUGGGAUUAUAAUGUAUAUUAAAGAAAUAGCUAAUUCGGUACCCUUUCGACCGCCGGAUGGAUGAUGGAUGCCUCACCUACGUCUGCCUCCUUGCAUCCCUUGUCAACCACCUCCACUGCAUUCCCACUAGUUCAAGUUUGCACCAAUUCACACUUGGCAAACCGCACAAUAUAAGGAGAGGUUCCAUCAACAAUACCAGUGAAUCCUAUAGAAAACCCCACAACCCCCUUUACAUCAAUGAUGGUGUGCAUGCCCACUCCCGCCCCUACAUAUCCAUGACUAGUGACAUGCCUCAUAGGUCACCUCAAGCCCCAAAUGGCGAACCUGAUCAAACACAUCCUCCUCCCGCCUCCGACCUGGCACUAGUCGGUGUUGUGUUUGAUCCACCCCCCUCAGUGAUGAUGUCAAGUCAGGCACUUGGCUCAUCCUCGGGGAAGAGAAAACCCAUGGCCGAGGAGACGGGCGACAUCGCCCAUGAAUGGGCCCCAUAGCAAUGAUGCCUUGUGGACAAAGAGGAGGAUUGCGCCGUCGAGGUCCUCCAUCAAGUAGGUGAGGCAGGCCGUGAGUGUGACCGCCUCUUGGAGUGAGUCAACGAGCUCUAGGAGGCAGCCCGCCACCAAGUGGUAGACAUGCACUGCGAGAUCGACGAACUCGGCCUGAGAUUGCAGGAGCUCCACCGUGCCAUCGCCCAAGUAGAGAUUGAGGCAGCGUACAAUAUCUCCAACAUUAUGACGCGCGUCGAAGAAACCAUCUGUGACGUAGAACGAGCUAUCGAAGAAGCCGUCAUUGCGGCCGGCAUUGUGACACCCCGAUUCAGAGAACCGAAGGCCCUCAAGUUUCAGCCUAGAGAUCCAUGUAUUCUGGAACACGACUAUAGCUUGGUAUAGAACCACCACAUUCUAAUAGAGUACUCACAUAGUACACGGAGUUAUAAUACAAUACUCUUGCUCAGCAUGGUAGUACAAUCUGAGCGGUAGUGCUCGAUUAUUAAACCUAGGGCCUAGUGGCUAAUGAAGCAUUAGUAGGGAAAGGGUUAUGACACAACAGAAGGCAGGAUUCUAGCGGGACUUCAAACCAAAGGGACGCUGCUGGGACACAAUCUAGCUCUCGCUCUAGACGUCCUUCUAUGAGGCUUCUCCUGCAUCUGGCAUGAUAAGCCAGGUGAGUACUUUGAUUGUACUUGCAAGCUCAUAAACAACCCAAAGGCAAGCAAGCAAGAAACAAGGUACACAAGUAAAGCCACAAAAAUAAAGACAAGCAUAAGUGCAACUAACAUAACAAUUGUAUGAAAAUAAAUUACUCGUUUAGGGUUUAACAUCCAAAGGACCUCUCUCUCCGGCAUGAUCCUCGGUCAUCCGACAUACUGGGGUGACUGCUACACUAUCAAAGCAUUAAACUUGAAUUAAAUGUAGACGAGUGCCUGGUCAAAAUAGUGUGACUUAACACGAACAGUGUCCCAUUUCCAGGGACUCGGCUAUUCGCAUAGUUUCAACACACAAUCUAUAGAGAUCGUACAGUUUACCCACACCAUGGACUAUUUGUCCUACAAACCUCACUGUAGCAUGGCCCUCUAACCAUAUCUCAAACCCCCCGCAGGCUAGCCCAAGGAUAGAGGAUCUGGAUCCUUGCUACCUCGUGGCACCACUUGUCUCCCCUCAGGGAUCAAUCAACUUCCUAGUGCACAUCUCCUGACCCAAGCUCUCUUGACUAGAUGGCAACUUCCUGGCCAAAGGAAGUCUACACAUCUUAGUUUCCCUCUUUGGAGAUAUGCGGAAGAGACAUAACUACAACUAAAAUAGGGCCCUCCCAUUCAGACAAAUGUGGCUGUACUGAGGAAGUUCGGUUUCGUGGCAGCGGGAAUGAUUGGUUAUUAAGGUUGGAGUAUAGGGGGGGGGGGUGUUCUACAAUACUCCAACUCUAAUAUACUCAUCUCAAAUCAUACUAAUCUCAACUUAAAAUGCCUGAAGGAGACUACUAUCUUAAGUAAAGUCUUUCCCCGAAAGGUCUCCUCAUCAUUUCUGUUUUAGUUGUUAGGGUUUAUGUGAUCGAAAGAAAUUUUCGGUUACAAAGUGACUACUAGAUUCAACAGUAAUGAGGUGGAUCUCUCUAUUACUCUACUAGUAUUCUACCAUACUGUUACUAAGCUCUACUAAAACAAAUAAAUUAGAGCAUAAAAGUAAAGCAAGCAUACCGGUAAAAUAGCCGGUAUCAAGCAAGUUUGAACCCAUGGCCUUGCAAAUGCCAUCAAGAAAAUGGAUGAAAUGGUUUGCCUUGAACUAGUGGAGGGUCACAAAACUCCUAGUCUUCACCUCCUGAAUUAUUUCUCUCUGGAAAUAAUUUUCAAAGCAUUUUUAAUAAAGAGAAAAUUACUAAAACUUUGUCCAGAAAUUCUAGAAAGCUUAAAUAAUUCUCAAACUUUGCCAACAGAAAGGAAAUUGGAUAACAAAAAUAAUGCAAAAAUAAUCAACUGAUUUGUACUUAUUGUUUAGGAGUUAUUCAUGGUUAAAGUUAAGUGAACAGAAGCAUUUAAAAUUUAUUUAAACUAAAAAUAGAAAAACCCAUGGCAUGCCACGUCGAAAGCGUAUUUUCCAAAUAUGCCACGGCUAACGUACCGCUUCGGGUCGUAAGUGAGUCACUGACGGGUGGGGUCCACCUGUCAGCUUUUCUUUUAAAACAAUUGGCCGAGGCACAAGGGAACUCCGGUGAGGGCUCAAUGGUGAGGAGAGGGGACGACGGCCAUUGUGGGUUGGCCCACUGGAACGAGCACUCCCCGGCGGGUCUUCUUGUACCCGUAGCUUCACCGGAGGUGGUCGGACGGUGCCGAUUCCUUCCUCGCGGGGCGGUGUUCUCCGGUCGAGCUCGAACUCCGGAGAGGGGGCUUCAAUUGAGCCAGCUCCGGUGCUGGGUGUGCUCAGUGGAGCAAGGGGAGACGAACUAUGGUGGUGGUUUGGCUUGGGGAGUCAUGUAUGGACCGAAUCAAGCUAGGCUCGCAGGGACAGAACCUUGCCGUGGAGAAGGGAGGAGGGCGCGAUAGCAUGAGGGCAUCGCCCAUUAAUGGUAAGAGGGGGAGAGGAGAAGGUGUGAGCUGAAAUGGAGGCUGGGUCUCUCUAUUUAUAGGCUGGGAUGAGGGAGGGGGCCUUGGCGCCACCGCGAUCGGGGAUGAUGACCAGUCGGGCCUGUGCCAGCCUAAGGCUAGCUUGGCCAGGACAUGGUGGGCAUCAGGAGGCCAGGAGGAAGCUGUCGGAGCUCUCUGAACCAUCCUACCCAUCGCGACGCUGCACAGGUCAUGGCCAUACAAUGGACGGAGCCACGGGCACACUCGACAAAGGGGGCCGGCCAGGGUGGCAUGUGCUGGAGAUUAGGGAGUGUGGGGACACGUGCUAGAGGUCUUGCGUGUGGCUUUGGGUGCCGAGGAUGCGCCGUAGUGGGGUGGUCACGUGGCCAGUGGCUUGGUGUGACACAUCACGCGCGUUGUGGCAUGCUGAUGCUUGUAAUCUGCGUUGGUAUUUCCCCGAAGAGGAGGGAUGAUGCAGCACAAUAGAGAUAAGUAUUUCCCUCAGUUAUGAAACCAAGGUUAUCAAUCCAGUAGGAGAACCAAGAAACACUAUGUAAAAAACACCUACACACAAACAACAAAUACUUGCAACCCAGCGCAUAAAGGGGUGGUCAAUCCCUCAACGAUAUUGAGAUAGAUUAAAUAGUAUGGGAUUUGAUAAAUAGAUCUAACUAAAACACAAAAGAAAAUAAAGAAAAGAAAAUUACAUCAAGGUAUUUUUGGUUUUAAUAUAUGAUAGAAAAUAGACCCAGGGGCCAUAGUUUUCACUAAAGGCUUCUCUCAAGAAAAUAGCAUACGGUGGGUAAACAAAUUACUGUUGGCAAUUGAUAGAAAAGCAAAUAAUUAUGACGGUAUCCAAGUAAAUGGUCAUGUAUAUAGGCAUCACGUCCAAGAUUAGUAGACCAAAAAGAUUCAGCGUCUACCACUAUUACUCCAUGCAUCGACCGCUAUCGAGGAUGCAUCUGGUGUAUUAAGUUCAUGGAAAAAAUAGAGUAAUGCAUUAGGCAAGAUUACAUGAUGUAGACAAGAUAAAAUCAUGUAUGAAUAAACCCCAUCUUAUUACCCUUAAUAGCAAUGAUACAUGCGUGUCAUGUCUCUUUCUGUCACUGAGAUUGAGCACCGCAAGAUCGAACCCAUCACAAAGCACCUCUUCCCAUGGCAAGAUAAAUCAAUCUAGUUGGCCAAACCAAACCAAUAAAUUGGAGAAGAAAUACAAAGUUAUAAAAAUCAUGCAUAAAAGAGUUCAGAGAAGACUCAAAUAAUAUUCAUGGAUAGAUCUGAUCAUAAACUCACAAUUCAUCAGAUCCCAACAAACACACCGCAAAAAAUAUUUACAUCAAAUAGAUCUCCAAGAC
rnacentral:lncRNA from 1 species